CUUCCCUCAAGGAAUCGACAUAUAUUUCGAAAACGUUGGGGGAAAGAUGCUGGACGCAGUGCUACUCAACAUGAGGCUCCGGGGCCGCAUUGCGGUAUGCGGUAUGAUCUCGCAGUACAACCUGGAAAAACCUGAAGGCGUACACAACUUAGAGCAACUAAUCGGGAAACGGAUUCGCCUGGAAGGAUUUCUAGCUGGUGAUUACUAUCACCUCUAUCCAAAAUUCUUGGAACUGGUCAUUCCUGCAAUCAGAGAAGGAAAGAUGGUGUAUGUGGAAGACAUAGCCGAAGGACUCGAGAAUGCUCCCGCAGCCCUUGUCGGGCUCUUCACUGGCCGGAACGUCGGCAAGCAGCUAGUUGCAGUUGCUUAAUACAAAAGCCAAUAUGGAUGAGCUGAGAAUAUGUGACUGAAUCCAUUGUCCGGUUAAAAAUGUUUGCAUGUGUUAAUAUGAACUAUCCUCGUUUAGUAAUGGGAUUGGAUUGUCCUGUCAUUACUUAAUUUUGUUGAGCUAGGGCAUCUGUGUGUAAAGUGUCAAAUAAUUUGGAUUCAGACAAGAACUUAGUGGAUGCAUUGAAGGAUUUUUUUUUUCUUUUUUUUUCUUUUCCAAGAUAUUGAGAUAAUGAUUGGAACAUUUGAGGGAUAAGAUCAAAGUAUCUUUUAGGAUACCUCAUUGGUAAGUAUUAAAAUAUCAAUUGCGUCUUUAUAAGGACAGGUGGUCCAGGAUCAAGAUUAAUGAAGAACAAAUUACAGCCAUUAGAUUAAAGUGAAAUUAAAGCUGUGAAUAGUACACACUUGUUGUGUGAAAAACUUAAAGGAGACAUUCCUCUGUACAAAAUUAACUUAAUAAUAUGUCCUUAUUCAUUCAUUUGAUUCUUCCUUCUCAAUCGUCAUUAAUAAAUUAAUAAUACAAAUAAGUCCCCGUUAAAGGUUAAGUCCCCGAUUGGCUUUACCGUCACGCUCAUGCAUGAUCAAAUUUCAGUUAAUGCUGACGUGAUCGAUGAUGAUUUCAUUGGGAGCUUCCUUUGUCGUGGCACUCUCAUGUUCACAUUUAUUUUUAGGGUUAAUAAUAAUAAUAGCUUCUAGAAACGCUUUGUUUUAAUGAGAUUUUAUUUUUCAAUUAGUGUAAAAAAAAAAUAACAAAAAUUAAUAAAAACUGAUUAUUUAAUGAUGUUCGGCCCUCGAGACAGUUUAUACUCGUAAUUUAUUGUUUGAAAAUUAUUUCAACAUAUGAAAAACAAAAUUUCCCAAAUUUACAACGAAUUUUAAAACAAAAUUUCGAAAUUUCAAAGAAAAUUACAAAUUUGACUAGAUUGACUGGAAAAAAUAAAAUAAAUAAAAUCGUCAAAAAUCCUGGGACCGACCAUUUCAAAAGUCUGGCUCUUUUCCAGGCUUUCCUUCCAAAUUUUCACACACAAAAUUUCUCGUAACUGCUACACAUUAAACGCGUUUCACAUUUUCACUCUCUCUCUAUAAAUAAAUACGCACAUAAAAUUUCUCACCAUCCAAAAACAAAAUCUACAUAAAAAAUGGCGGGUGAAGAAGCAGUGAGCAACAAGCAGGUGAUUCUGAGCAACUACGUGACAGGGUUUCCCAAGGAAUCAGACAUGAAGAUAAUAACAGGCUCAAUAAACCUGAAGGUGCCAGAGGGCUCAAAAGACACAGUGCUUUUGAAGAAUCUUUAUCUUUCCUGUGAUCCUUACAUGAGAGGACGUAUGAGUAAGCUUGAUAAGCCUUCGUUUGUUGCCUCCUUCAACCCUGGCGAGGUCAGUUUCUUCAAUUCCCACCUCUUGGUUUCAUAAUCUUUUAUGGUCUUAGAGGUGUUUUAGGGAAACAUUAUGGUUUUGGUUUGUGGGCAUGAAUCCUUGAAGAGAGUAUGAUGUGUCGGACUAUGUAUGCAAUAAUAAGUAUAGGGGAUCUUGUUAAGAGAAGAUUCUCUUAAUGAGAUUAAAACUUUUGUCUUAUCAAAACAUAUGUUUAGUUAUGAUAUCAUGUUAGCAUUGUUUCUGAGGAUUUGAUUGCUUGCUUUGGGAAAGGGAUGUUGAGGUUACAUUAUUCAGUAAUGAUUUUUUUUUUUUUUCAAAUGUUCAAAUUAUGCAGCCUUUGAGCGGAUAUGGAGUGUCCAAAGUGUUGGAUUCCACACAUCCAAAUUAUAAGAAAGAUGACUUGGUCUGGGGCUUAACCAGUUGGGAGGAGUACAGUCUCAUCCAAUCACCACAACAUCUGAUUAAAAUUCUGGAUACAAAUGUGCCUCUGUCAUACUAUACUGGGAUUCUUGGUAAGUUGUUACUAAAUUUAUCGAUGUCCAGUUUGCAUGAGCCGAAAAUCGUGUUUUAUUCAAUGCAAUGAGAUAGGGAUAUAUAAUAUGCCUGCUUGAACGUCUAGCAUUUUGAAUUUUCAACAAUUGGUCCGUCUGUAUGGGCAUGUAACUGAAGGAUUUCAUUUGAGGAAUUUACUAUUGUUGCUGAUUAUUGGGUAUUUUUCUGUUGAUUCUAGGUAUGCCUGGUUUGACUGCAUAUGGUGGUUUAUAUGAGCUUUGCUCUCCUAAGAAAGGAGAGUAUGUCUAUGUAUCUGCAGCAUCUGGAGCUGUUGGUCAGCUAGUUGGGCAAUUUGCAAAGUUGGUUGGUUGCUAUGUUGUUGGAAGUGCAGGAAGCAAAGAAAAGGUGAGUUUGCACUCUUGACCCUUAAGCUCCAAAUAAAAACAUAAUAACUUCCAAAAGAAUUGUGCAUGUCACAGUAUUUGUGUUCUAACUGAUCAUGGAUAUUUGAUCAGUAGUCUAGUAGAAACAGACCUAUUAAUACAUAGUUGAUUCGUCCUCAAGAAAAUUUAGUUGAUAUAUGCUUGAAAUUAUAUUCUGUUUUUUAUGCCAGAUUAUAUUAUUAGAUGACUAUAUUAACCAGAUUCUUUUUCUUUGUGCUGUUUCUCAUUUGAUUACGUUUUCAACAUUAGGUCAAUCUGUUGAAGAACAAGUUUGGGUUUGAUGAUGCUUUUAACUAUAAGGAAGAGCCAGACUUGGAUGCAGCUCUUAAGAGGUUAGCACGAAUGAAUGCUUUAACCACUUUUCUCACUUCAUUAUUACAAUGCGCUGAUUGAUGUUAUCUGCGUUGGUCCUGUAAAUGUAAAACAGGACAAACAGAGAUCACUGAUCUCAUUUGUUACAUUGAUAUUUUCUACCAUUGCCAUACAUAGUAUAAACUUGGAAUGAAGAUAGAUAUUCAAUUCAGAGGGAAAUUUUCACUUGCAGCUAACAGAAUCAUGUUUGUGAUGUAUGUUUAUUUAGGAAAUGAAAAGAUUCGUUGCAUUAUUUUAUUCCAAGUUUGCUGAAAUCAUAUUUGUUUUCCCAGGUGCUUUCCUGAAGGCAUCGACAUCUAUUUCGAAAAUGUUGGGGGUAAGAUGCUUGAUGCAGUCCUACUCAACAUGAGAAUUCAUGGCCGCAUCGCCGUAUGCGGAAUGAUCUCACAGUACAACCUUGAGAAGCCUGAAGGCGUACACAACUUGAUGCAAGUAGUUGGAAAACGAAUUCGCAUGGAAGGGUUUCUUGCCGGUGAUUUCUACCACCAAUAUCCGAAAUUCUUGGAACUGGUUAUGCCGGCAAUCAAAGAAGGAAAGUUAGUAUAUGUCGAGGACAUAGCUGAAGGCCUGGAGAAAGCUCCAUCAGCCCUAGUUGGGAUAUUCACUGGGCAGAAUGUUGGAAAACAACUGGUUGUAGUUGCUCCUGAAUGAUAUGAUUACAAUAUGCUUUAAAAGUGGACUGUGCCAUGCACUUUAAAAGCUUAGUGAAGAUGCCUCUGUCUUAUUUUUGAUACAUGUUAUGUUUGUUUGAUCAAGUUGUACUCAGCUAUAAAUGAAAGAUUCAGAACAUGUGUAUGGUACUGGUUUCUAAAUCAAUGAACGCUUUGAAAUGUUAGUGUUUUCACUGGAGAAUGCAGUUUAAUUCAUCAACAAUGUCCCAACAAGACCCUCAAGAGUGGUAGCUUGCAAAGUUAAUUACUAUAUUUUUUUCUUUCCGAUAUAUUGUUCAUUUCAUAGAAAGUUUACAUUAAUUAAAGUCUCAUGUUUCUUUGAAAGGUAAGCAAGUGUGAAUGUUUCUAUCUAGAGCUGGAAAAUGCAUUUCCGUGCAACUUACUUGAUGAAUGAAGUUUUCAUCUCUGACCUUGAUGUUUCCCAGAGCUGCAUUCAUUUCAGCUGAUCUAUUUCAUUUCGUUUGCAAAGGAGUGACACAAAACCUCCUUUGUUAAGGGGAGAAUUUAGAGUGGCUUCAACGGUUAACAAAUAGCCUAAUGUAAGACUUAAUCAAUUUCCUGCCCGGUUGCUUACCACUACUUAUCACUUUAACGUAUGAAACCUAAUCAAGAUUCCUUUGAUGAUUUUUCUAUUUGCUAAUUGAUUGAUAAGCUCUUCAGUGAAGAUAUAGUGUCCGCAAGCCAUAUGUUGAUAGAGUUAGAGUUUGCAGAAGCUACUGUACCAUAUGUUGUUAGAGGCGGUAAAAACGGAGGCAGAUCAACACACAUUUAAAUUUCAAUGACAAUUUACUGGAAAUAAAUUUCCUAUGACCCUACAUGUGACUAAUUGAUGAGAACUUGACAAUGACAAAAGAAAGUGUAUGAGCUUUGCAGGCUGGCUUGCCAAUAUUGACUGUAUGGCACCAUCCGCAAGUAAGUAUCAUUACUGUUUAAUCAACUUGGUGGAGUCCACUGGGACCACCCCACAUGGUCAGUCUUAUCUCUACUCCUAAAUUUUCAAUAUUCCAUACAUCAAACCAAUUGCAGUUUUGAUAUCAAAUUCAAUUUUAUUGUUGGUGACGAUUCUGAUUCCUUUCAUUCUCACAAAACGGAACCAUGGUUGCUGUUGGAGAGAUCUUACUCAACGCCUUCCUUGAGGUGUUGUUUGACAGGUUGGCUUCUCGUAAUUUGCUCCGCUUUGUGCGUCAACUCCAAGGCGGGGUUGAUUCGGAGCUCAAGAAGUGGGAGAAAAAGCUGAAGAUGAUUCAGGCUGUGCUCUGCGAUGCAGAGGAGAAACAACUGACCGAUGAGGCUGUGAAGAUGUGGCUGGACGAACUCCAAGACUUAGCUUAUGACGCUGAGGACAUUCUUGAUGAGUUUGCUACUCAAGCUUUGGAAAGCAAGUUGAUGGCGCAAAACCAGGAUAGCUCUGGCCAGGUUCUCAGUCUCAUCCCGGCUAGUUUGAAUCCGAAUGCUAUUAUGUUCAAUUAUAGCAUGGGGUCCAAGAUUAAAGAUAUGACUAGCCGGCUGGAGCAACUCUGCCAAGAAAGAAUUGAACUUGGACUGCAACGGCUUACUGGAGGGGCGUCAUCAACCGCUGCUGCUGCACACCGGAGGCCACCCAGUUCGAGUGUCCGAACAGAACGUGAAGUAUUUGGAAGAGAAGAAGAUAAGGCCAAAAUUCUUGAUAUGGUCAAUACCCCAAGUGAUCACGCCAACUUUGUUGUAAUACCUAUUGUUGGAAUGGGCGGGAUAGGAAAAACAACUCUUGCUCGGGAGGUCUACAAUGACAAGGCAGUUGAGGAUUCCAAGUUUGACGUAAAAGCAUGGGUUUGUGUCUCCGACAACUUUGAUGUUUUCAACAUUUCAAAGGCACUUCUCGAGUCAAUCACCUCCGCAGCUAGUGAUCUCAAGACUUUAAAUGAAGUGCAGGUUCAACUGAAAAAAGCAGUGGACGGAAAAAGAUUCUUGCUGGUCUUAGAUGAUGUUUGGAACGAGGACUACAGCUUGUGGGUAGACUUAAAAGCUCCGUUCCUGGGUGCUGCACCAAACAGUAAGAUGAUCGUCACCACACGCAAUUUAAACGUUGCAUCAACAAUGGGACCAAUUGAACAUUAUAAUCUCAAGAGUCUGUUAGAUGAUGAUUGCUGGUCCAUUUUCAUACAGCAUGCAUUUGAAGGUAGAGAUCUUAACGCAUAUCAAAUUUCAGAAUCAUUCAGCAAGAAAGUUGUUGGCAAGUGUGGGGGCUUGCCUCUGGCAGCAAAAACGCUCGGGGGCCUUCUGCGCACAACAAGGCAUGAUGCGUGGGACGAUAUAUUGGAUAGCAAAAUAUGGGAUUUACAUCAACAAAGCAGCAUUCUCCCUGUGUUAAGAUUGAGUUACCAUCAUCUUCCGUCUCAUUUGAAAAGAUGUUUUGCUUUUUGUGCCAUCUUUCCAAAAGAUUAUGAAUUCACUGAGAAGGGGCUAACUUUCUUGUGGAUGGCUGGAGGUAUUAUUCGACAGUCAAGAAACAGUGAGCAGCUGGAAGAUUUGGGCAGCAAGUGCUUUCAUGAUCUAGUGUCAAGGUCUAUUUUUCAACAAACCAGCUCUGGUAGUUCUAAAUUUGUAAUGCACGACCUUAUCCAUGAUUUUGCUGAAUUGGUUUCUGGAGAGACCAUUUUAAGGUUAGAGGAAUCCACCAACUUGUCGUCAAGGAGAUUUGAAAGAGUUCGCCAUUCUUCCUAUGCCCGUGGUUGGCUUGAUGGUAAAAAUAAGUUUGAGGUUUUCUAUGAAAUUGAACAUCUGCGAACAUUCUUGCCAUUCUGCAUAAGAGGUGGCCCUAAUACUAGUUACGUAACUAGUUUACUUCUAUAUGAUUUGUUGCCGAAGUUUAAAAAGUUGAGGAUGCUAUCUUUAGAAGGAUACCAGAUUGGUGAGUUACCAAUUCCAUUUGAAGAUUUGAGACCUUUAAGGUUCCUCAACCUUGCCGACACUGACAUAAGAAGUUUACCCGAGUCAACAUGCAAAUUGCUGAACUUGGAAAUUUUGAUAUUACGAAAUUGUUCCCGUUUGAUAAAGCUUCCGCCCAAAAUGAGGAAUUUGAUCAAUUUACGCCAUCUCGAUAUAAAAGGUGCAAAGCUGCUGAAGGAGAUGCCAUUGGGAAUGAAAGCGUUGAGGAGUCUUCAAACAUUGUCCAAUUUUAUUGUAGGCAAGGGUGAAUCUGCAUCUGGUUUGGAAGAUUUAAAAAGUUUAAACUUUCUUUGUGAUGAACUCUGCAUUGCUGGAUUAGAGAGUGUGAAUAGUCCACAGAAUGCAAGAGAAACCGCAUUAUGCGAGAAGCACAAUCUUGAAGCAUUGACUCUAGAAUGGGGGUCUCAAUCUAACAGUCCUCGGGAUGCAGUACUAGAGGAGAAUGUACUUGACACUCUACAGCCUCAUAAACGUAUAAAAGAGCUGGCAAUCAGGCACUAUGGUGGUGCAAGAUUUCCACUUUGGAUCGGACAUCCUUCGUUCUCCGAGAUGAAGGUCCUUAAAUUGGAGAACUGUGACAAGUGUGUAUCUCUGCCAUCGCUUGGCCUGAUGAAUUCACUUAAGCACCUUGCUGUUAAAGGGCUGAAGAAACUAAAAAGCAUAGAGUCUGCGGUCUUUCCAUCAUUGGAGAUUCUAAGUUUUGAGAAUUUGCCAGAAUGGGAGCAUUGGGACACCAAUAUCAAUGGAAAUGUGCACGUUGAAAUAUUUCCUCAUCUCCAAGAACUUUCCAUUGCAGAAUGUCCCAAACUCUCUGGAGAACUGCCUGAGCUCCUGCCCUCCUUGGAGACACUUGUCGUUAGUAAAUGUGAACAGUUGGCAGUUCCAUUGUCUUGCUAUCCGAUGCUCUGCAGAUUAGAAGUUGAUGAGUGCAAAGAACUCGUGUGCGGGACUCCAAUUAAUUUUAAGUUGGUAAAGUCUUUGACCAUUUCAAAUAGUUCAUUAGACAUGAAUGGAUGCAAUGGGAUGCUAUACCAUGGUCCAGCUGGCUCUUCACUGUCUAAACGCAUGACUAUUACAAAUGUUUUGGAGUUUGGAAAAUUAUUGAAGCCUGGAUUUCAGAUAUUAGAAUAUUUGGUAAUUGGCAAUUCUGAACAGCUCAAGUCAUGGAGGCGGGCCAGGAGACCUAGACGUUUUAAUGAACCAGAACACGGGCUAAAAAUUCUCGCUUCCCCUGAAGAGGUAACAAUUGAAGAAAGUUGCGUAAAUCUUGUUUUGUUUGCAGAGAUCAAUUUCUUUCCCAGAAAUCUGCGCUCUCUUCUAAUUUUCAAUAACAUACCUUUAAAAUCCUUACCCGAGGAAAUGAUGGACAACAAUUCACAACUGGAAAGCUUGUGCAUCAGAAAUUGCGAUUCUCUAACAUUCAUCACAAGACACAAGCUACCUUCAUCUCUAAAAAGUAUAGCAAUUAAGAAUUGUGAGAAAUUGCAACGUCCGUUCGAUGAUGAAGAGGAUGCUUCUUCUUCUUCUUCUCCUUCAUCCUCGUCUUCCCCAGUGAUGCUGCAAUGCCUGACUAUAGAGAACUGCCCAGAGCUCACCAGUUUAUCAUCGGGAAUCCAAUUCCUUGAGGCGCUUGAAGUACUCGAGCUAAGGGAUUGUCGAAAGCUGGAGUCAUUACCGGAUGGCCUGCAAAAUCUUAACUGUUUACAGAGCAUUCAUAUAGAUGGAUGUCCAAGUCUUGUUUCCUUCCCAGAAAGAGGGCUUCCCAACACCAUUUCGAGAGUUUACAUUCGUGGUUGUGAGAAGCUUGAAGCCCUGCCCAACGACAUGCACAAACUCAACUCUCUCGAAACUUUAAACAUACGGAAAUGUCCAAAUCUUGUAUCGUUUCCAGAGGAAGGUUUUCCUACCAGUCUAGUAUCACUUACAAUUGGAUAUGUCAAAAUGUAUAAGACACUCGUCCAGUGGGGGUUGCAUAGGCUUACCUCUCUUACACACCUCGAGAUUAUUGGAUGUGAUGAUGAAGCAGAGUGUUUUCCAGACGAGGAGAUAGGAAUGAUGCUGCCCACCUCUCUCACUCAUCUGCAACUUUCGGAAUUCAAAAAAUUGAUAUCUCUCUCUUCGACGGGUUUUCAGAGCCUCAACUCUCUUCAAUCUUUGUGGAUAUUGGGUUGCCCAAAUCUCACAUCAUUCCCAGAGGUGGGCCUUCCAUCCUCACUUUUGGAAUUACACAUUGUCAAGUGUCCAAAGCUUAAAGAAGUUUGCAAAAGAGACCAAGGAGAAGAGUGGCCCAAAAUUGCUCACAUCCCUUGUUUUGAGAUAGACUGGAAAUUCAUAUACGAUCCAGAAUCAGAGGAGUAGAUUCUCCUAUUAAGGUCAGUUGAUUUUUUAUUAUCCGUUAUAACAAGCUCCUCCUUUUUUAUUUUUUUAAUAAUAAUUUAGCAGUUCUAUAUAAUUAUAAAUCCUCCGCCCUUAAUUGAAAAUGUCACUCAUUUGAUUCCAUUUUCACAAGUCAGAUCGUAUGUUGAGGUUAUUUGCAUUUUAUCGGUGUUUAUUAAGGUAAUUAGUGCGUUAUAGGUUGAUUACUCACAGAUUAAGUUAUAACAUUUAUCUUAAAAUUUAAUGUCAUAGACAGAGAUGAUUUUUUAAUCCAAAGUUUUCUUGAUUCACUUCAAUUAGCAUUUUCUUUUCCCCAGAUCAGGCACGCGGAGAGUUCCAAUCAAGAAUUGGAGCAUGUGAAUGGGAUUUUUGUGAAAACAUAAUGAUGCAGGAACUGGGAUCUCAAAGUCAACAGAAUUUUAUUUACUCAUUGACUUUUCAACUCCUGUGGUUAUUUAUGGGUGAAAGAAAGAUAAGGGCAAUUUCAAGAAAUUUGCAAACUCUGUCAAUUUCUUUUAAUUGUACCAAUUUGUCGUUUAUGCUUUGGUUUUAUUUUUUCAGUUUUGUUUAUUGCUUAGAUGGUAGCAUACUUGAAAUGAUACAUAGCCUUCACCGGCAGAAUUCUAGUCUUGGCUUUCACCUCUCUAACUCAUCUCAUCUGUUCCUAUUGGGAUUCCAGAAAUUGAAAUUUCUGUCAUCAAUGGGUUUCAAAGCCUCACCGCUCUCCGAUUUUUGUGGAUCGGGAAUUGCACAAAUCUCACAUCAUUUCCAGAGGUGGGCCUUCCAUCCUUGCUUUUUGGAAUUACAAAUUGGAAAAUGCUACUUUCCCCGGGUCAAAUCCCAGGUCAAACCCCGAAUUAAACCAAAACGACACCGUUUUGGUUUCUUUUUUUUGUCCUUUUUGCUUCCAUGAAACGUGGUCGUUUCAGCCAAACAAAAGCAAAUGUCUUCGUUUUUUACUUCCUCUCCUCUUCGAUUCUCCUCUUCGUUUUACCAACAGACCAACAGAGCACAAAUUGCAGAAGUCACUUGCACAUCAAUUCAUCACAAAAUGCAGAGUUUUACUAAAGAAAAAAACGAUGCCGUUUUUCUUGCCAAAUAUUUUCCAUUUCCUUCGUUCAUGGAGCUCCUGCCACCGCCAAAGCCAAAUAUUUCCCCUUUCAUUUCCUUCGUCAAUCAAGCUCCAGCCACUUGCUUCGUCGAUCGAGCUCUAGCCACAGCCAUUCGCAAAUCGCAGUCCACAAUCCGCGCCUGAAAUUGUCAUUCACAAUCCACAACUCACAACCAUGACUUCACACAGAGAACGACUCCCACAGCCUUCACGCGACAGCGAGAUCGAGCUCUUUAACAUUCGAAGAACAUAUCUGGUUGCGAAAGUUGAUUUUUAAUUUGCUUGCGAGCUGAGAUGCUUCGAAUUCUCUGUUUUUUUUUUUUUUUUGUAAAUUACUAAGCCAAAAGCUUUGCAUAAGCUUCUGCUUCGGUUUUGAAGAUUGUGAAGCUGGAAAUGUUUUUUCCCUUUUUAUAAAUGGAUAAUUGAAAGUUUGAACUUUACCUUCGUACUUUCUUUUUCAUAAAUUGCUCAUGGUGCAGUCUCAUUUUGCUAGUUGAAGAAACAGUUAAGGGGGUCUGUAGUUGGGAAGAAAGAGGAAACGAAAAUGAAAAGAAAAAGCUUAAGUCUCGGUGCGUUCAAGUAGCAUUUUUUCAAUUAAAAAAUUUAAUUCUCAAAACGGCGUCGUUUUCUAAAGUUUCGGGGUUUGACCCGGGAUUUGACCCGGGGUAAAUAGCAGAACUCUUACAAAUUUACAGUUGUCAGAAGCUUGAAAAAGUGUGUAAAAGAGAUCAAAAUUCUUGUCUUGGCUUUCACGUAGGGAUGGCAAAAAUCCCCACGGGGACGGGUACCCUCGGGGAUUUUCCCCAUUCGGGGAGGGUAUGGGGAUAAUUUCAUACCCAAUUUCUUAUUCGGGGAGGGGACGGGGAAAUUUUGUUACCCAAUUUCUUAUUCGGGGAGGGGACGGGGAUGAGGUGGAAUCCCCAUCCCCUACCCAUUUCCCCAUUUUAAUUUUUAAUUUUAUUUUAAUUUUUUAAAAUUACUAGUAAAUAAAUAAUAAAAUUUAAAUUAUAAAAUUAUAAAUAUUGGUAAAAAUAAAAAAUAUCAAAAUAUUUAUAUUAUUAAACUUUUAGGCUUAAUUAACUAAUUAAAGUCCUAAAUUUUUAUUUAGGACAUUAAAAAGACCGAGUAGAUUCUAUUAGCCCAAAAGUUUUUUAUUUUUAAUAUUCUUUAAAUAUUUUAAACUUAAAUCUAUUUUUUAUUUAUUUUUAGAUGUUAUAAUUGCCCACAUCGAAUCACAAUUUUAAUAUCUAAUCUAAUCUAAUCUAAUCUAAUAUUUACUCUUGAUUUGCUCCGAUUUAACUAUUGUGUUGUAAAGGGAAUAGUCCACAUUUAUAAAGUGCCCACGCCACCAUUAAAAAAGUUAAUUUUGAAUCUAAAUUCGAUUUUAUUUGUAACAAUUUUGUAUUAAACUAUUAAUUUGUUCAUGAUAGUUUGUAAAAGAAGUUUGUAUCCCUUGCAUGCUGUGUUACUUACUAAUUUAAUGUAUGUGACUUUUGUAAUGGAUAUUAAUGUAAGAUAUAUUUCAAAUUUUACUUUUAUUUGAAUUUUUUAUUUUAAUAUGAUUAACUCAAAAUCGAAAAAAAAAUAUUAGUUAUUCGGGGAUCGGGGACCCUCGGGGAUCCCCUGUUAUUAUUCGGGGAGGGGAUGGAGAUUCGCUCAAGUAAUUCUGACGGGAACGGGGAGGGGACGGGGACAUACGCAAAAUAUCGGGGAUGGGUACGGAGAGAUUGGUCCCCUCCCCUCCCCUCCCCAUUGCCAUCCCUACUUUCACGGAUAGUUUUUAUCACGUAACCACGUGAGGAAGCAUGUGCUGGAGCCUGAAUUCAGUUAGUUAAAGUUUGUUAACCACGUGUCAACAAACUGUAUAAUCUGGAAAAUAAGCUAGCUAUUGAAACAGGGUAUAAAGGCUGGUUUUUCAGGGACUAUCGAGAGCUGAUUCUAGAGUCUUGUAGAAAGAGGUUUGUGAGAGAGAAAGUGUCAUCUUGUUCUCUGUAAAAUCCGAUAUAGGGCUCUGUAACGAUCUCCAUUGUUGAAUCAAUAAAACUCAUCUAGAAGCUUCUCUCGUGGACGUAUUCUGAGCAAUCAAUGCACAGCUGAACCACGUAAUAUCUUGGUUUCUGUGGGUUCUUGUUUUGGUUCUUGAUAAAUUCUUGUUGUUGUAUUGAGGUGUGAUUUGAUCUGUCUAAACUUGUAUCUGUGCAACUUGAAUUGAUUUGAUGAUAAGAAUCUUGGGCAGUGAUCAGAUUCGUUUAGUUUAAAGAACAAGCUGAUUACUACCGUACCUAUGCAUGGACCUGCAACCUGUGCUGACAAAACUGAAACUGUGAGUUUGAGGUAAAAAGGUCCUGGACCCUCACAGUUUAACUUUGACUUGUUGCUUUCUGGAUAAACAUAUUUUAGAAAUUUGCAAUUUGUUGUUAAUUAUGGUAUGUGAUUUUCUUCUUUGUUUUCGCUUUUGUAGAAUCUACCGUAUUACAUAUUGGCAGUUGUAUCUGAGGUACCUUUUUUGCAUUUAACUUGCCUUUAUCUGUUUUGCCUGUUACUUAACAACACAAACACAUCAUUUCCCAAACAUUUGGAGAAGCAUCUCAAGAUGCUUAACAAACUUGACAAACUUCAAGAUGCUCCCAAGCCUUGAUUCUUCACAAUGGAAGACCUGUGAGUACACUUAUGCCCGCAAUUAUUGUGAAGUGAUUGCAACUUUGAUGCAGCGAAAUGGUUUGCUGAUGCAAAGCUUUAAAACUGUUAAGAAUUACCCUGCAGGCUUGUUGGAUGUUGUAUACUCCAAAAGCCACCAACACCAAGAACUAUAACAGCAAGACUAGGUUUGCAUUAAUUCAAUUAGCUGAAAUAAUGAUGCAAAUGGCACUAUCCAGCUCGACUUAGAGACUAGUCAGGUCAAUCAUCCAUUUCAUCAACAGUUAAUGUCAGGAUGGUGGCUAGCAGAGGAAACAAAGGAUAUGUUGGAAUCAAUAAGAACAGUGAGAAGCAUGAGAGGAGCUUUGAUUAUAAGUAGGCUCAAUGAACUAGUGUUGGUAAGUGGUAAUUAGAGCAAUUUGUGAGCUUAGUAGAGUUUCAAUAUUUUCUGUUUGGGAUAUAGUUGAUAAGUUGAUACUCUGAUUAAGAAGGCUGAUUAUAGUAGCUGACUAUAUUAACCGGGUUCUCUUUUUUGGUUUGCUGUUGUUUUUUCUUUCAAUAUCUUUUUCAACAUUAGGUUUAGCUGUUGAAGAACAAGCUUGGGUUUGAUUAUCAGGUAAGAACAAAUGAAUGCUUUAACCAUGUUUCUCACUUAUCACAAUGCACGGAUUGAAGGCGUCUGAGUUGAUCCUGAAAAUUUGAUGGAAACACUUCUCUGUUUUCAUAAAACAGGACAACCAGAAAUAUCUGAUCAUGCCUGAGAAUUCGUCGCAUUGAAAUUUUCUACCAUUGCCAAACAUAGAAUAAACCAGGGAUACAUUAGCUUAAGACUCAAUUUUGAGAAGGAAGUUUGUACUUGCAGACUAUAAAAUCAUGUCUACCUUGUAUGUUUCUGUGGGGAAUGAAAGAUUCUGUGUGUUCUUUUACUUCGGGUUUGCUGAAAUCACAUUUGUUUUCUCAGAUGCUUUCCGGAAGGUAACAACGUCAAUUUCAAAAAUGUUGGGGUAAGAUGCAUCAUGCAGUGCUGCUCAACAUGAGAAUUCCUGGCCGCAUUACCCGUAUGUGGAAUGAUCUCACACUACAACCUUGAGAAGGUUGUAAGGAGUACACAACUAGAUGCGAGUAGUUUCAAAAUGAAUUCACAUGGAAUUAUAUGUUGCCGCUUAUUACUAUCACGUCUAUCCGAAAAUUCUUGGAAUUUGUCACCGGCAUUGAAGGAUUGUAUACGUGAAGACAUAGCUGAUGGCCUUGCGAAAGCUCCAUCAGCACUUAUAUCGGAAACAGCUGGUUGUAGUUGCUCCUGAGUGAUAUGAUUAAUAGAUACUGUAAAAAUGAACUGUGCCACUCAUAUCGAAAACCAGCUGUUAUGAUGUGUUGGUAAUGUGUUUGAUGCUUGUUUGAUUUAUGUUGUAUUCGGCUAUAAAUCAAAGAUCAGAACAUGGGUGUGUUACUGGUUUCCAAAUCAAAAAAUGCCUUGUGAUGUUAGUGUUCACUGUUUUCACAGGAGACCAGGUUCCUUGUUAAUGAGUCAAGAAGAAGACAAGUGAAUCCAUGUCUGAGUUCAAAUGUGUCUUUUCUAUUUCUUUUACCGACACAUUUAUUUUGAUUUCUUUGACUAGAUGACUAAAGAGUAAAGAUAGAAGAAAUCAAAACAAAUGAGUCAGGUCCCACCUGGCCCAUUGGCCCAUCUCUCUUCCAGCCCAAAUCACUCUCAUUCGCUAUUUUGCCACCUUCAUUUCACUGCCCUCAUAGCUCCCCGUUCUCACGGUGGCUGCCAUCUUUCUGCUCACGCAUCUUUCAAAUUUCAAACCUAACAGCAUUCUGUUGCUCUGUCGUGGGUACUUCAACUUCUGUCACCUUCGGUAAGCUUAUCUCUGCCCCUCUGUGGCUGUCUCUCUCUUUACAAUGUUGUUUCUUAUUCAAUUUACAGAAUUGAAUUCACUGUUCAGUUUAUGGGUUAGAUUUUUAUUCAAAAUAAUAUUAAACCCACCUCAGAUUUUAUCCCGUAGUAUGUAAAGUUCAUGUAAAGUUUCCACCUUUACGACCGUCCGAUGUUUAAAGUUCUAAUUUUGUUCCGGGGUUUUAUCAGUGUAUUUAGAAAUUAUGUCCAUUGUUUUUAUGAAAAUGGAACUAUUUUCAUUUGUUUAUUUCUCUAUGGAUGAGAAAACCGGUCUUUAAGCUUUAUAAUCUUUAUUUGAUUAUUAGAUUUCUCUUUUGUUAUUCAGAUGAGUUCAGUUUUCCAAUUCUGUGCAAUUGUUUUGUUGCAUUUUUCAAUUUUAUCUUUUUCCAAUGCGACGUUUAUGUUUGUAUUUUCUUAAAAGUGGACAUGAAUUUUGAUUUGUUGUUGCUUUGUUGUGAUUGAGUAGCCAAUUUUAAGUCCAUAUUAAACUUUCUCAAUUAUUAGUUGAAUUAUUUGGAUUUGAAAUUUUAAGUUCUUAAAACCGCCAUUUUAACUUGUUUGUUAAUGGCUCUGUUGAGCUUCAACAUUUGUUUUCAAGAACAAAAUUGAUGGAACUAUAAACCUUCGUUUCUCACAUGCGGGCAACAUGUUAUGUUAGACAGAGUGAAAUCGACAGAAGAAACCAAAACAUUGGAAACAGAGACACAGAGAGAGAUCAGCAGAAAUGGCUUGGUGCAGAGUACGCUCAGCUUCAUCGACACUCUUCAUUAGGCUUCUCUGCCCUUUCAUUCUCAACAAUAACACUACUUAACGCUAUCAGUCCUGUGGUACUCUUGUUUCUAUACUUGUGGAAUCUCUUUUUUAAUCCUCAAAGUUUGAAUUAAAUUAUAUUGCCUCUGUAUUUCUGCAGAAACGGAAUCAGUUGGUGAUGACAUUAAUUCUCAAGUUGGAAGUUGCAUGCCACUUUCUUGUAUGCAUGUUGGGACCAUCAUCAACAACAUUGAGGUAAACUCAGCCAAGAUUUUGAAAAAGAAUCCACUUCAAGGUACUGCUUAGUUUCUGGAAAUGAGAAAUUGAUUGACACUAGACGUCAACCCACCAUUGAUACAGCGUCUAACCCCAGCCAUGAAGCUAAGAUGCUUAGGAAGGCUGGUCAGAGCCAUUGGUUGGGCCAAAGACCUGUGAUUAGAGGAGUACCCAUGAAUCCAGUUGAUCAUCCUCGUGGUCGAGGUGAGGGACAAGGCAAAAGUAGUGGUAAGCAUGGAAGGUGUUCACUUACACCUUGGGGCAAGCCUUGUAAGUGGUGUAAAACUGCAUCUCGUAAGAAGAAAAGGAAAUUUAGCCGUCUGAUAAUAUUGUCCUUCUGUGCUAUUUAGCCUUUUUAAUAUUGUUACAUUGUUUGUUAUAUCUUUGAUGUUAGUUUUGGACCAGCUUUUAACUGAUCCAUAAUGAAACUGAAGUUUAAUUUUCGAUUGAACUUUUACUGGUUUUACUCCUGUCAUUUCAAUUUAGCUUUGAUUUAAGAUGCUGAAUUCUGUGAUUGGAGUAUGUAGAUUGGAAAGAGAGAUAUUAUGGGAUAGAAUAUAGAUUUUGUGUUUUGGUUUCUCAUGUUUAGAGAUAUUCUGUUCUUUUUCAUUUAUUCAAUUUGGUUAGUGGUGAUCUCUUAAAGAGUUAAUGCAUGUGUGUUUAUGUACUUUUCUUUUGGCCUUGAUUCUAUUUCUUGGGGAGUUUAUACAGAUUCCUCUUUUAUGCUUCACAUGCCACAUGCCACAUGAAAGAUGAAAGCCUUUUGUGUGAUUAGAAUUGACUUGCAUCAUAGUAACUUUGAACCACUGUAACAUUUUUAUAAUAGCAGUCUGCGAUCUCCUUGAAGGAUUCAAAGCAUUUUUUUUGUUAGUCUUGGCUUGCAUUAAAAUCCUUUAUACCGAUUGGUUGGUCUCCUUUAAAGCAAUUCCUGUUUUAAGUAAUCAAAAUCUUGAUUCGGAAGUGUGUUUUAGCACUACUAAAGGUUCUUUUAAAUACUAAAUUGAUUGUGAGUCUUCUAUAUCAUCUGAUUGAAAUACAUGAAAGCGAUAUUGGCUACAAAAGUACACUUGGGGUUGUUUAUAAAGUCUUCAACAGGAUUUUUUUUUCCCCUUCCUCAUGGUUUAUUUUUUAGUUGUUGUUUAACAAAACACUUAAAAGGUUCUCUUUAUAGGUUUCUGAAAAUAAUUUUAACAUAACCAUUUUUCAGAAGCACUUUAGAUACCUGUGGCAUUUAGAAAAUUUUGUUCCAGCAUUCACAUAAUAUACAUAGAAAUUUGAAUUUAUUUAAUUAUGAGCAUGUGCUAGUGCCUAUUGGCAUCCACUUGUAUAUACAAAUGUAUUAUACAAUACAAUAUUAGCUUGACUGUAGCAUAGAGGAGAAUAGGGUCGGAAUUGGUCUGAAUUCUGAUCUUUGAAUAAAUAUAAUAGCUGAUUGAAGCUGCUCAUGUGACUCCAUUGUCAGCAGCUUACACAAGGUCUUUUAGCUUUUUAAAAAGUUUUGUGAUAUUUCAUAGUUCACAUGGAUUGCUACAGUAUAGAAUACCCAAUUAGGGCAUUUUUAAUUCCUAUGCAUAGGAGUCUUCCUUCAUGCGCACGCGCGUACACACAUAUAUUUCCCACUUCCGUUCACUCCAAAAGUGAAAAUUGCGGGCAAUUUUUAUCUUCAGUAAAAUUGGAGUAGAUGUUGUUCUUAUUGGCGCAAAUUUGCGUACCAUGUUUGUGGGACCCUUAACCUUGCGCCUUUGUUACAAUCAUAUGCAUUCAGGCUUUUGGUAGACCCUUGGAUAGUAUGAUCAGUGUAUUAGAAUUUAGAAUUCGUGUUUAUAAGGGUCAGUUUGGUAAUGUUAUAAUUUUUAAAAUAAUUACUGUUAGCUAUACUAUAGAAAUAAUCAGUUGUGAAUAAAAUCAGUUAAACAGUUGAUAAAUUUUGUUUUUAAGGUGUUGUGAGUUUUAAACAAUUUGUAUGUAUUUAGUAAAUCUCGCUUUUAAAGUAUUAUAAGAAUGCAAAGACUUAAAUAGAUAGAAAUCUAUAAAAUUUAUUUACAUGUGCAUUUAUACAAUAAUAUUUUAUGCAUGUAUAUAAUAAUUAAUAACAGAAAUAAAUAUUUUUAUUUUAUUAAUUAUAUAUUUUUCUUAUUAUCUCAAUAUAAUUGGUAAUAAUAAUCUUUUUAAUAGUACAUUUAUUAAUCAGUAAUCGAAAUGGGCUGGAAUCGGAAUGGGGAAUGAAAAUCAUAAUAAUUUGUUUACUUUAGCUGUAGGAAUCAAAAUCACAUGGAGCUAUAUUAUCAUUAAUAUAUUUAUUUUGUCUUGGAAUCGAAAUAGAUUGUUACAAAUUACUAAACUGAUUUUAUUAUUAUCAAUAUUAUUAUUAAACAAGGUAAAGGGAAUUUUUAAUUUUCACUAGGUGUAGAAAUGUCGAUUCACUUCUCAUUCUCAUUCUCUGUUCUCAUUCCCCCUCCUCAUAGGAUUACCAUUUCACAUUCUCAAAAAUUUAUAAUUGACUCACAUUUCAUUCUCAUUCCUCCUUAUUUUGGAAGUAAAUAAGUUAAAGAAUCAUAUUCCUUUAUUCUUGUUUUUCAUUCACAUUCCUUCUCCUUAUUUUGGAAGUAAAUAACUUAAAGAAUCAUAUUCCCUUAUUCUUGUUCUCGUUCUCGUUCUCAUUCUCAAUUAGUAAGCACACUACAAAUGCAAUGAUUUUGUUUCCUAAUUAAACAAGGAUAAUUUUUAGAUUUUUAUAAUAUAUGUUAAGAUAUAUGUAGAAUUGUAUUAAAUAUGAAACUGACUCCCAAAAUCAUAUUUUAAAAAACUAUUUUUUUCUUAUUUUUUGAAAUUUAUUGUAGGCUAGGGUGAUUUUAUCAAAGUAAUUUUUUUAAAAAUUUUCGGACCCAUUUGGGAUUGUUUUUGGAAGACUCAAAAAGGAUUUUGAAUAGCUAAAAUCUAAGUUUGGUGUUUUAUAAUUUUUUUUUAAAAAAAUUACUUCUGAUAAAAUUAUCUUAUCCACGUUAAAUUUUAAAAAGAAAGGAAAAAGUAAUUUUUUAAAAUCUGAUUUUAAGAAUCAUUUUUAUACUUAAUACAAUUUCAUAAAUAUCCUGAUAUAUAUCAUAAAAAUUCAAAAUUAUCUUUAUUAGUUAGGAAAUAAAAUCAAUAAUUUUAAAAAGAUUAUUAUUAUUUCUAAUUAUAUUGAGCUAACAAAAAGAAAUAAAAUUACUAAUAUAAAAUUUAUUUUAACUAUUAAUUAUUAUAUUUACCAAUAAAAAACAUUUUAUAUACACGUUUAUAAAUAUUUAAAUAAAAUUUAUUCAUGUCGAGUUCAACCAUUUAUAUUAUUACAGCAAUUUAACAACUGGUUGUCGUUGCUCGGGAAUUAUAGAAUUACCAUAUGUUGUAAAAAUGCACUAAGCCAUGCCAUGUGUUUGAUACAGGUUAUGCUUGUUCGAUUAAAUUGUACUCACCUAUAAAUCAAAGAUUCAGUACAUGUGCAUGUUAGUGGUCUUCAGAAUCCAGAAUAAUAAAUGCCUUGAAAUGCUUGAGUUCAAUGAUUUCGCAGAAGACCAAGUUCCUUGUUAAUGAGUCAGCAUGACUGAAUCCUUCACUAAGCCAAAUUUGUUUUCACUUUUAGUUUAGAAAUUGUCAUUAAUUAAGAAAGUGUUUGAUAAAAUGCUUUGGAAGGCACUGUUCGUUGGACGUUUGCCCAGAAUUUAUGAAAUCAUUGGUGUUUCAUCCUACUUGUAACACUCUUCUUUAUUUUCUAUUCUAACGAAGAAAUCUUUUAUUAGAAAAGUGACAAGAUUGCACCUUUCAUUUGUAUGUUAAGGAGGUGUAAAAUUUUCUCGUUAAAAUCCCAUCAUGAAAAAAACUCACGGGCAAAAACCUACUGCAAAUUAAAGAAAGAAGAGUAAAUCAUGAUAAAUACACUCUCUUUUACAAUGCAAGCGGAUGCUUCAAUGAGUGGAUCAUGCGCCAAACUUGUAUAUCGUUGUUGGUAGUGCUUUGUUGAAUCAAUAUGAUAGAUUUUCACUUUUCUUUUUUUUCUUUUCUUUUUUUUUUCCUUGUGGAUACGAAAAUGAUUUGGGUUAAACUAUACUUAAUGCCGGUUUGGUACGACUUCUCUACUAAUUAAAAGAGUUUUUUUUCUUAAAUGUUCAAAAAGAUUUUUUAUUAUAAAUUGUAAUUUGAGUGGAUUUCUUGGGAUUAAACAAGUUACAUUUUUGUCUCUAUAAAGAAGUUCAAGUUAUAGAUUUUGGCAAUAGAGAUGUAGAGGUUUUUUUUUUUUCAGAGAACUAAAUUGUGGAGACUAUCUUUAUUUGGUUAUACAACUUUUUUUUUUUUAAUUUCAUAACAUAAUUUUAAAAGACUUAUUUAAUAAAUUUGAUAUUUUUUUGUAAAAAUUAUCAUUCACGUCCAAACUACUGAAGAUUUUUUUGUUAAACGCACUACUUAAAAGUUAUAUUAAUUAUAAACUUUCUAAAAAAAAAAAACAAUUCAAAGAGUUAUAGCAAACAAAGUGCUAGUUAACUUCAGUCGAUAAUAAUCUUCUAAUCCGUCCUACAAAUGACUUUCGACAAGAGUGGUGCUACUCACAUCUCUUCAAAACCCAUUUGACACCCCGUUUUCUUUAUUUAAAAUUUUAUACAUUUGAAAAUUAUUUUUUCUUUUACUUGACACUCUUCAAAUUCUAAAACUAAGCUUCAAAGAACCUUCGUCAUUAAAUCUCAUUGCCUUCCUUUAUUCUUGUUACUUGAGAAGAAGAAUGAGAGUCUGGAAGAAUGAAAGAAAAUUCAGCGAGAUAGAAAUCUAGUAAUUUCAUACCAUGAUUCAGAAUUUUUUUUUUCUCAAAAGAAUCUACUAUUCUUCUAUAUUUUAUAUAAAAAAAAGAGGAAAAGAGGAAACUGAGAGACUCUUUGUUUAAUGCUUGAAAGUUAGAAAGAAAAGGUCAGGAAGCUGCCUGGUAAUGAGAGUGAUGCAUCAGCACUAAUUUCUAUCUCGAUAGCUACCAAUUACCACCCCUAGAAAGGCUGUUGAUCAACAAGCCAUAUCUACUGGUUUCCUUUCUUUAAAAGUUCUAAUGGUCCCCUUAAAAAUCUCUAUAUGCUCAGUCUUCUCAUGAUAUAUCUGAUUUUCGCUGAGAAUUAUAGCAAGCGCUUCAGAUAUCAUAAUACUUUGUGACUGACUACUGUGCAUGCUUAAUUAUAAGAUUAUUCCUUGUGGCCAAAUAAAAUGACCCCCUUUAGAGCCUCUGUAUUUGAAAAAGCAAGACAAUGAGCUUAAUUAUUGUCAAGGUCUCCAGUAGGAUACUCCUAAAUCCAUAUACCCACCCACCAGAACUCCAAUCUUGAAACUUAUAGAUCAAACCAUAACUUAAUGUGCCUGGCAACCAGGGAUAUGUCAGGCCUUUAAAAAACCACUACAUACAUUUGAGUCUGAAAUUGCUCCAAUUAGUAUUAUGAUUAUUAUUUUAAAAAACUCAACCUAAGCAAAGUGCCUCAGCAUACAAUAUUUAUUGACAACUAAAAAGUAAUAGUGGGUGGGGGUUGCCCUGGGUUUUGUUUAAAAAUUGAAGUAAAAAAUUUUCAAAUUUCAAAUUUCUAGUACAAAGAAAAUUGAUGACUAAAUUAAAUUCUGCAAAUUAAUUUCUAAUAUUACAUGAAAAUAUAUCAAGUUAAUUGGUAACAUUGUUAAUCACUUAAUCCUCAAUCUAAUACGUUAUGUAUUUGUUACUCUGUCUUAAAUCAAAAGUGGCGGUGAUUUAUUUUUAUUUUCACUAAUAAGAAAGGCAUGUUAGAGCUUUUAUUUUGUUGAAAAUGAACCAAAAAACUCCGAUUGGGAGAUUAUAAAUGUAUUUAACAAUAAUUUAACUUCCAUUUUGAAAGUCAUUAUAUUGUUUAUUCAGGAGAAGCGUUCUUUUAUAUUUUAUAGAUAUAAUGUUUGCUAAUCCUAAUUUAAGCUAAAGCAUAUGCAUUUCCUAAUUAAUUCUAAUUUAAGCUUAUUCAACUGCAUUCAAUUAAUGUUCGAUAAUACAAAUUCUAAAUACUAUAUACUCUAAGAAUUUUAAUCGUAAUGACAAGGUGAUCAUUUAAUUAUUACCGUUAAAUUAUAUAUGUAUGGUGGAGACGAGUCCACACGGUUUUGACGAGAAAUUAAAGACAAUAUUUAGUUAAGCUAGUAGUAUUUGUUCUGUUUAGUACGUCGUUUUACCAGCAAGCAUCCCGGCAAUGCACGCAUUAAUAAAAAAAUUUAUCUGUUUGGACUGAUUGGUAGUGAAAAAUUCCACAUACUUUAAAUUAAGAAAAUGCUAAGUAUCUUAAAGAAAACAAUUAAAAUAUUGUCACUUGAUGCUUGAAUCAUUAUUGUUAAAUAUCUCCGUUGAGUUGUAUUCCCCAGCUGUGAGUAUCAUUAUUGUCUUUGCUAUCUAAUCAAUUCAAUUUUCUUUCUGGAGACAAGAUUUUGAUUCCUUUCAUCGUUACAAAAACGGAACCAUGGUUGAUGUGGGAGAGAUCUUACUCAACGCCUUCUUUCAGGUGUUGUUCGACAGGUUGGCUUCCCGUGAUUUGCUCAGCUUUGUCCGUCAACUUGGAGGGGGGGUCGAUUCCGAGCUCAAGAAGUGGGAAAGAAAGCUGAAGAUGAUUCAGGCGGUGCUCAACGAUGCAGAGGAGAAGCAACUGACUGAUGAGGCUGUGAAGAUGUGGCUGGACGAUCUCCAAGACUUGGCUUAUGACGCUGAGGACAUUCUUGAUGAGUUUGCUACUCAAGCUUUGGAAAGCAAGUUGAUGGAGCAAAAUCAGGAUAGCUCUGGCCAGGUUCUCAGUUUCAUCCCGGCUAGUUUGAAUCCGAAUGCUAUUAUGUUCAAUUAUAGCAUGGGGUCCAAGAUUAAAGAUAUUACUAGCCGGCUGGAGCAACUCUGCCAAGAAAGAAUUGAACUUGGACUGCAGCGGAUUACUGGAGGGGCAUCAUCAACUGCUGCUGCUACACAGCAGAGGCCGCCCAGUUCGAGUGUCCCAACAGAACGUGAAGUAUUUGGAAGAGCAAAAGAUAAGGCCAAAAUUCUUGAUAUGGUAUUGGCCGAUACCCCAAGUGAUCAUGCCGACUUUGUUGUAAUACCCAUUGUUGGCAUGGGCGGGAUAGGAAAAACAACUCUCGCUCGGGAGGUUUACAAUGACAAGGCCGUUGGCGGUUCCAAGUUUGAUGUAAAAGCAUGGGUUUGCGUAUCUGACGUCUUUGAUGUUUUGGGCAUCUCAAAGGCACUUCUCGAGUCAAUCACCCGCAGGCCAUGUCUUCUAAACAGUUUAAAUGAAGUGCAGGUUGAAUUGAAAGUAGCUGUGGAUAAAAAAAGAUUCUUGCUGGUCUUAGAUGAUGUUUGGAACGAGGAGUACAGCUUGUGGGUAGACUUAAAAGCUCCGUUCCUGGUUGCUGCACCAAACAGUAAGAUGAUCGUCACCACACGCAAUUCAAAUGUUGCAUCAACAAUGGGGCCAGUUGAACAUUACAAUCUCAGGAGUCUAUCGGAUGAUGAUUGCUGGUCCAUUUUCAUAAAGCAUGCAUUUGAAUCUAGAGAUCUUAACGCACAUCAAAUUUCAGAAUCAUUCCGCAAGAAAGUUGUUGCCAAGUGUGGAGGCUUGGCCCUGGCAGCAAAAACACUCGGAGGCCUUCUGCGUACGACGAGGCAUGAUGCGUGGGAUGAUAUAUUAGAGAGCAAAAUAUGGGAUUUACCACGACAAAGUGGGGUUCUCCCAGUAUUAAGAUUGAGUUACCAUCAUCUUCCUUCUCAUUUGAAAAUGUGUUUUGCUUUCUGUGCAAUCUUUCCAAAAGAUUAUGAAUUCAAAGAGAAGGAGCUGACUUUUUUAUGGAUGGCCGGAGGAAUUAUUCGACAGUCAAGAAGCAAAGAGCGGCUAGAAGAUUUGGGCAGCAAGUGCUUCCAUGAUCUGGUGUCAAGGUCAAUUUUUCAGAAAUCAGCAAUCUCUGCUAGUUCUAAAUUUGUAAUCCAUGACCUUAUCCAUGAUCUUGCUGAAUUGGUCUCUGGAGAAACCAUAUUUAGGUUAGAGGAGGCCAAUACUCUGUCAAGAAGAUUUGAAAGGGUUCGCCAUUCCUCCUAUGCUUGUGGUGGAUAUGAUGGUAAAAAUAUGUUCGAUGUUUUCAAUGAAAUUGAACAUCUACGAACAUUCUUGCCAUUACGCUUACGCAUAAGAGGUGGCUUUAGUUCUGGUUACAUAAGUCGAACGGUCCUAUCUGACUUGCUGCCAAAGUUCAAAAGGUUGAGAAUGCUAUCUUUAGAAGGAUACUGUAUUGGCGAGUUACCAAUUCCAUUUGAAGAUUUGAGACUUUUAAGGUUUCUCAACCUUGCUGACACUGACAUAAGAAGUUUACCCGAGUCAACAUGCAAAUUGCUGAACUUGGAAAUUUUUAUAUUAAGAAAUUGUUCCCGUUUGAUAAAGCUUCCAGCCAAAAUGAGGAAUUUGAUCAAUUUACGCCAUCUGGAUAUAAGAGGUGCGAAGUUGCUGAAGGAGAUGCCAGUCGGAAUGAAAGAGCUGAAGAAGCUUCAAACAUUGUACAAUUUCAUUGUGGGCAAGGGUGAAACUGCAUCCGGUUUGGAAGAAUUAAAAAGUUUAAACUUUCUUUGUGAUGAACUUUGCAUUGCUGGAUUAGAGAAUGUGAAUAAUCCACAGAAUGCAAGAGAAGCGGCAUUAUGCGAGAAGCACAAUCUUGAAGCACUGACUCUAGAUUGGGGGUCUCAAUUUGACAAUUCUCGAGAUGGAGUAGUAGAAGAGCAUGUACUGGAAAUUCUACAGCCUCAUAAACGUAUAAAAAAGGUGGCAAUCAGGAACUAUAGAGGUGCAAGAUUUCCACAUUGGAUAGGAGAUCCUUUGUUCUCCAAAAUAGAGUUCCUUGAAUUGGAGAACUGUGACAAUUGUGUAUCUUUGCCAUCGCUUGGCCGUUUGAGUUCACUUAAACACCUUGCUGUUAAAGGGCUGAAGAAACUAAAAAGCAUAGAGUCUAAGGUUUAUGGGGAGGGUUUCUCAAUGCCUUUUCCAUCAUUGGAGAUUCUAAGUUUCGAGAAUUUGCCAGAAUGGGAGCAUUGGGACACCGAUAUCAAAGGAAAUGUACUUGUUGAAAUAUUUCCUCGUCUCCAUAAACUUUCCAUUGUGGAAUGUCCCAAACUCUCCGGAGAACUGCCUGAUCUCCUGCCCUCCUUGGAGACACUUGUUGUUAGUAAAUGUGAAAAGUUGGUAGUUCCAUUGUCUUGCUAUCCGAUGCUCUGCAGAUUAGAAGUUGAUGAGUGCAAGGAACUAGCGUGCGCGACUCCAAUUGAUUUUAAGUUGAUAAAGUCUGUGACUAUUUCAAAUUGUUCACUAGACAUGUAUGGAUGCAAGGGGAUGCUAUACAAUGGUCCAGCUGGCUCUUCACUGCCGAAAUCCAUGACUAUUACAAAUGUUUUGGCGUUUGGAAAAUUAUUGAAGCCUGAAUUUCAGAUAUUAGAAACUUUGGUAAUUGACAAUUCUGAACAGCUCAUGUCAUGGAGGCAGCGUGGGAAUUUCCGAGAAGAAUAUUUGGCCGUUCGCCGAAGGCUUAUCAAACCAUUACAAGGGCUAAAUAUGCUCGCUUCCCCAGAAGAGGUAACAAUUGAAGAAAGUUGUGUGAGUUUUGUUUUAUUUUCAGAGAUCAAUUUCUUUCCCAGAAAUCUGCGCUCUCUUCUAAUUUGCAGCAGCACAGCUUUAAAAUCCUUACCCGAUGAAAUGAUGGACAACAGUUCACAACUCAAAAGGUUGUAUAUCAGAGAUUGCGAUUCUCUAACAUUCAUCACAAGACGCAAGCUACCUUCAUCUCUAAAAAGUAUAGAGAUUCAGAAUUGUGAGAAACUGCGACAUUUGUUCGAUGAUAAAGAGGAUGCUUCUUCUUCUUCUCCUCCUUCAUCCUCGCCCUCCCCAGUGAUGCUGAAACACCUGAGUAUAAAUAAUUGCCCAGAGCUCACCAGUUUAUCAACAGGAAUCCAAUUACUUGAGGCGCUUGAACACCUCGACAUACGGGAUUGUCGAAAGCUGGAGUCAUUACCAGAUGGCCUUCACAAUCUUAACUGUUUACAGGAGAUUACUCUAAACAGUUGUCCAAGUCUUCUUAGAGGGCUUCCCAACACGAUUUCAAGGGUUGACAUUUACAGCUGUCCAAGUCUUGUUUCCUUCCCAGAAAGAGGACUUCCCAACACGAUUUCAAAGGUUGACAUUUUUAAUUGUGAGAAGCUCGAAGCCCUGCCCAAUGACAUGCACAAACUCAACUCUCUUCGAGAUUUAAGCAUAUUGGGGUGUCGAAAUCUUGUAUCCUUUCCAGAAGAAGGUUUUCCUACCAGUCUAACAUCACUUAGAAUUGGAGAUUUCAAAAUGUAUAAGACACUCAUCCAGUGGGGGUUGCACAGGCUUACCUCUCUUAGACGCCUCUAUAUCGUUGAUUGUGAUGACGAAGCAGAGUGUUUUCCAGACGAGGAGAUAGGAACGAUGCUGCCUACCUCCCUAACUCAUCUAUCCUUUCGGGGAUUCCGAAAUUUGAUAUCUCUGUCUUCGACGGGUUUUCAGAGCCUCAACUCUCUUCAAUACUUGUGGAUCAGGGAUUGCCCGAAUCUCACAUCAUUCCCAGAGGUGGGCCUUCCAUCCUCACUUUUGGCAUUAUGCAUUAUCGAUUGUCCAAAGCUUAAAAAAGCGUGCAAAAGAGAUCAAGGAAAAGAGUGGUCCAAAAUUGCUCACAUCCCUCGCAUUGACAUAGACAGGAAAUUCAUAUACGAUCCAGAAUCAGAGGAGUAGAUUCUACUAUUAAGGUCAGUUGAUUUGUAUUAUCCGCCAUAACAAGCUCCUCCUUUUUUUUUAAAUAAUAAUAAUAAUUCUUACCAAUUAAUGAUGGUAAGAUGUGUACUUAUUCUUUCUUCCGGACAACCUUGCCUUCUUUCUUCGGUAGCAUAUCUAAUGAAUAUUUCUCUGUUUAGUUAAGGAUGAAUGCUUGGAGUGGAGUAUUUGGUAACAUUUCUGCCGUAGAUGAAACCUUGAAGAAAUGCCUGCACUUCCUGAGACCAAAUACAGGUCUGAUUCACAACAACACCUGUCCCAGAAAAUAUGAUACAAGCCAAAGCCAUGUUCUGAAGCAGAAAUAACGCAUUUCAAUUUUUAUCUGGUAAAAAUACACAGCCCUCGCCUACAAAAUUCUUAUCUUGGCUUUCACGGAUAUUUUUAUCACGUAACCACGUGAGGAAGCAUGUGCUGGAGCCUGAAUUCAGUUAGUUAAAGUUUGUUAACCACGUGUCAACAAACUGUAUAAUCUGGAAAAUACGCUAGCUAUUGAAACAGGGUAUAAAGGCUGGUUUUUCAGGGACUAUCGAGAGCUGAUUCUAGAGUCUUGUAGAAAGAGGUUUGUGAGAGAGAAAGUGUCAUCUUGUUCUCUGUAAAAUCCGAUAUAGGGCUCUGUAACGAUCUCCAUUGUUGAAUCAAUAAAACUCAUCUAGAAGCUUCUCCCGUGGACGUAUUCUGAGCAUUCAAUGCACAGCUGAACCACGUAAUAUCUUGGUUUCAGUGGGUUCUUGUUUUGGUUCUUGAUAAAUUCUUGUUGUUGUAUUGAGGUGUGAUUUGAUGUGUCUAAACUUGCAUCUGUGCAACUUGAAUUGAUUUGAUGAUAAUAAUCUUGGGCAGUGAUCAGAUUCGUUUAGUUUAAAGAACAAGCUGAUUACUACCGUACCUAUGCAUGGACCUGUAACCUGUGCUGACAAAACUGAAACUAUGAGUUUGAGGUAAAAAGGUCCUGGACCCUCACAGUUUAACUUGGACUUGUAGCUUUCUGGAUAAACACAUUUUAGAAGUUUGCAAUUUGUUGUUAAUUACGGUAUGUGAUUUUCUUUUUUGUUUUCGCUUUUGUAGAAUCUACCGUAUUACAUAUUGGCAGUUGUAUCUGAGGUACCAUUUUUGCAUUUAACUUGCCUUUAUCUGUUUUGCCUGUUACUUAACAACACAUCAUUUCCCAAAGAUUUGGAGAAGCAUCUCAAGAUGCUUAACAAACUUGACAAACUUCAAGAUGCUCCCAAGCCUUGAUUCUUCACAAAGGAAGACCUGUGAGUACACUUAUGCCCGCAAUUAUUGUGAAGUGAUUGCAACUUUGAUGCAGCGAAACGGUUUGCUGGUGCAAAGCUUUAAAACUGUUAAGAAUUACCCUGCAGGCUUGUUGGAUGUUGUAUACUCCGAAAGCCACCAACACCAAGAACUAUAACAGCAAGACUAGGUUUGCAUUAAUUCAAUUAGCUGAAAUAAUGAUGCAAAUGGCACUAUCCAGCUCGACUUAGAGACUAGUCAGGUCAAUCAUCCAUUUCAUCAACAGUUAAUGUCAGGAUGGUGGCUAGCAGAGGAAACAAAGGAUAUGUUGGAAUCAAUAAGAACAGUGAGAAGCAUGAGAGGAGCUUUGAUUAUAAGUAGGCUCAAUGAACUAGUGUUGGUAAGUGGUAAUUAGAGCAAUUUGUGAGCUUAGUAGAGUUUCAAUAUUUUCUGUUUGGGAUAUAGUUGAUAAGUUGAUACUCUGAUAAAGAAGGCUGAUUAUAGUAGCUGACUAUAUUAACCGGGUUCUCUUUUUUGGUUUGCUGUUGUUUUUUCUUUCAAUAUCUUUUUCAACAUUAGGUUUAAGAACAAGCUUGGGUUUGAUUAUCAGGUAAGAACAAAUGAAUGCUUUAACCAUGUUUCUCACUUAUCACAAUGCACGGAUUGAAGGCGUCUGAGUUGAUCCUGAAACGUGCCUCAGCAAGUAUUAUGAUUAUUAUUUUAAAAAACUCAACCUAAGCAACGUGCCUCAGCAUACAAUAUUUAUUGACAACUAAAAAGUAAUAGUGGGUGGGGGUUGCCCUGGGUUUUGUUUAAAAAUUGAAGUAAAAAAUUUUCAAAUUUCAAAUUUCUAGUACAAAGAAAAUUGAUGACUAAAUUAAAUUCUGCAAAUUAAUUUCUAAUAUUACAUGAAAAUAUUAUCAAGUUAACUGGUAACAUCGUUAAUCACUUAAUUCUCAGUCUAAUACGUUAUGUAUUUGUUACUCUGUCUUAAAUCAAAAGUGGCGGUGAUUUAUUUUUAUUUUCACUAAUCAGAAAGGCAUGUUAGAGCUUUUAUUUUGUCGAAAAUGAACCAAAAAAACUCCGAUUGGGAGAUUAUAAAUGUAAUUAACAAUAAUUUAACUUCCAUUUUGAAAGUCAUUAUAUUGUUUAUUCAGGAGAAGCGUUCUUUUAUAUUUUAUAGAUAUAAUGUUUGCUAAUCCUAAUUUAAGCUAAAGCAUAUGCAUUUCCUAAUUAAUUCUAAUUUAAGCUUAUUCAACUGCAUUCAAUUAAUGUUCGAUAAUACAAAUUCUAAAUACUAUAUACUCUAAGAAUUUUAAUCGUAAUGACAAGGUGAUCAUUUAAUUAUUACCGUUAAAUUAUAUAUGUAUGGUGGAGACGAGUCCACACGGUUUUGACGAGAAAUUAAAGACAAUAUUUAGUUAAGCUAGUAGUAUUUGUUCUGUUUAGUACGUCGUUUUACCAGCAAGCAUCCCGGCAAUGCACGCAUUAAUAAAAACAUUUAUCUGUUUGGACUGACUGGUAGUGAAAAAUUCCACAUACUUUAAAUCAAGAAAAUGCUAAGCAUCUUAAAGAAAACAAUUAAAAUAUUGUCACUUGAUGCUUGAAUCAUUAUUGUUAAAUAUCUCCGUUGAGUUGUAUUCCCCAGUUGUGAGUAUCAUUAUUGUUGUUUGUGCGAUAUGUUUCGACGAAGACCAGCAGUGAUGAGCAGGCGUCUGGUAGCAGGGUUCCUCGAACAGGUAUAUCUUGCAAGAGUCUGGUAGCAGGGGGAGCAAGAGCAGGAGUAUCCUGCUCGUCCACGAGUACGUCAUCCACGAGGCCGGUCUCCUGUUGGGAGCGUAAAGCCAUUCCUGCUAUAUUCCUGCUAGCGGUUGAGUCGAGGAGACCCGGUCAACGACAGUUGACGAGACAUGCUCUCCAGUCCGAGAAUCAAGGCGCGAAGGCCACGCAACCACCCACGACUACGGAAAUGGAGCAUCCACUUUCGAGAAGUGGGAGGAUGACAAGCGCAAAGGGAGGAAAUGCAUGGGCUCAGAAGUGGCCUAUAAAAAGGUAACCAACGAAGGUAAAAGGGUUAGCAAUUUUGAGAUUAUAACAGAGACUAAGGAAAUUCUAAAGAAGAGAAAACUAUUAAAAAGCCAUAAGAUCUGUGGCAAGCGUUCCCAGAGCCUUCAUAUCUGACUUGAGCGUCGGAGGGUUUACGCCGGGAAAACAACCGGCGUGCUCUGACUUGUUUCUGUGGACGCAGGAAUACUUGGAGAAGAAAGCAUACAAGGAGAGAUCCUGGUCGAGGUGAGGUUGAUUGAGCAGAUAUCCUGGUCGUAGGAAGAGCGUAACCAGAAUCUCGCAUCAAUAUUUUGGCGCCGUCUGUGGGGAGCUGAGCAAAAAGUUUCUGUUGAUAGCAAAGAAGAGGAGUGAAGCAAGUGAAAAGCAAUGGAGACAGGAGGAAGUAGUGCACAAGGGGGUGAUAUGAGGCUUAACGAUUCCGUGACGCUGAGGGAGAUAGCCAGUGAAGCACGGGAAAAAGCCAUGUUCGACCGGAUGGAACGGAUGGAAAAGCAGAUGGAGACCUUGACAACCAUCCUACAUGAGCUGCGGAGCGAACGAAGGGUAACCCAGGAGGAAAGGGUGAGAGGUGGUGGAGUGGCACCAGGUCCCGAUAGUGCGAGGAGAAGUCAAACCACCGGGAGAUUUGGUGGUGAGAGAGGUAACAUACCUCUGCAGGGAAAUUGCAUAGAGAGGAAGAGCAGUCCCCGGCAAGACAGAUUUUUGACGAGGACGACGGGGUGGCGAAUGCAGAGGAAGCAGAGUUGAGGCAAUACUUGCAUGAUGUAGUGCAAGAGCGGGAUCAAGUCGCAGCACGUGACCCUGGUCGUGCAGAGCAGCUGGAGGAGGAAGUGUGCAGGCUAGCGCAGAUAAUUGACGACAUACAAGGAAGGAGCAGAGCUCCUGGUUGGAGGAUAAUGCUGGACGGAGAAUCACCGCUCGCAGCAGAGAUCAUGAGGGCAGUUAUUCCAAGAGAUUUCCGCCUCCCAGACCUUAGAUAUUCGGGAUGAACUGAUCCGCUGGUGCACAUAGAGCGCUUCAACGACAUAACUGGGGUACAAGGAUUAUCUCAAUCCUAAAGGUGCAGGGUGUUCCCACUAUCCCUUGAGGGACGCGCACGAGAGUGGUACAGGAAACUUCCUCGGGGGAGCAUUAAAACCUUCGAGCAGAUGUGCCAGGAAUUUGCAGAACAGUUCCGUGGGGCAAUGGCACCAGAAGAUGACAUGAUGGAGUUGAAAAACAUGAAGCAGGGGGAACAAGAAACACUUCGGGAAUUCAUCAAGAGGUUUCACCGUGCUGUCCUCGACUUGGGAGCCUUCAACCACCCUCAAACGUUAAGGGGAUUGAAAGAAGGGGUGAAGAUAGGAAGGCUGUGGUACAACUUGAGAAGCCCAGUUAUUCAGACGUAUGCGGCCGCAUACGAGCAGGCUAAGAGAGACAUUGAGAUUGAAGAGGAGAAGGCAGCACAGAUUAAGACAGACCAGUUAGAAGGGUGGGGGAGGAAAGAGAAGAAAGCAUUACCGGGGAAUGGGCCGAUCAGGAGGAGGAACCACCAGGCCUCGAGUAGUGGAGCAGAAGGUCGGGUAACUGCUUACCAGCCUCAUCAGAGGCCACUACAGUAUCAGCACAGCAGGGCGCAACCUCCUCGUUCCCCAGCUGGGGAGCCUUGGAGAAGGCAUGACUCGGCGUAUGGUGGUCUUCAUCAACACUCCCACGGUAGUAGAAGGGGCAGACCAGAAGCGCUGCCACCGCCUCCAACUCAGAACGGAGCAAAUAGAGAAAGGGCAGUGCACCUGAUCGACCAGAACCAGGACUAUGGGCGAUAUACUUCCUUGAAGAUGUCCCUGGCCGAGGUGUACGAGGCCAUAAAGGAUCGAGGGUCGUUAUACCUCCCUGCCCCAAUAACAAAGCUACCCAGCAGGAGGGAUAGGGGACGCUAUUGUAAGUUCCAUGGCACUCAUGGCCACACCACAGCAGAUUACAGGGAUCUCAAGACCCAGGUUGAAGAUUUGGUGAGAAAUCGGUAUCUGGACGAGUUUAUAGAUGGGACCUUCCCAAUGGUAGCCUCGACCAGCGAAUGGGAGCAGAGUGACAGGAACUUGAGGCGCGAGCAGCCUGCAGUAAGGGUGAUAGCUGGGGGCCCAACAUUGGCCGGAGAUUCCAACAGGUUGAGGAAGAAUUACGCUAGAUACGCCAUGACCAGCAAAGAUGUAUUCUUCACCACCCCAGCAGCCAAACGUGCAAGAGUCAGGCAAGUGCCAAUUAUGUGGACAGAUGAGGAUGAAGAAGGGAUUCUAUACCCCCACGAGGAUGCUUUGGUCAUCAAGGCCACUGUUGCCAGCAAGAAGUUUGACAGGAUACUGGUUGACACAGGGAGCUCAGUUGAUGUGUUGUUUAAGUCAACCCUGGAGGAGAUGGGAAUAGCAGACCUGAAGUUGGAUUACACCAAUACCUCCUUGAAGGGGUUUGGAGGAGGAAAGUUGGUCCCUCUGGGCGUGGUCGAGCUGCCUAUCACGAUUGGGAGCUCCCCGACAGAAGGGACAAUGAUACUGGACUUUGUGGUAGUGGAUGAGGAAGGUCCUUAUCAGAUGAUCCUAGGCCGGCCAUUUCUGACGAUGAGCAAAGCGGUGCUGUCCAGCCAUUAUCUGGCUCUCAAGUACCGGGUGAAUGGGGUAGUUGGAGUGGUACGAGGAGACCAGAGGAUCGCAAGAAGCUGCUACUCCUCGGCAGCAAAGGAAGCAAUGCAGAUAACAUCCCUUGAUACCCGAGUGGAAGCCAGGAAUGGCAGCUAGUUGGACCCGGAGUUUACAAGCUGGUUCGCACGGAUGGCCACAAGGUGAAACGCCCAUGGAGCGCGACACACCUCAGGAAAUAUUUCUAGUAAGACUUACUCAUCUUUUAAAGUUAUUUCUGUUCGUGCCCGUUGUUUUCUAUUUUUCAUUUCUUAUUUCAAAGCAAUCUCAUGUAAGCCGAAUUCAAUAAUAAAUGAAUCAAUGAGGAGUUUCAGUCAACUACACUGUUCAAGAAAUUAUCAAAGGCAUGCAAAGGCUAGUCAAGUCUCAAAGCCUGUUUAUGGCGAGACCAGAAGCCAAGCGUGCCAGGAUCUGCUCGACCACGAGAAGGCGAGCAGAGUCCCAAGCUUUCAAGAAAUUAUCAAUGGCAUGCAAAGGCUCACCAAGUCUCAAAGCCUGUUUAUGGCGAGACCAGAAGCCAAGCGUACCAGGAUCUGCUUGACCACGAGAAGGCGAGCAGAGUCCCAAGCUUUCAAGAAAUUAUCAAAGGCAUGCAAAGGCUCACCAAGUCUCAAAGCCGGUUUAUGACGAGACCAGAAGCCAAGCGUUCCAGGAUCUGCUCGACCACGAGAAGGCGAGCAGAGUCCCAAGCUUUCAAGAAAUUAUCAAAGGCAUGCAAAGGCUCACCAAGUUUCAAAGCCUGUUUAUGACGAGACCAGAAGCCAAGCGUGCCAGGAUCUGCUCGACCACGAGAAGGCGAGCAGAGUCCCAAGCUUUCAAGAAAUUAUCAAAGGCAUGCAAAGGCUCACCAAGUCUCAAAGCCUGUUUAUGGCGAGACCAGAAGCCAAACGUGCCAGGAUCUGCUUGACCACGAGAAGGCGAGCAGAGUCCCAAGCUUUCAAGAAAUUAUCUAAGGCAUGCAAAGGCUCGCCAAGUCUCAAAGCCUGUUUUAUGGCGAGAUAGAAGCCAAGCGUACCAGGAUCUGCUCGACCACGUGAAGGUGAGCAGAAUCCCCAAGCAUCGGAAUAUUUUCCAAGGCAUGCAAAGGCUCGCCAAGUCUCAAAGCCUGUUUUAUGGCGAGACAGAAGCCAAGCAUGCCAGGAUCUGCUCGACCGCGCGAAGGCGAGCAGAAUCUCAAGCAUUGAAGAAUUUUCCAAGGCAUGUGGCAAAACCAUAUGCCGAGCCAGAACCUGCUAAACUAGACGAAGACGAGCAGAUUCUCAGACGAAAAAUAACUCAUGAUUACAACACAAGAAAGUAAUCAAAAACAUUUUUAUUAAUUUGUUAAUAAUUAACAGAGGAGAUAAUCUUCACAAACAUUGUUCAUUACAAUACAAGAAAUAUAUUAAGAGGACGGUGGAUCCGUAAGCCGAGCAGCCUCAGUCGGUUGGUCCACCUCAGGUGCUGGGGGAGUAUCACCGGUCGCGUCCGGGGGGGUGCUUGCCUCACCCACAUCAACAGGAACGGCACGAGGAGGAGAGUUUUCCUCAACUACGAUUGGUUCCACCGUUUCGGCAUCUUCCUUUGCAGCCUCCUCGUCCAUAUGUUGGGCGACACCAGUUGCAAGGUCGUCCAUCUUCAGAUCAGGAUGCUGCUUCCCGAGGACGACCAUGAUGCAACGAUAGGAAUGCCGAAGCCCCUAGUCGUACUGGUUGUCGGCCUCCCUCUCCAAGUUCUCGACCUGAGCUCGGUGGGAAUCGCGGAGAGAUUCGAGCUGAGCCUCAUAUAUAGCCUUCUGCCUUUGCAGAUCCUCCUCGACCUUGGUCAGCUCCUCCUCGAGGGUAAUGGCUUUUGCUUGAGCAAGAGAUUCUUGCUCUAUCAGCUUGAGGUUCUCAACAUUCAGCUCCCCUGCUUUCUUCUCGGCAGCGUCAGCUCUGGUCGUCGCCGAUUGAAUGUCCUCCUUAAUCUUGCGGUCGUAGCGGCCAACCUUCGCCUUGUAAUAGGUGGUCAUGCAGCUGAGGUAGAAAGCGCUAUACUGCAUGGCCCCCACCAGCUCACCCAAGGUGCAGCCGUCAAAGUCCUCCAGGUCCUUCUUGCUCACGAGUUUAGAUAACUCAUUGAGGUAGGGGACCAAGUGUUCUGCUUGGCUGUCAGGUAAGCGAGAUCGAGGCCCGACAGGAGGAGAAGAGGAAGCAGGAUCCGUGGCUGCUCCACUAGUUUCCCCAACUUUGGCAGGAGCAGGAGGUAAAGUCUUCAAGGGAGAGACUUGCUGUACGAUGUUGGCCUGCUUUGCAGAAGGGGCGUCCUUGUUCUGGUCCCUCUUCGUGGCUUGAGGUUGAGAACGUUUCCUGUUCAGAGCCCCAAUCACAGCGUCCUCCAUCUUAUGGCCAGGGAGUACCAAGCGAGACUCGAGCAAGUUGUAAACAGUUAUCAAUUCUCGGCUCGGGCAAGAGUUGGCUAGUAUAGCCUCGACCCGUUUGAGCUGAUCAGGUUGGAGCGAGAAGUGAACACCCCAAGAACCUGCAACACAAACAAACAUUUGAUUAGAGACAAACCAGUAAAGUGCAAACAACAAGGGAGACAAGACAUCUAAUACGAGCAGGCAACCUGGGACCAUGAAACGGGGUGGGACGCGACAAUCCUUCCCGUCUAUUUGUGCAACUUGACCCCAAGGACCCCCAGCAAAAAAGAAUUUCCUCUUCCAAGUCCCACCACCACCAGUUGGAAGAUCAGUUAUGGGUUUCUUGCUCUUGGUACUAGAUUGGAAGUAGUACCAGCCGGCAUCUUUGGGGCUGCUCUUUAGCUGGUACAGGUGCUUCACCUCAUCAACCGUGGGCUCGCUUUGGCAACAUCUGUCCCACAAUAUGAACAGACCAGAGAGCACCCUCCACCCAUUGGGGUUCAGUUGACCAGGAGCUAGAUUGAGCCCGUGGAGUAUGCGAGCAAAAUAGGGUUGCAAGGGGCACCUUAACCCGUACUUAAAACUCUCCUGGAACAAGGUGACAUAUCCCCUAGGAGGCCUGCUAGGACUAUCUUUUUUUCCUGGGAUCCUAAGGAGUACUUCACCAGGAAUAUGAUACCUGAGCCAGAGGUCAUCCAGCUCGUUGAAUGUGGUCGUGCAGGUCAUGUAAUCAAUAGCAUAAUCCCGCAACAAGGCUCUACCUCCUACUGUACUACGCCCUUCUGGUCGCAGUGUUCCCGGUGAAGAUCCCUCACCAGAGUCACCUCCUUGAUCCUCACUUAGGGUGUCUUCCGAGCCAGAAGGUCCUUCCUCGCCACUACUUCCGCUCGUGGAGGUUGUUUGGGGGGACAUCCUCCUAGCGCUAGUCCCGACACUAGACCUAGUGGGCUCUAAGGGGAUCCCGGGGUCAAAAGCAGAAUCAGUGAGCAGACUAGGCAAGAAACCUAGUUCGUCGUCAUCAGUCUCAAUGACUUUCUCCUUACCCUUCGACAUUCCCUAAGUUCUAACCAAAACACCACCACCGACUACAACCCCAAGUAAAGCAAAGAGAAAAGAAAUUAUCUACAACUAUCCGAGACCGAGGAGAUAGAAGUAAUACCUGAAGUAAUGGUUCAGUUAGAGAAAGGCAGGGGAGGAGACUUUUAUGCCGAGACUUCUUUGCCGGAGAGACAGAGACAGAGAUGGAGUAAAUGACGAAUUUUCCCUUUGAGAGGUUUUGGGUUUUCCUAAUGGAGAAUGAACUUUUGGAUUGCCAGCAUUUAAUAGCAUCGAAUCCCAAGGGUCUCGUAACCGUCGGUUUAAAAUUCAAAUAGAUGGGUAGAUUUCUGCCACAUCACCUGGUCCACAAUUAAAUGCGACACGACUCUUGGCAGCCUUUUCCUAUCCCGCGCGAGCAAGAACUGUCGAGUUUCUACUGUUGGCUCACUACGCUACCCAACACAAGAAACUGGGGGACUGGUGUUUGUGCGAUAUGUUUCGACGAAGACUAGCAGUGAUGAGCAGGCGUCUGGUAGCAGGGUUCCUCGAACAGGUAUAUCUUGCAAGAGUCUGGUAGCCGGGGGAGCAAGAGCAGGAGUAUCCUGCUCGUCCACGAGUACGUCAUCCACGAGGCCGGUCUCCUGUUGGGAGCGUAAAGCCAUUCCUGCUAUAUUUCUGCUAGCGGUUGAGUCGAGGAGACCCGGUCAACGACAGUUGAUGAGACAUGCUCUUCAGUUCGAGAAUCAAGGCGCGAAGGCCACGCAACCACCCACGACUACGGAAAUGGAGCAUCCACUUUCGAGAAGUGGGAGGAUGACAAGCGCAAAGGGAGGAAAUGCAUGGGCUCAGAAGUGGCCUAUAAAAAGGUAACCAACGAAGGUAAAAGGGUUAGCAAUUUUGAGAUUAUAACAGAGACUAAGGAAAUUCUAAAGAAGAGAAAACUAUUAAAAAGCCAUAAGAUCUGUGGCAAGCGUUCCCAGAGCCUUCAUAUCUGACUUGAGCGUCGGAGGGUUUACGCCGGGAAAACAACCGGCGUGCUCUGACUUGUUUCUGUGGACGCAGGAAUACUUGGAGAAGAAAGCAUACGAGGAGAGAUCCUGGUCGAGGUGAGGUUGAUCGAGCAGAUAUCCUGGUCGUAGGAAGAGCGUAACCAGAAUCUCGCAUCAACAAUUGUCUUUGCUCUCUAAUCUAUUCAAUUUUCUUUCUGGAGACAAGAUUUUGAUUCCUUUCAUCGUUACAAAAACGGAACCAUGGUUGAUGUGGGAGAGAUCUUACUCAACGCCUUCUUUUAGGUGAUGUUCGACAGGUUGGCUUCCCGUGAUUUGCUCAGCUUUGUCCGUCAACUUGGAGGGGGGGUCGAUUCCGAGCUCAAGAAGUGGGAAAGAAAGCUGAAGAUGAUUCAGGCGGUGCUCAACGAUGCAGAGGAGAAGCAACUGACGGACGAGGCUGUGAAGAUGUGGCUGGACGAUCUCCAAGACUUGGCUUAUGACGCUGAGGACAUUCUUGAUGAGUUUGCUACUCAAGCUUUGGAAAGCAAGUUGAUGGCGCAAAAUCAGGAUAGCUCUGGCCAACUUCUCAGUUUCAUCCAGGCUAGUUUGAAUCCGAAUGCUAUUAUGUUCAAUUAUAGCAUGGGGUCCAAGAUUAAAGAUAUCACUAGCCGGCUGGAGCAACUCUGCCAAGAAAGAAUUGAACUUGGACUGCAACGGAUUACUGGAGGGGCAUCAUCAACUACUGCUGCUGCACACCAGAGGCUACCCGGUUCAAUUGUCCCAACAGAACGUGAAGUAUUUGGAAGAGAAGAAGAUAAGGCCAAAAUUCUUGAUAUGGUAUUGGCCGAUACCCUAAGUGAUCAUGCCAACUUUGCUGUAAUACCCGUUGUUGGCAUGGGCGGGAUAGGAAAAACAACUCUCGCUCGGGAGGUUUACAAUGACAAGGCCGUUGGCGGUUCCAAGUUUGAUGUAAAAGCAUGGGUUUGCGUAUCUGAUGUCUUUGAUGUUUUGGGCAUCUCAAAGGCACUUCUCGAGUCAAUCACCCGCAGGCCUUGUCUUCUAAACAGUUUAAAUGAAGUGCAGGUUGAAUUGAAAGUAGCUGUGGAUAAAAAAAGAUUCUUGCUGGUCUUAGAUGAUGUUUGGAACGAGGACUACAGCUUGUGGGUAGACUUAAAAGCUCCGUUCCUGGCUGCUGCACCAAACAGUAAGAUGAUCGUCACCACACGCAAUUCAAAUGUUGCAUCAACAAUGGGACCAAUUGAACAUUACAAUCUCAAGAGUUUGUCAGAUGAUGAUUGUUGGUCCAUUUUCAUAAAGCAUGCAUUUGAAUAUAGAGAUCUUAACGCACAUCAAAUUUCAGAAUCGUUCCGCGGGAAAGUUGUUGCCAAGUGUGGAGGCUUGGCCCUGGCAGCAAAAACACUCGGAGGCCUUCUGCAUACGACGAGGCAUGAUGCGUGGGAUGAUACGUUAGAGAGCAAAAUAUGGGAUUUACCUCAACAAAGUGGGGUUCUCCCCGUAUUAAGAUUGAGUUACCAUCAUCUUCCUUCUCAUUUGAAAAGAUGUUUUGCUUACUGUGCAAUCUUUCCAAAAGAUUAUGAAUUCAAUCAGAAGGAGCUGACUUUCUUAUGGAUGGCUGGAGGAAUUAUUCGACAGUCACGAAACAGUGAGCAGCUGGAAGAUUUGGGCAGCAAGUGCUUUCAAGAUCUAGUGUCAAGGUCUAUUUUUCAACAAACCAGCUCUGGUAGUUCUAAAUUUGUAAUGCCCUAUCUUAUCCAUGAUCUUGCUGAAUUGGUUUCUAGAGGGACCAUUUUCAAGUUAGAGGAGUCCACCAACUUGUCGUCGAGGAGAUUUGAAAGAGUUCGCCAUUCUUCCUAUGCCCGCGGUUGGCAUGACGGUAAAAAUAAGUUUGAGGUUUUCUAUGAAAUUGAACAUCUACUAACAUUCUUGCCAUCACGCAUAAGAGGUGGCACUAAUACGAGUUACAUAACUCGAACGGUUCUAUCUGAUUUGUUGCUGAAUUUCAAAAGUUUGAGGAUGUUAUCUUUACAAGGAUACUGUAUUGGUGAGUUACCAAUUUCAUUUGAAGAUUUGAGACUUUUAAGGUUUCUCAACCUUGCUUACACUGACAUAAGAAGUUAUCUGAGUCAACAUGCAAAUUGCUGAACUUGGAAAUUUUGAUAUUAAGAAAUUGUUCUCGUUUGAUAAAGCUUCCACCCAAAAUGAGGAAUUUGAUCAAUUUACGCCAUCUCGAUAUAAGAGGUGCGAAGUUGCUGAAGGAGAUGCCAUUCGGAAUGAAAGAGUUGAAGAAGCUUCAAACAUUGUCCAAUUUUAUUGUGGGCAAGGGUGAAACUGCAUCUUGUUUGGAAGAUUUAAAAUGUUUAAACUUUCUUUGUGAUAAACUUUGCAUUGCUGGAUUAGAGAAUGUUAAUAAUCCACAGAAUGCAAGAGAAGCCGCAUUAUGUGAGAAACACAAUCUUGAAGCAUUGACUCUGGAUUAGGGGUUUCAAUUUGACAAUUCCUGAGGAGUAGUAGAAGAGCAUGUACUGGAAAAUCUACAGCCUCAUAAAUGUAUAAAAAAGGUGGCGAUCCGGAACUAUGGUGGUGCAAGAUUUCCCCUUUGGAUAGGAGAUCCUUUGUUCUCCAGGAUAGAGCUCCUAAAAUUGGAGAACUGUGACAAUUGUGUAUCUUUGCCAUCGCUUGGCCUAUUGAGUUCACUUAGACGGCUUGCUGUUAAAGGGCUGAAUAAACUAAAAAGCAUAGGGUCUGAGGUUUAUGGGGAGGGUUUCUCAAUGCCUUUUCCAUCAUUGGAGAUUCUAAGUUUCGAGAAUUUGCCAGAAUGGGAGCAUUGGGACACCGAUGUCAAAGGAAAUGUGCUUGUUGAAAUAUUUCCUCGUCUCCAUCAACUUUCCAUUGUGGAAUGUCCCAAACUCUCGGGAGAACUGCCUGAGCUCCUGCCCUCCUUGGAGACACUUUUUGUUAGUAAAUGUGAAAAGUUGGUAGUUCCAUUGUCUUGCUAUCCGAUGCUCUGCAGAUUAGAAGUUGAUGAGUGCAAGGAACUAGCAUGCGGGACUCCAAUUGAUUUUAAGUUGAUAACGUCUGUGACUAUUUCAAAUAGUUCCUUAGACAUGAAUGGAUGCAAGGGGAUGCUAUACGAUGGUCCAGCUGGCUCUUCACUACCAAAGCCUAUGAUUACUACAAAUGUUUCGGAGUUUGGAAAAUUAUUGAAGCCUGGAUUUCAGAUAUUAGAAACUUUGGUAAUUGCCAAUUCUGAACAGCUCAAGUCAUGGAGGCAGAAUGGGGAUUUUCCGGAAAAAUACACGGCCCCUGAACAUAGGUUUAAGAAACCAGUACGAGGGCUGAAUAUGCUCGCUUCCCCUGAAGAGGUAACAAUUGAAGAAAGUUGCGUACGUCUUGUUUUGUUUCCAGAGAUCAAUUUCUUUCCCAGAAAUCUGCGCUCUCUUCUAAUUAACAACAACACUGCUUUCAAAUCCUUACCCGAGGAAAUGAUGGAAAACAAUUCACAACUCGAAAGGUUGUAUAUCAGAGAUUGCGACUCUCUAACAUUCAUCGCAAGACGGAGGCUACCAGCAUCUCUUAAAAGGCUUGAGAUAGAAAAUUGUGAGAAAUUGCAACGUCUGUUCGAUGAUGAAGAGGAUGCUUCUUCUUCUUCACCUUCACCCUCGUCUUCCCCAGUGAUGCUGCAACACCUGAGUAUAGAGAACUGCCCAGAGCUCACCAGUUUAUCAUCGGGUGUCCAAUUCCUUGAGGCGCUUGAAGACCUCGACAUACAGGGUUGUCCAAAGCUGGAGUCAUUACCGGAUGGCCUGCCCAAUCUUAAAUGUUUACAGAGCAUUUAUAUACGGGGAUGUCCAAGUCUUGUUUCCUUCCCAGAAAGAGGGCUUCCCAACACGAUUUCAAGGGUUGACAUUUGCAGUUGUGACAAGCUCAAAGCCUUGCCCAAUGAUUUGCACAAACUCAACUCUCUUCGAGAUUUAAGAAUACGGCUGUGUCGAAAUCUUGUAUCGUUUCCAGAAGAAGGUUUUCCUACCAAUCUAACAUCACUUACAAUUGGAAAUUUCAAAAUGUAUAAGACACUCGUCCAGUGGGGGUUGCACGGGCUUACCUCUCUUAAACGCCUCUCGAUCAGUGGAUGUCAUGAAGCAGAGUGUUUUCCAGACGAGGAGAUAGGAAUGACGCUGCCCACCUCUCUCACUCAACUGCUCCUUUAGGGAUUCGAAAAACUGAUAUCUCUGUCUUCGACGGGUUUUCAAAGCCUCAACUCUCUUCAAUACUUAUUGAUCUGGGGUUGCCCAAAUCUCACAUCAUUCCCAGAGGCGGGUCUUCCAUCCUCACUUUUGGAUUUAGGCAUUUACAAUUGUCCAAAGCUUAAAAGAGCGUGCAAAAGAGAUCAAGGAAAAGAGUGGCCCAAAAUUGCUCACAUCCCUCGCAUUGAGAUAGACAGAAAAUUCAUAUACGAUCCAGAAUCAGAGGAGUAGAUUCUAUUACAAAGGUCAGUUGAUUUCUAUUAUCCUCUAUAACAAGCUCCUCUUAAUUUUUUUUUUCUAAGUAAUAAUUUUGCAGUUCUGUAUAAUUAUUAAUCGUCUGCUCUUAAUUGAAAAUGUCACUCACUUGAUUCCGUUUUCACUAGUCAAAUUGUAUGUUGAGGCUAUUUGCUUUUUAAUUAUAACACUUAUCUUAAAAUUUAAUACCAAAUUUUUUUGAUUCACUUCAAUUAGCAUUUUGUUUUCCCCAAAUUAGGCAAGCCGAGAGCUUCAUUAACUAGAGUUUUUUAUUUUUCGGACCUUGCAUCUGAAAGGUUCAGUGUAUUUUUUUUUUUUUCAAAUUUAUUGUUCAGAUCUCAGACGAGUAUACGGUUUAGAUUACAAAACACCUAUGAUUAAUUUCUUUUUUUUUUUUUUAAUUUCAGGGAGAAGAAGUGGUCAGUUUCAAUCCGGAAUUGGAAUAUGGCAAUUUGGUUCAAGCACACACACCUGGUCACUUGGUCAGUGAACCUGAACUUUACGCAGUUUUUUCAACUCAGUGAUUUUUGGAACGCAUAUUGGUGUAAGGAAAUCAAUAGAAAUUUAUGCAUAGUCAAAUUCUGAUAUUUGCUAUAAUAUUAUACAUUCUAAAGUUUCUCCAGUUUGUUCUCAGAUUACCAUCAUUUUUUGCCUUCACCAAAAAAAAAUCGAGUGGCUUUCCAGUGGAUAUUUAAUCGGAGGUAUGACUGGAUUUUUUUCACUUCUGUAAAUCUUGCAUUUUAAACUGGCAAAUUUAACUUUAAUUUUAAUACGACUUGUUUGAGGGAAAUACUCCGACGAGACCAGACGUGAUGAGCAGAUGUUUGGUGGCAGAAGUCUGCGAGCAGGUGUGUCCUGUAAGAGCCAGGUAGCAGGGAAACAGGGGCAGAAAUAUCCUGCUCAUCCACGAGCAUGUCAUCCGCGAGGCCAAUUUCCUGUAAGAAACAUAAAGCCAUUCCUGCUGUAUUCUUGCUAAGGGUUGAUUCGAGGAGACCCGGUCAACGACAGUUGGCGAGGCAUGCUCUCCAGCCCGAGAAUCUAGGCACGAAGGCCACGCAACCACCCACGACUACGGAAAUGGGGAAUCCACGUUCGAGAGGUGGGAGGAUAACAGACGUAGACUGCGGAAAACUGGGAUUCAGAGGAAGCCUAUAAAAAGGUAGCCAACGAAGGUAAAAGGGUUAGCAAUUUUGAUUCUAAAAGAGAGAAAACAACCUAACAACCAUAAGAUUUUUGGCAAGCGUUCCCCGAACCUUCAUAUCUGACUUGAGCGUCGGAGGGUUUGCGCCGGGAAAACAACCGGCGUACUCUGACCUGUCUGUGUGCGCAGGAACCUCUGGAGAAGAAGCUUUACGAGGAGAGAUCCUGGUCGUGGUGAAGUUGAUCGAGCAGAGACCCUGGUCGUAGAACGAGGAGAACCAGAAUCUCGCAUCAACACGACUUUGUUGGUGCCUUGUGUUCCAGAAACUAGAAUGAUGUGUAGUUUUCAGAUUAAGGGGCUUGUAAAUUCUCUAGUAAGAAUCCAAUAAUUUGCUUUUGCACAUUCAUUUUAUUUGUGGAUCCUUGCAUCUGAAUUUGAUCAAUCCAAAAGGAAUUGCUUUUAGACAGAAGAAGAAUUGCAGUACCUAGCCUACGACAUAGUAAAUGGACCUGCAAACCUGUAACUAUUAGUUUGAGGUAAAAAAUUCAUGACCCUCACAUGUUAACUUCUUCUAGUUACUUUCAUCAAAAACACAUUUAAGAAAUUUGCAAUUUUUUGUUAGUUUUGUAUACCGAUGUUGUUUUCUGUUUUAGCAUUUGUAUAAUCUACUGUAUUAUAUUUUGGCGGUUGCAGUAUCUGAGGUAUCUUUUGCAUUUAACUUGCUUUAUUUGUUUUGCUUGUGACUUAAGAACACCAAUAUUUGCCAGAGAUUUAGAGAAGCAUAUCAAGAUGCUUGGCAAACUUGACAAACUUCAAGAUCCUUCAUUCUUCACGACCCAAAACUUGUGAGUACACUUAUGCCCGCAAUUAUUGUGAAACGCUUGCAAUUUUGAUGCAGCGAAAUGGUUUGUUGAUGCAAAGGUUUAAACUUUUAAGAUUUACACUGCAGGGUAGUUGGAUGCUGUAUAGUCGAACGGCCACCAACAUCAAGAACUAUAACUCCAAGACCGGGUUUGCAUUAAUUCAAUCAGCUGAAAUAAUGAUGCAAAUGACACUAUCAGCUGGACUUAGAGACCAGUCAGAUCAAUCAUCCUUUUAUCAACAGUUAAUGUCAUGAUGGUGUCUAUCGGAGGAAACAAAGGAUGUGUCGGAAUCAAUAUGAACAGUGAGAAGAAUGAGAGGAGCUUUGAUUAUAAGUAGGCUCAAUGAACUCAUGCUGGUAAGUGGUAAUUAAAGAAAUUUGUGCGCUUAGUAGCAUUCAAUAUUUUCUGUUUGGGAUAUAGUUGAUGAGUUGAUACUCUGAUUAAGAAGCCUGAUUAUAGUAGCUGACUUUUUUUUUGUGGUUUGCUGUUGUUUAUUCUUUCGAUUAAUUUCAACAUUAGGUUGAUCUGUUGAAGAACAAACUUGGGUUUGAUUAUGCUUUAACUACAAGGAAGAGCCAGACUUGGAUGCAGGCGUUCAGCUUUUAAUGGGUAAGAACAAAUGUAUGCUUUAACCAUGUUUCUCACUUAUUACAAUGCACACAUUGAAGGCAUCUGAGCUGAUCCUGAAAAUGUGAUGGAAAUACUUCUCUGUUUACAUAAAACAGACAAAUAGAGAUCUCUGAUCAUGCCUGAGAAUUCGUUGCAUUUAAAAUUUCUACCAUUGCCAAAAAUAGAAUAAACUACGGAUACAUUAGCUUAAGACUCAAUUUUGAGAAGGAAGUUUGCACAUGCAGCCUAAAAAAUCACGUCCGUGUUGUAUACUUGUAUGUUUCUUUGGGAAAUGAAAGAUUCUGUGUUCUUUUAUUUCAAGUUUGCUGAAAUCACAUUUGUUUUCUUAGAUGCUUUUGGGAAGGUAACAACAUCAAUUUCAUAAAUGCUGGGGUAAGAUGCAUCACGCAGUGCUACUCAACAUGAGAAUUCCCGGCCGCAUUACCUGUAUGUUGAGUGAUCGCACAGUACAACCUUUAGAAGCUUGUAAGGAGUAGACAACUAGAUGCGAAUAGUUUCAAUAUGGAUUCGCAUCAAAUGAUCUCUUGCCAGUGAUUACUAUAACCUCUAUCCCAAAAUUCUUGGAACUGGUCAUACCAAUAAUGAAGUAUUGUGUACGUUGAAGACGUAGCUCAAGGCCUUGCGAAAGCUCCGUCAGCCUUUGUAUUGGAAAACAGUUGGUUGUAGUUGCUUCUGAAUGAUAUUAUUAAUAGAUACUGUAAAAAUGAAGUGUGCCACUCAUUUUCAGAGCCCUGUUAAGAUGUGUUGGUAAUGUGUUUGAAGGUUGUUUGAUUUGUGUUGUAUUCAGCUAUAAAUCAAAGAUUCAGAACAUGGUUAUGUUACUGGUUUCCAAAUAAAAAAAUUGCCUUGUGAUGUUAGUGUUCAUUGUUUUCACAGGAGAUCAGGUUCCCUGUUGAUGAAUCAAGAAGGCAAACGCAUCCAUGCCUUAAGUUCAAAUGUGUCUCUUCUAUUUUCUAUUACUGACUCCUUUAUUUUGAUUUCUUCAUUGUAAUGGAAUUGGUUUUCAUUCCAAAUUAGUCAAAACCUCCUAGAGUCAUUAAGUUCUGUUAGCAUUUGAAGAUAGAACUAGAACUAAAUGAUUGACUGGAUUAAAUUCCGAUAAAGAAUUAAGUUAUGUAUUUAGAGAUAUUUUGUUUUUUUUUUCAUUUGUUCAAUUUGGUUAGUGGUGAUUUCUUAAAGACUCAAUCCAUGUGCGUUUAUGCAUUUUUCUUUUGCCUUAAUUUCUGUUUCUUGGGGAGUUUAUACAGAUUCUUAUUUUAUGCUUCACAUGCCACAUGAAAGAUCGAAGCAUUUUGUGUGAUUAGAACUGACUUGCAUCACAGUAACUUUAAACCACUGCCACAUUUUUAUAAUAACAGUCUGAGAUCUCCCUGAAGGAUUCAAAGCAUUUUAUUUUAUAUUAACCUCCUUUAAGUGGGUUUCGACACUACCACAAGUUCUUUAAAUACUAAAACGAUUUUGAGUCUUUUGUAUCAUCUGAUUGAAAUACCUGAAAGCACUCGUGGCUGCAAAAAUAUAUCGAUUUUGAGUAUGGCGUGCAUGUAAAUUAUAUCGAUUUUUUCUAUAUGACAAGUAAGACUCUCUUUUACAAUGGCACGGAUGCGUCAUUGAGUAAUCAUGAUUCUUGCUGGUAGUGCUUUGUUGUAUCAAUCUGCUAGCUAUUCAGCUUUCUUUCUUUCUUUCUUCUUUUUUUUUUUUUUUUUUUGUUUUCAAAUAGCUUGUGGUUGUAGAAAUAUUUCAAUUAAACUAUACUUAAGUACUUAUUUAGUAUAACUUCUUUACUAGCCAAAAUAAUUUUUUUUUGGUUUUUUAUAAUUUAAUUAUACUUUAACUAGAGUUUUUGGGAUUAAACAAGUGAUAAUUUCUCUCUAUUAAGAAAAACUCAAAAUUUUUUAAUUACUAGAAUGCGUCUAAAUUAAAUUACAAUUAUAGACACUAAAAUAUAGUAAAUUUUUUUUUUUACUCUUUAAAACUGUCUUUACAUUCGAUAUCAUAUUUUUUUCUUAAAAUCUAAAUUGAUAUUUUUAUUUUAUUUUUGAUUAAUCUUAGAACACAUAUAAAGUGAUUCAUAUUGAUUUUAUACUAACAAACUAUCAUAGCACAUUCGAAAAUAAUUAACUCGUUCUUAUUUGCAUAGUGAAAAAGGCAAAUAGCUCACCCAAAUGUUAAGGAACUGGAGAGCUGCUGCUGGAGACGAAAGGAUGUGAAAAGCAUGGUAAAGAAAAAUUGCAUAAUUCUCACUUAGAAGAGGAAGAAAAAAAAAAUACAAUUAGAAUGAGAGGUAGCCAGUAGCCAGUAGCCGCCACCACCACCAGUCAAACUAUUUCGACACACUAAUACUGUAAUACAUAUCAAAAUGCAAUAUCGGUCCUAACAAAAUGAAAAUAAAAAUUCAUUACGAAUAUGUGUUAAAGAUAUCCCAAGUAUUGAUGUGAUUGAAAUAUUUGAGAUUGAAGUAGAAAUAAGACUCAAAAUCAAUUGAGAGGAAUAAAUGAGAAACUCUAAUACUAAUAAAAUAUAUUCACAAAUCCUAAUGCUAAUUAAAAUCACGGAUUAAAAAAAAUAAUAUGAAUGAAUUACAGGCGCAACUGUUUCAUUAAAAAAUUAAUAAAAUCGUGUAUUAAUAUUUUGUACACAUACAUUUUUCCAUAUAUAACUUUUGGUAAUUUAGUUUUCCACUUAUCAUUUUUACUCCAAAAAAAUAAUUGAGAAUAUUAUUUAUGUUUUGGUGCAAAAUAUUUAAACAACAUAAAAAUUUUCAGUUUAAUAAAUCUAAACAAUUCUCAAGUUAUAAAUGAAUUUAAUGGGUUUAAUUAGUAAAAAUACUAUUAUUUUAUAAAUUGGGUUUAGUAAUGGUAUAUUGGGUAUUUAAAUGGGUUUGUUGAGUAAAUUUUAAAAUUUUAAAGUUCAAGGGUAGGUUUAUUUAGUAAAUGGGUUAAUGCAGCAAUUUUCAAACUAAAUUUUUGGAAAAAGAGGCUAUUGAGUUUUUUUUAAGAAAAAGAAUUAAAAUGUUGAGAAUACCUUUAUUUAAUUUUAUAAUCUAAUUUUAAAAAAUUUACCCAAUAAAUUUUAUAAUUUUUUAUAAAAAUUAUCAUUAACAUCCAAACAGCUGAAGAUUAAAAAAAAAAAAAGAAGGGAACUGUACUAGCAAAAGUUAGAUUAACAAUAAAUUUAGUCCAAAGAAUAAAGUUAUAGCUAAAAAGUGCUCCUAUCCUAUUUUUCUCUAUUUUAACAAUAAUCUUCCAAUCCAUUUUACAAUGGACUUAACAAAUGGGCUCAAUCUCUAAACUUCAUUUUCUUUUGCUAACCCAUGGCCAUUAGCCAGAAAGCCUAAAACAAUUUUAGGAUCACAUGUGUAAAUGGAACCCCAAGAUUGAUCAAGAAUUAACAAGACAAGAUGAAGAGAUGAUCUUGUAACUAAGAAUGAAGAAAUUGAAUCAAGACAGUACUCUAGUAAAACCCAGAAAACAGAGCUUGAAGAAUCACGCACAAAGCAGUAAAUUUGUAAAACCAGAAUUGGAGCUUCACUUCUCAAGAUAGACGAAACAGGAUACAAUCUAGCUUUGGUCAACUUCGUUUGGCCACGUCAUAAAGUCUUCCCCCACAGUCUUUCCCGCCAAAACAGAAAAGCUUUAAAAGCCAUUUACCCUCCUGAGUUACUUGCUCCUAUUACAUCAAGGCCCUGUAAGUCUAUAUUUAUUAUUACAAAAGCACCCUUAAACCGAGAUUUGAGAUAUUUUUUCAAAGAUCGAAGCGCAUGAUUUCACGGCUAUGUUGCAUAGUGAAUUUUAGUGCUUUACAGUUAAGGGAUAGUUUAAAUUCAUUACAAAGCAUUCGCAAAGAAAUUGUUUUUAAAUGAAACUCCUCGUCUUGACCAGAUUAUUUAUUAUUAUUAAAAAAAAAAUGUUCAAAACUUAGCCAAAGUGAUAAACUCGUAAUUAUUCUACAAAGGGAACAAUUUUGAACGGUGGGAAAUUCCAUAAUUAUGCUUUUCUGUGAAUUAUUUUAAAUAAAAUUAUAAAAAUUAAUAUAAAAUUAUAAUAAUGAUAGAGCCACAAACUCUUGUACAAAUUUAUUUUAUACAAACUCAUGUGGCAUGAUAAGAUUGGUUGAAUUAAAUAUUACUUGGCCCACAUGAUUUGUUUUUAUUAUUUUAUAUUUUUAUUCAACCAAUAAAUUAAUACCACGUCAGUUUGUACAAAAUAAAUUUAUACAAAAAUUUGUGACUCGAUCAUCACUCAUAAAAUUAAUACCCGGUAAAGACUGUAGAGAGACAAGUGCCCCCAACAGAAUCAAGUGAAUAUGCCCCACAAAGAUCACAUGAUCAUUUCUGUUCUUUUUCUUUUUGAUAAUUUUAUCUGUGGUUUCAACUUUUAUGCUUUAUUGUCGUAUCCCGUUGAGGGCUCCGCUGCACCCAUUACAACUUACCCCUAAAUUGCCUCUUACUAACUAAACCGUUAGAUUUUAUGGAAGCACGUUCAAUGUUGAAUUUUAAUUAUGUCAUCGAAUUUCGUUUAGCUCCUUAAACUCCAUUUUAUUUGUAAUUUCUUCAUAAAAUAUUCAAAGCUUCAUCAAGCUCCUGAUGGACCAUCAUGGCUAGGGGUGCAUUAGAGCCGAACUGAAAUAUGUUAGUUCAGUUCAGUUUGGUCAGUUUAAAUCGAAUGGUUUAGAAUAUAUAAACUGAUCAAUUUUAAUUUUGAAUUGAACCGAACCGAAAAUCAAUUGGUUCACUAUUAGUAUUUUUGUAUAAACAAGAAUGAUUAGUGAUUAUAAUUAAAUUGGACUAAAAAAAAUUCAAACUAAGGUGAAAAAUAUCAAAUCUUAGACAAUAUAAAAAAAAAUAUUAAAUUUUUUUAACCGAAACGAACCGAAUUAUUUUGACUCAGUUUGGUUCAUAAUUUUUUAAACCAAACUGAUUUAUUCCCACCCCCUAAUCGUGGCUCUCUAUCUUUAGUCAUUCACCCUUGAGUUUGAUGCCAAUUGUUGGGUUUCAAAUGAUUAUACACUCAAAUGGAACCCUCAUAACAAAAAACUAACAGAAACAAUAAGAACACGAUGUUAAAAUCUUAAAUCAAUCGCAAAAAAGCACCCAAAACAGAUCGAUUAGGAACAGUUAAGAACAAAAGAUUUGAUGGUUCAAAAUCAUAAUGUGACCUACGUACUUUCAUCCAAGAAUCAUACUAAUUGCUUUACUAGUUGUCAAACUCAAGAUCACAAGAUUGUUUAUCACUCUACAUAAAAAUUUUUUUUAGAAGAAAUACUCCCCAAUUUUUCUCUUAAUAGUUAUGAAUCAACACCCCUAGGAAGCCUGUUGAUUUACUUUUCCUUAUUUCCUAUGAUCGGUUGCUGCAACUUAAUCCUUGCCAAGCUCCAACAUAGUCCAAACACUUUUAACGGUACAGGCAUAGUGCACCUUCAGAAACUUUACAGCUCCUCUUAAAACCUCAGGCAUCGUAAGCACAUUAAGCAGCCGACAACACUCUUCUUCAUUUCUUCAUUGUCAAUUUCCUUCUUGGAACAUUGCUCCAUUGAGAGUCUGCUAGAAUUGCUCCAAUUAUUAUUAUUAUUUAAAAAAAAAAGAAAACCCUGCAAUAAGAGUAUAAGACUAAGCAACGGUCCUUUUUUUUUCCCCAUUCUUGAACCUAAAGUAUUUGAGUAUGCAAAUUAAUAAAUAAAUUCAUUUAUUUUUAUUAAAAUUUUGUAAAAUUAUAAUUUUUAAUAAAAAUAAUUAUUAAAAUUUUGUAAAAUCUAAAUUUAGAAAAAUUCAGUUGGGCACCUCUAUUUGAGAUUUAUUUUUUAUUAAAUUUAGGGAUAUUUUUAUAAUUAUAAUUUUUAAUUUUAAAAGUUUUUAUAAGAUAAAAUAGUCUUUUAAUUUAUUUAGGGGGUAAAAUUGGUGUUUUAUUAAAAUUAUUUAAUUGUGUUAAUGCAAAAGUGGCUAUUUGAUACAAAUGUGAAAAGAAAGGUGGUGCAAAAUAUAUGUUAAAAUUUUAUAUUGGUUGGAUGAACAUAAGCUAAAAUAAAGGUGGUGCAAUGAUAAUUUCCCUAUCCUAAAACUUAAUUGACUUAAUUCUUACGGUGCAAGGAAGAGGUUUCCAAGUUUAAAUCUAAAGGCUUGUAUUUAAUUUGGGGUUGGGAAAGCACUGAGAAAUAAAUGUAACUAAGGAAAAAAAAAAAGUCACGCAGUCCAAAUAAGUAGAUAUAUUUAAUAUGAGGUGGGGAUGGGUGAACUGUAAUUCAGAAAAAAAUAAAAUAAAAUUUUAUAUAAAGUUGAGGGUGUGUUUUAAUGGUUUCUUAUGCUGCGUUUAUUUUUUGGACUAGAGUGAGAAUUCUAAAAAGUGAGAAUCCUAUGAUUAGGUGUGUGGAGUGGGAGUGGGAGUAUGGUAUUUACUUAGACUAAAUAAAAGUAUGGAUUGUCAAUCAGAAUCUCAAUUAUUUGUUACUUUGUCUUGGAUUGAGAGUAAAUUAUUUUAAAUUACAAUUUUAUCCUUAUGUAAAGAAUUAUAAUUUGUAAUUAAAAAAUUAAUAAAAAUAUAUUGGAAAAUAAAAUAAAUAUUUUAUUAUAUUUAUAAAAUAAUAAUAAUUAAUAAAAUUCUUAAUUAUGUAAAUCAUAAUUUUUUAUUAAUUUAAAUUUAAAUUAUGUGAAUAAAAUUAUUAAUAAUAGCAACACAAAUGAAACAUUAUUAUUAAUAAUAUAGUAUAAAAUUAAUAUUUUUUUAGAAUAAAAUAUUUAUUAUUAUUAAAUAAAUAAAUAAUAUUUAUUAAAAUUAAUGUUUAAUAUUAUUAAUUUAAAUAUAAUAUUUAUUUAUUUUUAUUUUAUUUUAUUAAAUUUAAUAAAAUAAAUAUGUUAUAAUUAUUAUUUUUAAUAAAUAUGAUAUUAUUUAUUUUAUUAAAUAUUAUUUAUUUAUUUUAAUUAUGAGGGUAAAAAUGGAAGAGGGGGAGUGGAUUCCCACUCCCACCUCCCCCCAUGGGAGUGGGAAUCCCACUCUCCCCUUAAAAAUGGUAAGUAAAUAUUAGAAUGGGAAGAAUCUACACUCUACACUUUCUAGAAAAUAAACACUACCUUUAUUUAAAUCGAUUUGUUGGAUAUUUAGCUAAAAUGAGAGUAGCUCUCUAAUAAUUAUUGCAUUAUUACAAACAUAUCCAACGGUUAUAAUAGCGCGCUGAAUCAAUGCUUCAGAAGGAUGACAGUCUGAGUGAAAAGGAAAUAAACGCUUUCAAUUGAAUUACUACCACUACACUCCAAUACUCUAUUAUUGUUUGUGUGCUUGCUUGUGGACCUUUUUACUUCUUACUAUCAUUAUUGAAUUCCAUUUCCAAAUUUUCAGCAUACUUUUGCUUUCUUUCAGUAUCUUCAGUUUCUCUUUUGCUUGCUAUCAAUUCAGUUUUCUUCUUGUGAAGAUCGAACGGAACCAUGGUUGCUGUGGGAGAGAUCUUACUCAACGCCUUCUUUCAGGUGUUGUUUGACAGGUUGGCUUCCCGUGAUUUGCUCAGCUUUGUCCGUCAACUUGGAGGCGGGGACGAUUCCGAGCUCAAGAAGUGGGAAAGAAAGCUGAAGAUGAUUCAGGCGGUGCUCAACGAUGCAGAGGAGAAGCAACUGACCGACGAGGCCGUGAAGAUGUGGCUGGACGAUCUCCAAGACUUGGCUUAUGACGCUGAGGACAUUCUUGAGGAGUUUGCUACUCAAGCUUUGGAAAGCAAGUUGAUGGCGAAAAAUCAGGAUCGCAUUGGCCAGGUUCUUAGUUUCAUACCGGCUAGUUUGAAUCCGAAUGCUAUUAUGUCCAAUUAUAGCAUGGGAUCCAAGAUUAAAGAUAUUACUAGCCGGUUGGAGCAACUCUGCCAAGAUAGAAUUGAACUUGGGCUGCAACGGAUUGCUGGAGGGGCAUCAUCAACUACUUCUGCUGCACAUCAGAGGCGAGACAGUUCGAGUGUCCCAACAGAACGUGAAGUAUUUGGAAGAGAAGAAGAUAAGGCCAAAAUUCUUGAUAUGGUAUUGACCGAUACCCCAAGUGAUCGUGCCAACUUUGUUGUAAUACCCAUUGUUGGCAUGGGCGGGAUAGGAAAAACAACUCUUGCCCGGGAGGUCUACAAUGACAAGGCCGUUGAAGAUUCCAAGUUUGAUGUAAAAGCAUGGGUUUGUGUCUCUGAUGUCUUUGAUAUUUUGGGCAUCUCAAAGGCACUUCUCCAGUCAAUCACCUCCGCAGCUAGUGAUCUCAAGACUUUAAAUGAGGUGCAGGUUCAACUGAAAAAAGCAGUUGACGGAAAAAGAUUCUUGCUGGUCUUAGAUGAUGUUUGGAACGAGAACUACAACUUGUGGGAAGACUUAAAAGCUCCGUUCCUGGAUGCUGCACCAAACAGCAAGAUGAUCGUCACCACACGCAAUUCAAGUGUUGCAUCAACAAUGAGACCCAUUGAACAUUUCAAUCUCAAGAGUCUGUUGGAUGACGAUUGCUGGUCCAUUUUUAUAAAGCAUGCAGUUGAAGGUGGAGAUCUUAACGAGGAUCAAAUUUCAGAAUCAUUCCGCAAGAAAGUUGUUGGCAAGUGUGGAGGCUUGCCUCUGGCAGCAAAAACUCUCGGGGGCCUUCUGCGUACGACGAGGCAUGAUGGGUGGGAUGGUAUAUUGGAUAGCAAAAUAUGGGAAUUACAUCAACAUAGCAGCAUUCUCCCUGUGUUAAGAUUGAGUUACCAUCAUCUUCCGUCUCAUUUGAAAAGAUGUUUUGCUUUUUGUGCCAUCUUUCCAAAAGAUUAUGAAUUCACUGAGAAGGAGCUGACUUUCUUAUGGAUGGCUGGAGGUAUUAUUCGACAGUCAAGAAACAAUGAGCAGCUGGAAGAUUUGGGCAGCAAGUGCUUUGGUGAUCUAGUGUCAAGGUCAAUUUUUCAACAAACAGCAAUCUCUGAUAGUUCUAAAUUUGUAAUGCACGACCUUAUCCAUGAUCUUGCUGAAUUGGUCUCUGGAGGAACCAUAUUUAGGUCAGAGGAGGCCAAUACUCUAUCAAGAAGAUUUGAAAGGGUUCGCCAUUCUUCCUAUACCCGUGAUUGGUAUGAUGGUAAAAAUAAGUUCGAGGUUUUCAAUGAAAUUGAACAUCUACGAACAUUCUUGCCGUUAAGAGGUAACUAUUGUACUAGUUACAUAACUCGACCGAUUCUAUCUGAUAUGCUGCCAAAGUUCAAAAGGUUGAGAACGCUAUCUUUACAAGGAUACUGUAUUGGUGAGUUACCAAUUCCAUUUGAAGAUUUGAGACUUUUAAGGUUCCUCAACCUUGCUGACACUGACAUAAGAAGUUUACCUGACUCAACAUGCAAAUUGCUGAACUUGGAAAUUCUGAUAUUAAGAAAUUGUUCCCGUUUGAUAAAGCUUCCGCAGAAAAUGAGGAAUUUGAUCAAUUUAUGCCAUCUGGAUAUAAGAGGUGCGAAGUUGCUGAAGGAGAUGCCAGUCGGAAUGAAAGAGCUGAAGAAGCUUCAAACAUUGUCCAAUUUUAUUGUAGGCAAGGGUGAAUCCGCAUCUGGUUUGGAAGAUUUAAAAAGUUUAAACCUUCUUUGUGAUGAACUUUGCAUUGCUGGAUUAGAGAAUGUGAAUAAUCCACAGAAUGCAAGAGAAGCCGCAUUAUGUGAGAAGCACAAUCUUGAAGCAUUGACUCUAACAUGGUGGCCUCAAUUUGACAGUCCUCGAGGUGUAGUAGUGGAAGAGAAUGUACUUGACGUUUUGCAGCCUCAUAAAUGUAUAAAAAAGGUGGCAAUCAGGAACUAUGGUGGUGCAAGAUUUCCACCUUGGAUAGGAGAUACUUUAUUCUCCAAGAUAGAGCUCCUUGAAUUGAAGAACUGUGACAAUUGUGUGUCUUUGCCAUCGCUUGGCCUAUUGAGUUCACUUAAACACCUUGCUGUUAAAGGGCUGAAGAAACUAAAAAGCAUAGAGUCUGAGGUUUAUGGGGAGGGUUUGUCAAUGCCUUUUCCAUCGUUGGAGGUUCUAAGUUUUGAGAAUUUGCCUGAAUGGGAGUAUUGGGACACCAAUAUCAGAGGAAAUGUGCUCGUUGAAAUGUUUCCUCGUCUCCAUAAACUUUCCAUUGUGGAAUGUCCAAAACUCUCUGGGGAACUGCCUGAGCUCCUGCCCUCCUUGGAGACACUUGUUGUUAUUAAAUGUGAAAAUUUGGUAGUUCCAUUGUCUCGCUAUCCGAUGCUCUGCAGAUUAGAAGUUGAUGAGUGCAAGGAACUAGCGUGCGGGACUCCAAUUGAUUUCAAGUUGAUAAAGUCUGUGACUAUUUCAAAUAGUUCCUUAGACAUGGAUGGAUGCAAGGGGAUGCUAUACGAUGGUCCAGCUAGCUCUUCACUGCCAAAGCCCACGAUUACUACAAAUGUUUUGGAGUUUGGAAAAUUAUUGAAGCCUGGAUUUCAGAUAUUAGAAACGUUGGUAAUUGGCAAUUCUGAACAGCUCAAGUCAUGGAGGCAGCAUGGGGAUUUUCUAGAAGAAUAUAUGGUCGCUCGCCAAAGGUUUAAGAAACCAGUACAAGGGCUGAAUAUGCUCGCUUCCCCUGAAGAGGUAACAAUUGAAGAAAGUUGCGUACGUCUUGUUUUGUUUCCAGAGAUCAAUUUCUUUCCCAGAAAUCUGCGCUCUCUUCUAAUUAACAACAACACUGCUUUCAAAUCCUUACCCGAGGAAAUGAUGGAAAACAAUUCACAACUCGAAAGGUUGUAUAUCAGAGAUUGCGACUCUCUAACAUUCAUCGCAAGACGGAGGCUACCAGCAUCUCUUAAAAGGCUUGAGAUAGAAAAUUGUGAGAAAUUGCAACGUCUGUUCGAUGAUGAAGAGGAUGCUUCUUCUUCUUCUUCUCCUUCAUCCUCGUCUUCCCCAGUGAUGCUGCAACGCCUGAAUAUAAAGAACUGCCCAGAGCUCACCAGUUUAUCAUCGGGUGUCCAAUUCCUUGAGGCGCUUGAAGGCCUCGAGAUAUGGGAUUGUCCAAAGCUGGAGUCAAUACCGGAUGGCCUGCACAAUCUUAAAUGUUUACAGAGCAUUCAUAUAGAUGGAUGUCCAAGUCUUGUUUCCUUGCCCAAUGACAUGCACAAACUGAACUCUCUUCGAGAUUUAAACAUACGGGCGUGUCCAAUAUCGUUUCCAGAAGAAGGUUGUCCUACCAAUCUAACAUCACUUACACUUGGAUAUGUCGAAAUGUAUAAGACACUCGUCCAGUGGGGGUUGCACAGGCUUACCUCUCUUAGAAGCCUCGACAUUUUUGGAUGUGAUGAUGAAGCAGAGUGUUUUCCAGACGAGGAGAUAGGAAUGACGCUGCCCACCUCUCUCACUCAUCUGCACCUUUUUGAUUUCGAAAAAUUGAGAUCUCUGUCUUCGACGGGUUUUCAGAGCCUCACCUCUCUUCAAUCUUUGGAUAUCUGGUUUUGCCCAAAUCUCACAUCAUUCCCAAAGGUGGGCUUUCCAUCCUCACUUGUGGAAUUACGCAUUAGAGAUUGUCCAAAGCUUAAAAAAGCGUGCAAAAGAGAUCAAGGAAAAGAGUGGCCCAAAAUUGCUCACAUCCCUUGCGUUGAGAUAGACGAUAAAUUCAUAUACCAUCCAAAAUCAGAGGUGUAGAGUGUAUUAUUAAGGUCAGUUGAUUUAUGUUAUCCACCAUAACAAGCUCCUCCUUUUUUUUUAAAUAAUAAUUUUGCAGUCACUCGCGUGAUUCCGUUUUCACAAGUCAGAUUGUAUGUUGAGGCUAUUUGCCUUUUAAUCGCAGAUUAAAUUAUAACACUUAUCUUAAAAUUUAAUACCAUAGACAGAUAGACGAUUUUUUAAUCCAAAGUUUUUUUAUUCACUUCAGUUAGCAUUUUUUUUUUCCCCAAAUCAUGCAAGCCGAGAGUUUCAAUCAACAGAAUUUUAUUCACUCAUUGACUUUUCAACUGCUGUGGUUAUUUAUGGGUGAAAGAUAAAUUUCUUAGAUGGUAGAUAUAUCGACAUUUUAGAUUUCAGAUAUUUGUCACCAAUUUCAUUCCUUUUUUUAAAAUUUUUUUUAAGCAAGUUUGACUAAUUUUAACCAGAAUUGGAGUAUAAUAUUUUGGAGCAAGCAUACUUGAAAUUUCUGUCUUCAAUUUUUUUGAUGCUUUUUUAAUUUUGAUCUAGUAAAAAUACAUAGCCUUCACCGGCAGGAUUCUAGUCUUGGCUUUCACCUCUCUAACUCAUCUGUCCCUAUUGGGAUUCCAGAAAUUUAAAUUUCUGUCUUCAAUGGGUUUUCAAAGCCUCACCUCUCUUCGAUUUUUGUGGAUUGGGAAUUGCACAAAUCUCACAUCAUUUCCCGAGGUCGAGGAAAAGAGCGGCCCAAACUAUCAGCGGUGUUGAUUCUCUUAUUAAGGUCAGCUGAUUUCUAUUAUCCACUCUGACAAUCUCCUAUUAGUGUUUUUUUUUUAAAAAAUUUGCAGUUCUGUAUAAUUGAAAUGCCACUCACUUGUUUCCUUCUUCACAGGUCAGAUAGUAUGUUAAAGCUAUUAGUGCUGCCUCAUAGGUUGAUUACUCACAGAUGAAAUCAUAACUUUUAUCUUAAAAUUUAAUAGCAUACACAGAUAGACGAUUUUUAGUCCAAAGUUUUUUUUAUUCACUUCAAUCAAAAUUUUAGAUUGCAGAUUUUUGUCGAGUAUUUUCAUUCCAAUUUUUUCAUUUUUUAUUUUAAACCAGAAUUGGAGUAUAAAAUUUUGGAGCGCGCAUACUCUGAUGCAUGCAAUUAACUGUUUUUAAUCGUUGGAUUUUGAAAUUAAUGAUGGUAAGAUGUGUACUUAUUCUUUCUUCCAACAACCUUGCCUUCUUUCUUCGGUCGCAUAUCUAAUGAAUAUUUCUCUGUUUAGUUAAGGAUGAAUGCUUGGAGUGGGGUACUUGGUAACAUUUCUGCCUUAGAUGAAUCCUUGAAGAAAUGCCCGCAGUUCCUGAGACCAAAUACAGGUCUGAUUCAAAACAGCACCUUUCCCAGAAAAUAUGAUCCAAGGCAAAGUCAUGUUCUGAUAAUGUUUCCUUAAGUACUAAGUUGCAAGGAAACUUGAUUCAUUAACUACAGUUUUUUAUUUUUAGGACCUUGUAUCUGAAAGGUUCAGUGUUUUUUUUUUUCAAAUUUAUUGUUCAGAUCUCAGAGGAGUAUAUGGUUUAGAUUACAAAACACCCAUGAUUAAUUUCAUUUUUUUUUUAAUUUCAGGGAGAAGAAGUGGUCAGUUUCAAUCCGGAAUUGGAAUAUGGCAAUUUGGUUCAAGCAAACACACCUGGUCACUUGGUCAGUGGUCACUUGGUCAGCGAACCUGAACUUUACGCAGUUUUUUCAACUCAGUGAUUUUUGGAACGCAUAUUGGUGUAAGGAAAUCAAAAGAAAUUUAUGCAUUGUCAAAUUCUGAUAUUUGCUAUAUAUUAUACAUUCUAAAGUUUCUCCAGUUUGUUCUCAGAUUACCAUCAUUUUUUGCUUUCACCAACCAAACAAAAACAAAAUGAGUGGCUUUCCGGUGGAUAUUUAAUCGGAGGUAUGACUGGAUUUUUUUCACUUCUGUAAAUCUUGCAUUUUAAACUGGCAAAUUUAACUUUAAUUUUAAUAGGACUUUGUUGGUACCUUGUGUUCCAGAAACUAGAAAGAUGUGUAGUUUUCAGAUAAAGGGGCUUGUAAAUUCUCUAGUAAGAAUCCAAUAAUUUGCUUUUGCACGUUCAUUUUAUUUGUGGAUCCUUGCAUCUGAAUUUGAUCAAUCCAAAAGGAAUUGCUUUUAGACAGAAGAAGAAUAGCAGUACCUAGCCUAUGACAUAGUAUAUGGACCUGCAAACCUGAAACUAUUAGUUUGAGGUAAAAAAUUCAUGACCCUCACAUGUUAACUUCUUCUAGUUACUUUCAUGAAAAACACAUUUAAGAAAUUUGCAAUUUUUUGUUAGUUUCGUAUCCGAUGUUGUUUUCUGUUUUAGCAUUUGUAGAAUCUACUGUAUUAUAUUUUGGCAGUUGCAGUAUCUGAGGUAUGUUUUGCAUUUAACUUGCUUUGUUUGUUUUGCUUGUGACUUAAGAACACCAAUAUUUGCCAGAGAUUUAGAGAAGCAUAUCAAGAUGCUUGGCAAACUUGACAAACUUCAAGAUCCUCCAUUCUUCACAACGCAAAACUUGUGAGUACACCUAUGCCCGCAAUUAUUGUGAAAUGCUUGCAAUUUUGAUGCACUGAAAUGGUUUGUUGAUGCAAAGGUUUAAACUUUUAAGAUUCACCCUGCAGGGUAGUUGGAUGCUGUAUAAUCGAAAAGCGACCAACAUCAAGAAUUAUGACUCCAAGACCGGGUUUGCAUUAAUUCAAUCAGCUGAAAUCAUGAUGCAAAUGACACUAUCAGCUGGACUUAGAGACCAGUCAGAUCAAUCAUCCUUUUAUCAACAGUUAAUGUCAUGAUGGUGGCUAUCGGAGGAAACAAAGGAUGUGUCGGAAUCAAUAUGAACAGUGAGAAGAAUGAGAGGAGCUUUGAUUACAAGUAGGCUCAAUGAACUCAUGCUGGUAAGUGGUAAUUAAAGAAAUUUGUACGCUUAGUAGAGUUUCAAUAUUUUCUGUUUGGGAUAUAGUUGAUAAUUUGAUACUCUGAUUAAGAAGCCUGAUUAUAGUAGCUGACUUUUUUUUUGUGGUUUGCUGUUGUUUAUUCUUUCGAUUAAUUUCAACAUUAGGUUGAUCUGUUGAAGAACAAACUUGGGUUUGAUUAUGCUUUAACUACAAGGAAGAGCCAGGCUUGGAUGCAGGCGUUCAGCUUUUAAUGGGUAAGAACAUAUGUAUGCUUUAACCAUGUUUCUCACUUAUUACAAUGCAUGCAUUGAAGGCAUCUGAGCUGAUCCUGAAAAUGUGAUGGAAAUACUUCUCUGUUUACAUAAAACAGGACAAGAGAUCUCUGAUCAUGCCUGAGAAUUCGUUGCAUUUAAAAUUUCUACCAUUGCCAAAAAUAGAAUAAACUAGGGAUAGAUUAGCUUAAGACUCAAUUUUGAGAAGGAAGUUUGCACAUGCAGCCUAAAAAAUCAUGUCCGUGUUGUAUACUUGUAUGUUUCUUUGGGAAAUGAAAGAUUCUGUGUGUUCUUUUGUUUCAAGUUUGCUGAAAUCACAUUUGUUUUCUUAGAUGCUUUUGGGAAGGUAACAACAUCAAUUUCAUAAAUGCUGGGGUAAGAUGCAUCACGCAGUGCUACUCAACAUGAGAAUUCCCGGCCGCAUUACCUGUAUGUUGAGUGAUCGCACAGUACAACCUUUAGAAGCUUGUAAGGAGUAGACAACUAGAUGCGAAUAGUUUCAAUAUGGAUUCGCAUCAAAUGAUCUCUUGCCAGUGAUUACUAUAACCCCUAUCCCAAAAUUCUUGGCAUUGGUCAUACCAAUAAUGAAGUAUUGUGUACGUUGAAGACAUAGCUCAAGGCCUUGCGAAAGCUCCGUCAGCCUUUGUAUUGGAAAACAGUUGGUUGUAGUUGCUUCUGAGUGAUAUUAUUAAUAGAUACUGUAAAAAUGAACUGUGCCACUCAUUUUCAGAGCCCUGUUAAGAUGUGUUGGUAAUGUGUUUGAAGGUUGUUUGAUUUAUGUUGUAUUCAGCUACAAAUCAAAGAUUCAGAACAUGGUUAUGUUACUGGUUUCCAAAUCAAAAAAAUGCCUUGUGAUGUUAGUGUUCAUUUUUUUCACAGGAGAUCAGGUUCCCUGUUGAUGAAUCAAGAAGGCAAACGCAUCCAUGUCUUAAGUUCAAAUGUGUCUCUUCUAUUUUCUAUUACUGACUCCUUUAUUUUGAUUUCUUCAUUGUAAUGGAAUUGGUUUUUUAUUCCAAAUUAGUCAAAACCUCCUAGAGUCAUUAAGUUCUGUUAGCAUUUGAAGAUAGAACUAGAACUAAAUGAUUGACUGGAUUAAAUUCCGAUAAAGAAUUAAGUUAUAUAUUUAGAGAUAUUAUGUUUUUUUUUUUUUCAUUUGUUCAAUUUGGUUAGUGGUGAUUUCUUAAAGACUCAAUCCAUGUGCGUUUAUGCAUUUUUCUUUUGCCUUAAUUUCUGUUUCUUGGGGAGUUUAUACAGAUUCUUAUUUUAUGCUUCACAUGCCACAUGAAAGAUCGAAGCCUUUUGUGUGAUUAGAACUGACUUGCAUCACAGUAACUUUAAAUCACUGCGACAUUUUUAUAAUAACAGUCUGAGAUCUCCCUGCAGGAUUCAAAGCAUUUUAUUUUAUAUUAAACUCCUUUACGUGGGUUUGGACACUACCACAAGUUCUUUAAAUACUAAAACGAUUUUAAGUCUUUUGUAUCAUCUGAUUUAAAUACAUGAAAGCACUCGUGGCUGCAAAAAUACAGUUGGGGCUAUUUCUAAAGUCUUCAACAGCAUUUUCUUUUUAACCUUUAUCCUCAUGGUUGUUUUUGCAGUUGUUCUUUAAGAAAACAUUUAAAAGGUUCUCUUUAUGGAUUUUUGAAAAUAAUUUUAACAUGAGCAAUUUUCAGAAGCACUUUAGAUGUCUGGCAUUUAGGAAAUUUUAUUUCGGUGUCACAUAAAAUACUUAGGAAGUUAAAUUUAUUUAUUUAUGAGCAUGUGCCAGUGCCCAGUGGCAUCCUCUUCACUUGUGAUAGUCAAAUGUAUUAUACGAUACAAUAUUAGCUUGACUGUAGCACAGAGGAGAAUAGGGUUGGUGUUGGUCUGAACCAGCUUAUGUAACAGCUGCCAAAGGAUAAUUUAAUUGUACUUUGAGUAAAGCUUUUGCGAAUUAAACAAGUGAUAAUUUGUUUUUAUUAAGAAAAACUUAAGGAAUUAGGCUAUUUUAACUGACCAAAUUACACAUUAAAAAUUCAUUUACAAAAAUAGUUUUUAGUUAUUAAAAUAUUCCUAAAUUAAAUUAUAAUUAUGGACACUAAAAUAUUUUUUUUAUAUUUUACUCUUUGAAACUGUCUUUAUAUUCGAUAUUAUAUUUUUUUCUUAAACUCUAAAUUGAUUUUUUUUUUUGAUUAAUUUUAAAACACCUAUAAAGUGAUUCAUAUUGAUUUUAUACUAACAAACUAUUAUAGCACAUUCGAAAAAUAAUUAAAUCGUUCUUAUUUACAUAGUGAAAAUGCAAAUAGCUCGUUCAAAUGUUAAGGAAUUGGAGAGCUGCUGCUGGAGAUGAAAGAUGUGAAUUAAACAUCAGAAAAAAAAUUAUGUUUACUAUCUUGCCAGACCAAGCACCGAAAAGCAUCGUAAAGAAAAAUUAGAUAAUUUAGAAGAUAAAGCACGUGGAAUGGAGGCAGAAAGCAAGUAAUGAUAACUCUUUCGACAAACUAAUAUAUACCAAAAUGCAAUAUCAAAAAUGAAAAUAAAAAUUCAUUACGAAUACGUGUUAAAGAUAUCCCAAGUAUAGAUGUGACUGAAAUAUUUGAGAUUGAAGAAGAAUUAAGACUCAAAAUCAAUUGGGAGGAAUAAAUGAGAAACCUCAAUACCAAAAAAUACACGCGCAAAUCCUAAUACUAAUUGUAAUUGCAGAUAAAUAGCAUAAUACGAAUAAAUUCCAUGGGCAACUAUUUCAUUGAGAAAUUAAUUAAAUCGUGUAUUAAUAUUUUGUAUACAUAUAUUUUUCUAUAUAUGACUUUCGGUAAUUUAAUUUUCCACUUAUCAUUUUUACUCCAAAAAAAUAAUUGAGAAUAUUAUUUAUGUUUUGGUGCAAAAUAUUUGAACAAUAUACAAAUUUUCAGUUUAAUAAAUCUAAACAUCUAUUAAGUUAUAAAUGAAUUUAAUGGGUUUAAUUAAUAAAAUUACUAUUAUUAUAUAAAUUGGAUUUAGUAAUGGUACAUUGGGUGGGUUUGUUGAGUAAAUUUUAAAAUUUUGAAAUUUAAGGAUGGGUUUAUUUAGUAAAUGAGUUAAGGGAGUAGUUUGUUGGGAUUCACAUAACGCCACCAAAUUCAAAUGUAAAAUUUAUGGAAAAAGAAGCUAUUGAGUUAUUCUUUUUAAAAAAAGAAUUAAAAUGUCAAGAAUACCUUUAUUUAAUUUUAUAAUCUUAUUUUAUAGUCAUAUUUUAUUUCCACCUUAACAUAAUUUUAAAAAACCUUAACUAAUAAAUUCUAUAUUUUUUUUAUAAAAGUUAUCAUUAAUAUCCAAACGGCUAAAGAUUUUUUUUUUUAAAAAAAAAGAAACUAUGCUUACAAAAGUUGUAUACAUUAACAAUAAAUUUAGUCCAAAGAAUAAAGUUAUUCCAAACAAGCACUCCUAUUCAUCUUGCUAAUGAAUCAAGAUGACUGAAUCCAUUCUCUAAGCCAAAUCUAUUUUCACUUCUAGGUCAGAAAUUGUCAUUAAAAAAGUGUUUGAUAAAAUAUGCUCUGGGAACACUAAUUCGUCAGAUGGUUACUCCAAGUUUAUGAAAUCAAUGGGGUUUCAUCAUAUUCAUAACAUUCUUCUUUAAUGUCUAUUCUAACAAAGAAAUUACUAGAAAACUUUUACUAGAAAAACUAACCACAAUUCAUCAUUCAUUUAUAUCUUAAGUAAGCGUAAGAUUUUAUCAUUAAAAUCUCAUCAUGAAAAAACUCAUGGGAGAAAAACUAUAAAAAUUGAAGAAAAAAGAGUAUGGCGUGCAUGUAAAUUAUAUCGAUUUUAUCUAUAUGACAAAUAAGACUCUCUUUUACAAUGGCACGGAUGCUUCAUUGAGUAAUCAUGAUUCUUGCUGGUAGUGCUUUGUUGUAUCAAUCUGCUAGCUAUUCAGCUUUCUUUCUUUCUUUCUUCUUUUUAUUUUUUUUGUUUUCAAAUAGCUUGUGGUUGUAGAAAUAUUUCAAUUAAACUAUACUUAAGUACUUAUUUGGUAUAACUUCUUUACUAGCCAAAAGAUUUUUUUUUUGGUUUUUUAUAAUUUAAUUAUACUUUAACUAGAGUUUUUGGGAUUAAACAAGUGAUAAUUUCUCUCUGUUAAGAAAAACUCAAACGGUAGGGUUAUCUCAAUCCACCAAACUAUUUAUUAAAAAUCCACUUAUGAAAAUAAUUUUUAAUUAUUAGAAUGCCUCUAAAUUAAAUUACAAUUAUAGACACUAAAAUAUAGUAAAAAAAAUUUUUUUUUACUCUUUAAAACUGUCUUUACAUUCGAUAUCAUAUCUUUUUCUUAAAAUCUAAAUUGAUUUUUUUUUUAUUAAUCUCAGAACACAUAUGAAGUGAUUCAUAUUGGUUUUAUACUAACAAACUAUCAUAGCACAUUCGAAAAUAAUUAACUCGUUCUUAUUUGCAUAGUGAAAAGGCAAAUAGUUCAUCCAAAUGUUAAAGAAUUGGAGAGCUGCUGCUGGAGAUGAAAGAUGUGAAAAGCAUGGUAAAGAAAAAUUACAUAAUUCUCACUUAGAUGAGGAAGAAAAAAAAAAGAAUACAAUUAGAAUGAGAGGUAGCCAAUAGCCACUAGCCGCCGCCACCGCCACCAGUGAAACUAUUUCACAUAAUAGAAGAUAAAGCACGCGUAAUGGAGGCAAAAAGCAAUUAAUGAUAACUCUUUUCGACACACUAAUACAUAUCAAAAUGCAAUAUCGGUCCUAACAAAAUGAAAAUAAAAAUUCAUUACGAAUAUGCGUUAAACAUAUCCCAAGUAUUGAUGAUGUGAUUGAAAUAUUUGAGAUUGAAGUAUAAAUAAGACUCAAAAUUAAUUGAGAGGAAUAAAUGAGAAACUCUAAUACUAAUAAAAUACAUUCACAAAUCCUAAUGCUAAUUAAAAUCACGGAUUAAAAAAAAUAAUAUGAAUGAAUUACAGGCGCAACUGUUUCAUUAAGAAAUUAAUUAAAUCGUGUAUUAAUAUUUUGUACACAUACAUUUUUCCAUAUAUAACUUUUGGUAAUUUAGUUUUCCACUUAUCAUUUUACUCCAAAAAAAUAAUUGAGAAUAUUAUUUAUGUUUUGGUGCAAAAUAUUUAAACAACGUAUAAAUUUUCAGUUUAAUAAAUCUAAACAUUUCUCAAGUUGUAAAUGAAUUUAAUGGGUUUAGUUAGUAAAAAUGCUAUUAUUAUAUAAAUUGGGUUUAGUAAUGGUAUAUUGGGCAUUUAAAUGGGUUUGUUGAGUAAAUUUUAAAAUUUUAAAAUUUAAGGGUGGGUUUAUUUUAGUAAAUGGGUUAAGGCAGCAAUUUCCCAAACUAAAAUUUUUAGAAAAAGAGGCUAUUUAGUUUUUUUUUUUAAAAAGAAUUAAGAUGUUGAGAAUACCUUUAUUUACUUUUAUAAUCUUAUUUUAAAAAAUUUACCCAAUAAAUUUUAUAAUUUUUUACAAAAAUUAUCAUUAACAUCCAAACAGCUAAAGAUUAAAAAAAAAAAAAAAGAAGGGAACUGUACUAGCAAAAGUUAGAUUAACAAUAAAUUUAGUCCAAAGAAUAAAGUUAUAGCUAAAAAGUGCUCCUAUCCUAUUUUUCUCUAUUUUAACAAUAAUCUUCCAAUCCAUUUUACAAUGGACUUAACAAAUGGGCUCAAUCUCUAAACUUCAUUUUCUUUUGCUAACCCAUGGCCAUUAGCCAGAAAGCCUAAAACAAUUUUAGGAUCACAUGUGUAAAUGGAACUCCAAGAUUGAUCAAGAAUUAACAAGACAAGAUGAAGAGAUGAUCUUGUAACUAAGAAUGAAGAAAUUGAAUCAAGACAGUACUCUAGUAAAACCCAGAAAACAGAGCUUGAAGAAUCACGCACAAAGCAGUAAAUUUGUAAAACCAGAAUUGGAGCUUCACUUCUCAAGAUAGACGAAACAGGAUACAAUCUAGCUUUGGUCAACUUCGUUUGGCCACGUCAUAAAGUCUUCCCCCACAGUCUUUCCCGCCAAAACAGAAAAGCUUUAAAAGCCAUUUACCCUCCUGAGUUACUUGCUCCUAUUACAUCAAGGCCCUGUAAGUCUAUAUUUAUUAUUACAAAAGCACCCUUAAACCGAGAUUUGAGAUAUUUUUUCAAAGAUCGAAGCGCAUGAUUUCACGGCUAUGUUGCAUAGUGAAUUUUAGUGCUUUACAGUUAAGGGAUAGUUUAAAUUCAUUACAAAGCAUUCGCAAAGAAAUUGUUUUUAAAUGAAACUCCUCGUCUUGACCAGAUUAUUUAUUAUUAUUAAAAAAAAAUGUUCAAAACUUAGCCAAAGUGAUAAACUCGUAAUUAUUCUACAAAGGGAACAAUUUUGAACGGUGGGAAAUUCCAUAAUUAUGCUUUUCUGUGAAUUAUUUUAAAUAAAAUUAUAAAAAUUAAUAUAAAAUUAUAAUAAUGAUAGAGCCACAAAUUCUUGUACAAAUUUAUUUUAUACAAACUCAUGUGGCAUGAUAAGAUUGGUUGAAUUAAAUAUUACUUGGCCCACAUGAUUUGUUUUUAUUAUUUUAUAUUUUUAUUCAACCAAUAAAUUAAUACCACGUCAGUUUGUACAAAAUAAAUUUAUACAAAAAUUUGUGACUCGAUCAUCACUCAUAAAAUUAAUACCCGGUAAAGACUGUAGAGAGACAAGUGCCCCCAACAGAAUCAAGUGAAUAUGCCCCACAAAGAUCACAUGAUCAUUUCUGUUCUUUUUCUUUUUGAUAAUUUUAUCUGUGGUUUCAACUUUUAUGCUUUAUUGUCGUAUCCCGUUGAGGGCUCCGCUGCACCCAUUACAACUUACCCCUAAAUUGCCUCUUACUAACUAAACCGUUAGAUUUUAUGGAAGCACGUUCAAUGUUGAAUUUUAAUUAUGUCAUCGAAUUUCGUUUAGCUCCUUAAACUCCAUUUUAUUUGUAAUUUCUUCAUAAAAUAUUCAAAGCUUCAUCAAGCUCCUGAUGGACCAUCAUGGCUAGGGGUGCAUUAGAGCCGAACUGAAAUAUGUUAGUUCAGUUCAGUUUGGUCAGUUUAAAUCGAAUGGUUUAGAAUAUAUAAACUGAUCAAUUUUAAUUUUGAAUUGAACCGAACCGAAAAUCAAUUGGUUCACUAUUAGUAUUUUUGUAUAAACAAGAAUGAUUAGUGAUUAUAAUUAAAUUGGACUAAAAAAAAUUCAAACUAAGGUGAAAAAUAUCAAAUCUUAGACAAUAUAAAAAAAAAUAUUAAAUUUUUUUAACCGAAACGAACCGAAUUAUUUUGACUCAGUUUGGUUCAUAAUUUUUUAAACCAAACUGAUUUAUUCCCACCCCCUAAUCGUGGCUCUCUAUCUUUAGUCAUUCACCCUUGAGUUUGAUGCCAAUUGUUGGGUUUCAAAUGAUUAUACACUCAAAUGGAACCCUCAUAACAAAAAACUAACAGAAACAAUAAGAACACGAUGUUAAAAUCUUAAAUCAAUCGCAACGGUCCUUUUUUUUCCCCAUUCUUGAACCUAAAGUAUUUGAGUAUGCAAAUUAAUAAAUAAAUUCAUUUAUUUUUAUUAAAAUUUUGUAAAAUUAUAAUUUUUAAUAAAAAUAAUUAUUAAAAUUUUGUAAAAUCUAAAUUUAGAAAAAUUCAGUUGGGCACCUCUAUUUGAGAUUUAUUUUUUAUUAAAUUUAGGGAUAUUUUUAUAAUUAUAAUUUUUAAUUUUAAAAGUUUUUAUAAGAUAAAAUAGUCUUUUAAUUUAUUUAGGGGUAAAAUUGAUGUUUUAUUAAAAUUAUUUAAUUGUGUUAAUGCAAAAGUGACUAUUUGAUACAAAUGUGAAAAGAAAGGUGGUGCAAAAUAUAUGUUAAAAUUUUAUAUUGGUUGGAUGAACAUAAGCUAAAAUAAAGGUGGUGCAAUGAUAAUUUCCCUAUCCUAAAACUUAAUUGACUUAAUUCUUAUGGUGCAAGGAAGAGGUUUCCAAGUUUAAAUCUAAAGGCUUGUAUUUAAUUUGGGGUUGGGAAAGCACUGAGAAAUAAAUGUAACUAAGGAAAAAAAAAAAGUCAUGCAGUCCAAAUAAGUAGACAUAUUUAAUAUGAGGUGGGGAUGGGUGAACUGUAAUUCAGAAAAAAUAAAAUAAAAUUUCAUAUAAAGUUGAGGGUGUGUUUUAAUGGUUUCUUAUGCUGCGUUUACUUUUUGGACUAGAGUGAGAAUUCUGAGAAGUGGGAAUCCUGUGAUUAGGUGUGUGGAGUGGGAAUGAGAGUAGGGUAUUUACUUAGACUAAAUAAAAAUAUGGAUUGUCAAUCAGAAUCUCAAUUAUUUGUUACUUUGUCUUGGAUUGAGAGUAAAUUAUUUUAAAUUACAAUUUUAUCCUUAUGUAAAGAAUUAUAAUUUGUAAUUAAAAAAUUAAUAAAAAUAUAUUGGAAAAUAAAAUAAAUAUUUUAUUAUAUUUAUAAAAUAAUAAUAAUUAAUAAAAUUCUUAAUUAUGUAAAUCAUAAUUUUUUAUUAAUUUAAAUUUAAAUUAUGUGAAUAAAAAUUAUUAAUAAUAGCAACACAAAUGAAACAUUAUUAUUGAUAAUAUAGUAUAAAAUUAAUAUUUUUUUAGAAUAAAAUAUUUAUUAUUAUUAAAUAAAUAAAUAAUAUUUAUUAAAAUUAAUGUUUAAUAUUAUUAAUUUAAAUAUAAUAUUUAUUUAUUUUUAUUUUAUUUUAUUAAAUUUAAUAAAAUAAAUAUGUUAUAAUUAUUAUUUUUAAUAAAUAUGACAUUAUUUAUUUUAUUAAAUAUUAUUUAUUUAUUUUAAUUAUGAGGGUAAAAAUAAAAGAGGGGGAGUGGAUUCCCACUCCCACCUCCCCCCAUGGGAGUGGGAAUCCCACUCUCCCCUUAAAAAUGAUAAGUAAACACUAGAAUGGGAAGAAUCCACACUCUACACUUUCUAAAAAAUAAACACUACCUUAAUUUAAAUUGAUUUGUUGGAUAUUUAGCUAAAAUGAGAGUAGCUCUCUAAUAAUUAUUGCAUUAUUACAAACAUAUCCAACGGUUAUAUAUGCUUGCCUGUGGAAAUAAAAGUCCCAAGUUUCUUUGAAAGGUAAGCUAGUGUGAAUGUUUUCAUCCGUGCAACUUACUUGAUGAAUGAAGUUUUCAUCCCUGACCUUGAUGUUUCUGGUGGCUACAAUCAUUUCAGCUGAUCUAUUCCAUUUUGUUAAGGUGAGAAUUUAGAGUGGCUUUAACUGUUAGCAAAUAGCCUAAUGUAAGACUUGAUCAACUUCCUGCCCUGUUGUAUGCUUAUGAAUUUUGAUAGAGUUAUGAGUUUGCAGAAGCUACUGUAUUAUAUGUUGUUAGAGGCUGUAAAAAUGAGGCAGAUCAAACACACAUUUAAAUUUCAAUGACAAUUUACUAGAAGUAAAUUUCCUAUGACCCUCCAGGUGACUAAUCAAUGAGAACUUGACAAUAACAAAAGAAAGUGUAUGAGCUUUGCAGGCGGGCACGCCAAUCUUGACUGCAUGGCACCAUCCGCCAUUUGCAAGUGAAUAUCAUUAUUGUUUAAUCAACAUGGUGGAGUCCACUGGGACCACACCACAUGGUCAGUCUUAUCUCUAUUCCUCAAUUUUCAGUAUUCCAUACAUCAAAACAAUUUCAGUUUUGUUAUCAAUUAUAAUUUCAUUGUUGGAGACGAUUCUGAUUCCUUUCUUUCUGACAAAACGGAACCAUGGUUGCUGUGGGAGAGAUCUUACUCAACGCCUUCUUUCAGGUGUUGUUUGACAGGUUGGCUUCCCGUGAUUUGCUCAGCUUUGUCCGUCAACUUGGAGGCGGGGUCGAUUCCGAGCUCAAGAAGUGGGAAAGAAAGCUGAAGAUGAUUCAGGCGGUGCUCAACGAUGCAGAGGAGAAGCAACAGACUGACGAGGCUGUGAAGAUGUGGCUGGACGAUCUCCAAGACUUGGCUUAUGACACUGAGGACAUUCUUGAUGAGUUUGCUACUCAAGCCUUGGAAAGCAAGUUGAUGGCGCAAAAUCACGAUAGUUCUGGCCAGGUUCUCAGUUUCAUCCCGGCUGGUUUGAAUCCGAAUGCUAUUAUGUUCAAUUAUAGCAUGGGGUCCAAGAUUAAAGAUAUCACUAGCCGGCUGGAGCAACUCUGCCAAGAAAGAAUUGAACUUGGACUGCAACGGAUUACCGGAGAGGCAUCAUCAACUGCUGCUGCUGCUGCACACCAGAGGCCACCCAGUUCGAGUGUCCCAACAGAACGUGAAGUAUUUGGAAGAGAAGAAGAUAAGGCCAAAAUUCUUGAUAUGGUAUUGGCCGAUACCCCAAGUGAUCAUGCAAACUUUGUUGUAAUACCCAUUGUUGGCAUGGGCGGGAUAGGAAAAACAACUCUUGCCCGGGAAGUCUACAAUGACAAGGCCGUUGAAGAUUCCAAGUUUGAUGUAAAAGCAUGGGUUUGCGUAUCUGACGUCUUUGAUGUUUUGGGCAUCUCAAAGGCACUUCUCGAGUCAAUCACCCGCAGGCCUUGUCUUCUAAACAGUUUAAAUGACGUGCAGGUUGAGCUGAAAGCAGCUGUGGAUAAAAAAAGGUUCCUGCUGGUCUUAGAUGAUGUUUGGAACGAGGACUACAGCUUAUGGGUAGACUUAAAAGCUCCGUUACUGGUUGCUGCACCAAACAGCAAGAUGAUCGUCACCACACGCAAUUCAAGUGUUGCAUCAACAAUGAGACCCAUCGAUCGUCACCACACGCAAUUCAAGUAUUACGAUCUCAAGAGUCUGUUAGAUGAUGAUUGCUGGUCCAUUUUCAUAAACCAUGCAUUUGAAUCUACAGACCUUAGCGCACAUCGAAUUUCAGAAUCAUUCCGCGAGAAAGUUGUUGGCAAGUGUGGGGGCUUGCCUCUAGCAGCAAAAACACUCGGGGGCCUUCUUCGUACUAAAACGCAUGCUGAGUGGGACGGUAUAUUGGAUAGCAAAAUAUGGGAUUUACCUCGGCAAAGCAGCAUUCUCCCCGUGUUAAGAUUGAGUUACCAUCAUCUUCCUUCUCAUUUGAAAAGAUGUUUUGCUUUUUGUGCCAUCUUUCCAAAAGAUUAUGCAUUCACUGAGAGGGAGCUGACUUUCUUAUGGAUGGCUGGAGGUAUUAUUCGACAGUCAAGAAACAAUGAGCAGCUGGAAGAUUUGGGCAGCAAGUGCUUUGGUGAUCUAGUGUCGAGGUCAAUUUUUCAACAAACAGCAAUCUCUGAUAGUUCUAAAUUUGUAAUGCACGACCUUAUCCAUGAUCUUGCUCAAUUGGUCUCUGGAGAAACCAUAUUUAGGUUAGAGGAGGCCAAUACUCUGUCAAGAAGAUUUGAAAGGGUUCGCCAUUCCUCCUAUGCCCGUGAUUGGUGUGAUGGUAGAAAUAAGUUGGAGGUUUUCAAUGAAAUUGAACAUCUACGAACAUUCUUGCCAUUUUGCAUAAGAGGUGGCGUUACUUCUGGUUGGAUAACUAGCACGGUUCACUACGAUUUGUUGCCGAAGUUCAAAAGGUUGAGGAUGCUGUCUUUAGAAGGAUACCAUAUUGGUGAGUUACCAAUUCCAUUUGAAGAUUUGAGACUUUUAAGGUUCCUCAACCUUGCUGACACUGACAUAAGAAGUUUACCUGAGUCAACAUGCAAAUUGUUGAACUUGGAAAUUCUGAUAUUAAGAAAUUGUUCCCGUUUGACAAAGCUUCCCCAGAAAAUGAGGAAUUUGAUCAAUUUACGUCAUCUGGAUAUAAGAGGUGCAAAGCAGCUGAAGGAGAUGCCAUUUGGAAUGAAAGAGUUGAAGAAGCUUCAAACGUUGUCCAAUUUUAUUGUAGGCAAGGGUGAAUCUGCAUCUGGUUUGGAAGAUUUAAAAAGUUUAGACCUUCUAUGUGAUGAACUCUGCAUUGCUGGAUUAGAGAAUGUGAAUAGUCCACAGAAUGCAAGAGAAGCCACAUUAUGUGAGAAGCACAAUCUUGAAGCAUUGACCCUAGAAUGGGGGUCUCAAUCUGACAGUCCUCGGGAUGCAGUACUAGAAGAGAAGGUACUUGACACUCUACAGCCUCAUGAACGUAUAAAAGAGCUGGCAAUCAGGAACUAUGGUGGUGCAAGAUUUCCACCUUGGAUCAGAGAUCCUUCGUUUCCCGAGAUGAAGGUCCUUAAAUUGGAGAACUGUGACGAUUGUGAAUAUCUGCCAUCACUUGGCCUGUUGAGUUCACUUAAGCACCUUGCUGUUAAAGGGCUGAAGAAACUAAAAAGCAUAGGGUCUGAGGUUUAUGGGGAGGGUUUGUCAAUGCCUUUUCCAUCAUUGGAGGUUCUAAGUUUUGAGAAUUUGCCUGAAUGGGAGUAUUGGGACACCAAUAUCAGAGGAAAUGUGCUCGUUGAAAUGUUUCCUCGUCUCCAUAAACUUUCCAUUGUGGAAUGUCCCAAACUCUCUGGGGAACUGCCUGAGCUCCUGCCCUCCUUGGAGACACUUGUUGUUAGUAAAUGUGAAAAGUUGGUAGUUCCAUUGUCUCGCUAUCCGAUGCUCUGCAGAUUAGAAGUUGAUGAGUGCAAGGAACUAGCAUGCGGGACUCCAAUUGAUUUUAAGUUGAUAGAGUCUGUGACUAUUUCAAAUAGUUCCUUAGACAUGAAUGGAUGCAAGGGGAUGCUAUACGAUGGUCCAGCUGGCUCUUCACUGCCAAAGCCUAUGAUUACUACAAAUGUUUCGGAGUUUGGAAAAUUAUUGAAGCCUGGAUGUCAAAUAUUAGAAACUUUAGUAAUUGGCAAUUCUGGACGGCUCAAGUCAUGGAGGCAGCAUGGGGAUUUUCUAGAAGAAUAUAUGGUCGCUCACCAAAGGUUUAAGAAACCAGUACAAGGGCUAAAUAUGCUCGCUUCCCCUGAAGAGGUAACAAUUGAAGAAAGUUGUGUGAGUUUUGUUUUGUUUCCAGAGAUCAAUUUCUUUCCCAGAAAUCUGCGCUCUCUUCUAAUUUGCAACAGCACUGCUUUGAAAUCCUUACCCGAGGAAAUGAUGGAAAACAAUUCACAACUGGAAAGGUUGUAUAUCAGAGAUUGCGACUCUCUAACAUUCAUCGCAAGACAGAGGCUACCAGCAUCUGUUAAAAGGCUUGAGAUAGAAAAUUGUGAGAAAUUGCAACGUCUGUUCGAUGAUGAAGAGGAUGCUUCUUCUUCUUCUUCUUCUCCUUCAUCCUCGUCUUCCCCAGUGAUGCUGCAACACCUGAUAAUAGGGAAAUGCCCAAAGCUCACCAGUUUAUUAUCGGGUGUCCAAUUCCUUGAGGCGCUUGAAUUCCUCAAGAUAGAGCAUUGUCCAAAGCUGGAGUCAAUACCGGAUGGCCUGCCCAAUCUUAAAUGUUUACAGAGCAUUUAUUUACUCAAUUGUCCAAGUCUUGUUUCCUUCCCAGAAAGAGGGCUUCCCCACACCAUUUCAUUUGUUUGCAUUUGCGGAUGUGACAAGCUUGAAGCCCUGCCCAAUGACAUGCACAAACUCAACUCUCUUCGACAUUUAAGCAUACAGCUCUGUCCAAAUCUUGUAUCGUUUCCAGAAGAAGGUUUUCCUACCAAUCUAACAUCACUUACAAUUGGAGAUUUCAAAAUGUAUAAGAUACUCGUCCAGUGGGGGUUGCACAGGUUUACCUCUCUUAGACGCCUCUAUAUCGUUGAUUGUGAUGACGAAGCAGAGUAUUUUCCAGACGAGGAUAUAGGAAUGACGCUGCCCACCUCUCUCACUCAACUGGAACUUUCGGGAUUCAAAAAAUUGAUAUCUCUGUCUUCGACGGGUUUUCAGAGCCUCACCUCUCUUCAAAGAUUGCGGAUCUGGGAUUGCCCAAAUCUCACAUCAUUUCCAGAGGUGGGCCUUCCAUCCUCACUUUUGGAAUUACACAUUUACAAAUGUCCAAAGCUUAAAAAAGCGUGCAAAAGAGAUCAAGGAAAAGAGUGGCCCAAAAUUGCUGACAUCCCUUGCGUUGAGAUAGACAAUAAAUUCAUAUACGAUCCAGAAUAAGAGGAGUAGAUUCUACUAUUAAGGUCAGUUGAUUUGUAUUAUCCGCUAUAACAAGCUCCUCCUUUUUUUUUUUUAAAUAAUAAUUUUGCAGUCACUCACGUGAUUCCGUUUUCACAAGUCAGAUUGUAUGUUGAGGCUAUUUGCCUUUUAGUCGCAGAUUAAAUUAUAACACUUAUCUUAAAAUUUAAUACCAUAGACAGAUAGACGAUUUUUUAAUCCAAAGUUUUUUUUAUUCACUUCAGUUAGCAUUUUUUUUUUUCCCCAAAUCAUGCAAGCCGAGAGUUUCAAUCAAGAAUUGGAGCAUGGGAAUGGAAUUUUUGUGAAAACAUAAUGGAUGAACGAACAUUUCAUCUGUGAUCUCAAAGUCAACAGAAUUUUAUUCACUCAAUGACUUUUCAACUGCUGUGGUUAUUUAUGGGUGAAAGAAAGAUAAGGGCAAUUACAAAAAAUUUGCAAAAUUUGUCAAUUUCUUAGAUGGUAGAUAUAUCGACAUUUUAGAUUUCAGAUAUUUGUCACCAAUUUCAUUCCUUUUUUUUUAUUUUUUCAAGCAAGUUUGACUAAUUUUAACCAGAAUUGGAGUAUAAUAUUUUGGAGCAAGCAUACUUGAAAUUUCUGUCUUCAAUAUUUUGAUGCUUUUUUAAUUUUGGAUCUAGUAAAAAUACAUAGCCUUCACCGGCAGGAUUCUAGUCUUGGCUUUCACCUCUCUAACUCAUCCGGCCCCAUUGGGAUUCCAGAAAUUGAAAUUUCUGUCUUCAAGGGGUUUUCAAAGCCUCGCCUCCCUUCGAUUUUUGUGGAUCGGGAAUUGCACAAAUCUUACAUCAUUUCCCGAGGUCGAGGAAAAGAGCGGCCCAAACUUGCUCGCAUCCCUUGGGUUAUGAUAGAUGGAAAAUUCAUAUACGAUCCAGAGUCAGAGGUGUUGAUUCUCUUAUUAAGGUCAGCUGAUUUCUAUUAUCCACUCUGACAAUCUCCUAUUAGUGUUUUUCCCUUUUUUUUUUUCAAAAUUUUGCAGUUCCGUAUAAUUGAAAAUGCCACUCACUUGUUUCCUAUUAGUAUGUUGAGGCUAUUUGCUUUCUAUCGGUGUUUGUUAAGGUAAUUACUCACAGAUGAAAUUAUAACUUUUAUCUUAAAAUUUAUUGCCAUUGACAGAUGGACGAUUUUUAGUCCAAAGUUUUGUUAUUAACUUCAAUCAAAAUUUUAGAUUGCAGAUUUUUGUCAAUUAUUUCAUUUUUUAUUUUUAUUUUAAAGCAGAAUUGGAGUAUAACAUUUGGAGCGCGCAUACUCUGAUGCAUGCAAUUAACUGUUUUUAAUCGUUGGAUUUUGAAAUUAAUGAUGGUAAGAUGUGUACUUAUUUUUUCUUCCGGACAACCUUGCCUUCUUUCUUCGGUAGCAUAUCUAAUGAAUAUUUCUCUGUUUAGUUAAGGAUGAAUGCUUGGAGUGGUCUGAUUCACAACAACACCUCUUCCAGAAAAUAUGAUACAAGGCAAAGCCAUGUUCUGAAGCAGAAAUGAUACAGCAGUUGCGGUACCCGAGGUACCUUUUGCAUUUAACUUGCCUUUAUUUGUUUUGCUUGUGACUUAAGAACACAUCAUUUCCCAGAGAUUUGGAGAAGCAUCUCAAGAUGCUUAACAAACUUGACAAGCUUCAAGAUGCACUUGCUCCCAAGCAUUGAUUCUUCACAAUGGAAAACCUGUGAGUACACUUAUGCCCGCAAUUAUUGUUAAGUGUUUGCAAUUUUGAUGCAGCGAAAUGGUUUGUGGAUGCAAAGCUUUAAAACUGUUAAGAACUACCCUGCAGGCUUGUUGGAUGUUGUAUACUUCAAAAGCCACCAACACCAAGAACUACAACAGCAAGACUAGGUUUGCGUUGCUUCAAUCAGCUGAAAUAAUGAUGCAAAUGACACUAUCAAGCUGGACUUAGAGACUUGUCAGGUCAAUCAUCCAUUUCAUCAACAGUUAAUGUCAUGAUGGUGGCUAUCAGAGGAAACAAAAGAUCUGUUGGAAUCAAUUCAAACAGUGAGAAGCAUGAGAGGAGCAUUGAUUAUAAAUAGGCUCAAUGAGCUCAUGCUGGUAAGUGGUAAUUAAGAAAUUUGUGAGCUUAGUAUAGUUUCAAUUUUUUUCUGUUUGGGAUAUAGUUGAUAAGUUGAUACUCUGAUUAAGAAGCCUGAUUAUAGUAGCUGACUGUGCUAACUGCGUUCUUUUAUUUUUUAUUUUUUUGGUUUGCCGUCGUUUUUUCUUUUGAUUAUUUGUUCAACAUUAGAUUGAUCUGUUGAAGACUACGAGGAAGAUCCAGACUUGGAUGCAGGCGUGCAGCUCGUAAUAGGUGAGAACAAAUGAAUGCUUUAACCAUGUUUCUCACUUAUGACAAUGCACGGAUCAAAGGCAUCUGAGUUGAUCCUGAAAAUGUGAUGGAAAUAGGUCUCUGUUUUCAUAAAACAGAACAAAUAGAGAUCUCUGAUCACGCCUGAGAAUUCAUUGCAUUGAAAUUUCUACCAUUGGCAAACAUAGAAUAAACUGGGGAUACAUUAGCUUUAGACUCUAUUUUGAGGAGGAAGUUUGUACUUGCAGCCUAUAAAAUCAUAUCCCUGUUGUAUGUUUCUUUGGGAAAUGAAAGAUUCUGUGUGUUCUUUUAUUUCAAGUUUGCUGAAAUCACAUUUGUUUUCUAAGAUGCUUUACAGAAGGUACCAACAUCAUUUUCAAAAAUGCUGGGGUAAGAUACAUCGUGCAGUGCUCCUCAACAUGAGAAUUCCUGGCCGCAUUACCCAUAUGUGGAAUGAUCUGAGAGUACAACCGUGAGAAUGUUGUAAGGAGUACACAACCAGAUGUGAGUAGUUUGAAAAUGAAUUCGCAUGGAAUGAUUUCUUGCCAGUGCAGAAAUGGCUUGGUUCAAAAUAUGCUCAGCUUCAUUGACACUCUUCGGUAGGCCUCUCCGUCCUUCCAUUCUUAACUACAAUACUACUCUUGUCUGUCUAGUUAUGGAAUCUCUCUUUUAAUCCUCAAAGUUUGAAUUAUAUUAUAUUGCCUCUGUGUUACCGCAGAAACUGAGUCAGUUGGUGAUCCUUCAAAACAAGAAAAACCAAAAACAGAUACAGCGCGCGAUAAGAUAAUGAGACAGAUGGCUCCCGUUGCUGCAUGCCACUUGCUUGUGUGCGUAUUGGGACCAUCAUCAACAACAUUGACGUAAACCCAGCUCAAGGUGGGAAGCUAGUUCGAGCUGCAGGGACGUUAACCAAGAUUUUGAGAAAGAACCCACUUCAAGGUGUUGCUUAGUUAGGCUACGUUGUGGAAAUGAGAAAGUGAUUGACCCUAGAUGUCGCGCCACCAUUGGUACAGUGUCUAACCCCAGCCAUGGAGCUAAAAAGCUUAGUAAGGCAGGUCAGAGAAGUUGGUUGGGUCGAAGAGCUGUGGUUAGAGGAGUAGCCAUGAUUCCAGUUGAUCACCCUCAUGUUGAACAAAGCAAAAGUAGCGGUAACAAUGGAAGGUGUUCACUCACACCUUGGGGCAAGCCUUGUAAGUCUGGGAAUUAAACUGCAUCUCCUAAGAAGAAAGAGAAAUCAGCUGUCUGAUAAUAUUGUCCUUUUCUGCUAUUUGGUCUUUUUAACAUUGUUACACUGUUUUUACAUCUUUGAGGUUAGUUUUAGACCAAUUUUUAACUGAUCCAUAAUGAAACUGAAGUUUAAUUUUUGAUUAAACUUUCACUGGUUUUACUCUUCUGUCACUUCAAUUUAGCAUUGAUUUAAGAUACUGAAUUCUGUGCUUGGAGCUUGUAAAUUGGAAAGAGAUAUUUUGGGAUAGAAUGUAGAUUUUGUGUUUUGCUUUCUCAAGCUAGUUGUGACUUCUUAAAAGAGUCAAUCCAUGUCUUUAUAUAUUUUUCUUUUGUCUUGAUUCUGUUUCUUCAUACAGAUUCUUAUUUUAUGCUUCACAUACCACAUGAAAGAUGAAAGCCUUUUCUGUGAUUAGAAUUGACUUGCAUUAUAGUAACUUUAAACCACUUGGAUAUUUUUAUAAUAGCAGUCUGAGAUCUCCUUAAAGGAUUCAAAAGCAUCCACUGGCAUCCACUUUACUCGUAUCGGUCAAAAGUUUUGUGCAAUACAAUAUUAGCUUGACUGUAGCGCAGAGGAGAACAGGUUGGUGUUGGUCUGAAUUCUGAUAUUUGAAUAAAUAUAACAGCUCAUGUGACUCCACCACUUUUUACUUGUUCUGUAGUCUGUACCUACCUCCAUUGUCGGCACUGCCCAUACAAGGUCUUUUAGCUUUUUAAAAAGUUUCAUGAUAUUCCAUAGUUCACAUGGAUUUCUACAGUUUGUAGAAAACCUAAUUAGGGCACAUUUAAUUACUAUGCAGAAGAUUCUUUUAUCUUGCUCACCAAUAAUUCUUUGUACUUAUUUGAAAGAUGUGUUUCAAAAAAAUAAAAAAAAACUAUUUGAAAGAUGAGAAAUCCCUUAGCCGAACGACAAACUCAUCUAUCAGUCCUAUCAAAAAAAAAAAAACUCAUGUUUUAGUGGUUUUUUUUUUUCACUUGUAUUCAGUCGCACAAGUGAAGAUUGUGGGCAAUUUUUUCCUUGAGUAAAAUUGGAAUAGAUGUUUUUAUUGACACAAAUUUUUGAGCUAUGUUUGGGAAACCCUUAGACUUAAGACUUUGUUACGAUGAUAUGUAUCUAAGCUUUCAACAGACCGUUGAGGUCUUAUUAUCAAAAUACUAGAAAUUUACAAUUCAAUUUUGGUAAGGACCAAUUUAAUAAUGCUGUAAUUUUUAAAAUAAUUACCGUUAACUGUGUUGUAAAAAUAAUCAAUUAUGAAGAAAAUUAAUUAAACAUUUAGUAAACUUUAUUUUUACAAGUGCUUUGAAUUUUAAAAAUAGUCAUAUGUGUUCAGAAAAUCUCACUUCUAAAAUAGUAUAAGAAUGGAAAAAACUUAAAAAGACAAAUGUAUAAUAUUUAUUUACACAUGCAUUUAUAAAUAUGUGUAUAUAAUAACAUUUUAUGUGUACAUAUAAUAAUUGAUAACUAAAAUAAAUAUUUUUAUUUAUUAAUUAUUUUUUUGUCUCAAUGUAAUUGGUAAUACUUUUUUUUAAUCUUCUCAUCCUAAGUUUUUUUAUUGUUUUGUACAAAAUUCAAGGUUUGGACUUUUAUAAAAUGUCCACUCAAAAAUAAAUUGUUUUCUAACUAAGAUUUGUUGCUAAUGUAUAACUCAAAGUAAUACUAGCUAUUUGUAAUUUUAUUUCAAAAUUUUUAUUCAAAUGAUAUGGUAACUAAUGUACAUUAGUUGAUAGCAAUUUUUUUUUUUUUACAAUAUUCAAAUCAAUCAAUUGCAUCAUCUCAACAUUUUUAUGAUGUCGUGUUAUUUUAAACGAAUUUUUUAUUUUUAUAUAAAAUUUAUUAUGUUUAACAUCAUUUGCAUAACUUGACCUUUUUUUUUUCCUACAAAUAUUAAGUCAAAUUUACUCACCCUAUAUUUCUAUCUAAAAUCUACCUAAAACUCAUGCAUCACUGUAAAACAAAUCCAAAGAUUGCGGUACGUUUUUCUUGGUAACAAAUCAAUAAUUAGGUCAAGUACUACUACUAAGCGUGCUCAAUUAAUUCUAAAAUACUACGGUGAUCAAAAUCAUACUUGACGCAAGAGGAUAAGGGCUAAACCUCAAUUAGGCAUUAUUCAUCCAAAAUUCGUUGACCCGGCAUUCUUUGCAAGUUGUAGCACGGGACAGCUAAGAUUAGCAAAUGCUGUGGACCAUAUGCCCCCAUACAUUUGUGACAUGUGAAACUUGGCAUUAAAGGAAAGGCAACGUGUUAAAAUUUAAUAGCGCCCAAUUCUUCAUUGAAUGAUUAUCAGAUCCAAUGAGCAUCCUUUGAUUGGAUUAUUUUAAGUCAAUUAUUGGUGGAUUGGGGCCCACUUGACUCUACCAAAUCGGGCUCCACCAUAUCACCUAUUAACGACCACCUGUCCUUAUCAUAAAUAGCAAAUGUCACUUGUUUUAUUUUGUAUUUUACCAAAAGCAAAGUCACUAUGAACCCAAAUGAAAGUGACCCCAAUUUUGGGGGUCAUGAGCUUUGGAUUAUUAUGGACACAAGAGACAAGCGCAAAGUUUCUCAUUUAUCACCGGAUAAGAUUUAAGUUAUCAACCCAACAUUAAUAAAUUCUGCUUAAAGUAAAGUUUGAAGCUUCAUUUUGCGAAUAUUCAAUGGUUAACAUUUAAGUAAUUAACCUGAUAUUAAUCCAAUUAAACUUUUUAUGUAAUCCAAGUCAAAAAUAUGUUGAUAAACCUAAAUUAAUCUAAUUGGACAUAUUAUUUCAACUUGAAAAGGCGAAUCUAUCAUUUUUCAAUUAAUUUUGAAUCAAGCUAUGUAAAAUAUAAGCUUAUUAAAGACAUAUUUUUAUCAUGUUAAAAUAUCGAAAUACUUCUUACUCGUUUCGUAAUAACAUUAACAAACCUUUUGGUAAAUUUGACAGUCCAAUCAAUUCAGUUGGUUUUUUGUUAUUGAAACUCCAACAAAAUUCAUCACGAUUAUUAAAAACCCAUUAAAAAAAAAUGAAGGUAACUAUUUAAAAAAUUCUAAUUGAAUUAUUUAACAACUACAUUUCAACUAAAUUGUGUUGCUAAUUAACUUCCUCAACUUAAACUAUAUUUUUCUCAAUUAAUUCAUAACAAAUAAUGUUAGAUAUUUUAUUCGAAUAAUAACAUUCAACAUCCUUAUUCUUUAUGAUUAUUGCAUAAAAACAUAUUUUAUCCAUUUACAUCACAUAUGUUCCUAAAUUGUAUAAGAAAAUCACCAAAUUUACUCUUGUAAGUUACUAUAUCAAUGAACAUGAAAUUCACUAAUCAUUAAAGUCUCGGAAUGACAUCAUGAGAGGGAUUCAGUUACAUUUAUUGAUAGGAUUAGAUAUAUGUCUUCUCAAAUAUUAGUAGGAGCAAUUUAACAGAUGCAGCUACUAAAAAUAUAGAAUUACUUAUCUCGUCAAUAACUAACGAUAUUUUUUAUCUAUGCUCAAUAAAUUGUAAUAUUUGUAGAUUGUAACAAUUGUUAAAAAAAAAGAGCUCCCUGAGACUAAAUGACAAAAGGACUGUUUUGAAAUAGAUAGAUAAAAUAUGCCCUUAUUUGAGAAAAUGUAAAACACUAGGGAUCUAAAUGUUAUUAUAAUCCCAUGCACAAAAAUACCAAAAAUAACUAAUAACAACUAACCGAAAAUCCCAGGCGUCAUAUUCCUUUUUUCCGCGUUUUAAAAUGCCCUCUGAUUCAUUCACAGUCAGACGCUGUCGGCAUUUCUCUUCUCUCCCUCUCUCUCCACGUAUUAAAACAUGUAAAGUACGGAAAAAUUUAAAAAAAAUUUUAAAAUUACAUAAUUUAAAAGAUAUAAAAUUAUAAAUUUUUAAAAUUAUACGGUUUUAAAAUUUUUUUAAAUUUUUUCGUAUUUUAAAAUUUCAGACUAAAAAAUUAUUAUACGAAUACUUCGUAUAACCGCUUUGCGCUUAAAAUCUGUGCCUAACAAACUCACGAAAUCACUCCUCAUUUUCCUCUCUCCCUCUCCUCCUCUCAUUCCCUUUCAAAUCCUUCCACCACCUUCCCCGCCUCUCUCUCUUUCUCUCUCCCCUCACCGCCACAGCUCAACUUUUCCAUGUAAACCACCACGGGCGCCGUCGUUUCAACCUCCCACUCAUCCGACGUCGUUUUGUGUGAAUAAGAUAACGAUUUAAAUUAAAAUACGAAAAUGGAGAACUUAACGGCGCAGUUGAAGCGAGGGAUAUCGCGGCAGUUCUCGACGGGAUCGCUGCGGCGGAGCCUGACGAGGCAGAUGUCGAGGCAGUCGUCGUUCGAUCCGAGGAGGAAUAACAUGAGGUUUAGCUUCGGGAGGCAGUCGUCGUUGGAUCCGAUACGCAGGAGUCCGGUUCAGGACGAGUUGACGGUGCCGGAGAACCUUGACUCGACGAUGCAGCUGUUGUUUAUGGCAUGCAGAGGUGACGUCAAGGGAGUCGAGGAUUUGCUGAACGAAGGCAGUGAUGUCAACAGCAUUGAUCUUGACGGACGGUUUUGGCGAGAAAUCAAAGAAUUAAGAGACAAUAUUUAGUUAAGCUAAUAGUAUUUGUUCUGUUUAGUACGUCGUUUUACCAACAAGCAUCCCGGCAUUGCACGCAUUAAUAAAUUUUUUUUAUCUGUUUGGACUGAUGGUGGUAAAAAAUUCCACAUACUUUAUAUUAAAAAGGAAAAAGGACAAACACACCCCUAACGUCAACUUGGAGGGGGGUCGAUUCCGAGCUCAAGAAGUGGGAAAGAAGAAAGCUGAAGAUGAUUCAGGCGGUGCUCAAUGGUGGGUAUGACGGCAAAAAUAAGUUGGAGGUUUUCUAUGAAUUUGAACAUCUAAGAACAUUCUUCCCAUUACACAUAAGAGGUGGCUCCAAAACUGGUUACAUAACUCGUAUGGUUCUAACUGAUUUGUUGCCGAAGUUUAAAAGGUUGAGGGUGCUAUCUUUACAAGGAUACCAUAUUGGACCAAUUCCAUUUGAAGAUUUGAGACUUCAAAGUAUAAUUACCCAAAGUGUAUACAAUAAAAGCCAAAUUUAAGAAAUUCCUGAACCUUGCUGACACUGACAUAAGAAGUUUACCAGAGUCAACAUGCUCAAUGUUGAACUUGGAAAUUUUGAUAUUAAGAAAUUGUUUCCGUUUGAUGAUACUCCCACCCAAAAUGAGGAACUUGGUUAAUUUACACCCAGACUCUUUUCUUUUGACAUGGGGUUAACGAUCAAAGUUGGUUUCGUGCGGUAUAUAUUUACAAAUUGAUAGGUAUGCCUGGUGUUGAUGCAGGAUUCCGGUUCUUCUCGUUCUACGACCAGGAUCUCUGCUCGAUCAACUUCGUCACGACCAGGAGGUCUCCUCGCAAGACUUUUUCUCCAGAGAUUCCUGCGCACACAGACAAGUCAGAGUACGCCGGUUGUUUUCCCGGCGCAAACCCUCCGACGCUCAAGUCAGAUAUGAAGGUUCGGGGAACGCUUGCCACCGAUCUUAUGGCUUUUUCGUGGUUUUCUCUUCUUUUUAAUUCCUUUUCUAAUGAGAAAAAUGCCAACCCUUUUACCUCGUCGGCUACCUUUUUAUAGGCUUCCUCUGAAUCCCAGUUUUCCGCUCUUUUCGAGACGGUAUGGGACUCUGACUGCUGUGUUAUGGGCAAACGUGGGAUCUUGCGUGUUACGCCACCGUUCUGGGAAAAGCGCGGCAGUCGUGGUUCUGUGAGAUCUUGCGUGUUACGCCACGGUUCUGGGGAAAGCGUGGCUGUCGUGCUUAGGUUCUCGGGCUGGAGAGCAUGUCUCGUCAACUGCCGUCGACCGGGUCUCCUCGCCUCUCGACCUCUAGCCGGAAUGACCUUAUGCCUCUUACAGGAAAUUGGCCUCGCGGAUGACCUGCUCGUGGACGAGCAGGAUAUUUCUGCUCCUGUUCCCCCGCGUACCAGGCUUUUACGGGACACACCGGUUCGCAGAACUCUGCCAUCAGAUAUCUGCUCACCGUGCCUGGUCUCGUCGACGUAUUUCUCCCAAACACCGGUCCCCCAGUUUCUGGUGUUGGGUAAUGUAGUGGACCAGCAGUAGAAACUCGUUAGUACUCGCCCGCGUGGGAUUGGAAAAGGCUGCCAAGAGUCAUGUCGCAUUUAAUUGCGGACGAGGUGACGUGGCAGAAAUCCCCCCCUCCAUUUGAAUUUCAAACCGACGGUUAUGAGAUCCUCGGGAUUCAGCGCCGUUAAAUGCUGGCAACCCAAGAGUCCGUCCUCAUUAGGAAAACCAAAUCCUCUCGAACGGCAUAUUCGUCAUUCACUCCGUCUCCGUCUCUGUCUCCCCGGCAAAGAGGUUCCGGCAUAAAAGCCCUCCAUCUCUGAUUUUCACCGACUGAACCGUUACUUCAGGUAUUUCUUCUAUCUCCUUGGUCUCGGAUAGUUGUAGAUAAUUUCUCUUCUCUUCUGUUGGGUAGUAGUUGGUGGUGUUGUGGUUAGAGCUUAGGGAAUGUCGAAAGGCAAAGAGAAGGUCAUUGAGGUUGGUGACGACGAGUUGGACUUCCUGCCUAGUCUGCUCACCGAUCCUGCUUUUGACCCCGGGAUCCCCUUAGAGCCCAUUAGGUCUAGUGUCGGGACUAGUGCUAGGAGGAUGUCUCCCCAAACAACCUCUACGAGCGGAAGUAAUGGUGAGGAGAGAUCUUCUGGCUCCGAGGAUACUUUGAGUGAGAAUGGCGAAGGUGACUCUGGUGAGGUGUCUCCAUCUGGAACAUCACGACCAGAAGAACGGGGUAUAGUAGGAGGCAGAGCCUUGUCGCGCGAUUAUGCCAUUGAUUACAUGACGUGCACGACCUCGUUUGACGAGCUCAAUGACCUCCGGCUUAGGUAUAGCAUUCCUGGUGAGAUACCUCUCAAGGUCCCAGGAAAGAAGGAUGCUCCCAGCCGGCCUCCUAGGGGAUAUGUUACCCUGUAUCUGGACAGCUUUAAGUACGGGCUGAGGUGUCCCUUGCAACCUUACUUUGCCCGGAUACUUAACGGGCUAAAUCUAGCUCCUGGUCAGCUGAAUCCCAAUGGGUGGAGAGUGCUCUCUGGUCUGUUCAUAUUGUGGGACAGAUGUUGCCAAAGCGAGCCCACGGUUGAUGAGGUGAAGCACCUGUACCAGCUAAAGAGCAGCCCCAAAGAUGCCGUCUGGUACUACUUCCAAUCUAGCACCAAGAGCAGGAAACCUAUAACCGACCUCCCUACUGGUGGUGGUGGGAAUUGGAAGAGAAAAUUCUUUUUUGCUGGGGGUCCUUGGGGUCAGGUUGCACAAAUGGACGGGAAGGAUUAUCGGGUCCCACCCCGUUUCACGGUCCCAGGUUGCCUGCUCGCUUUAGAUGUCUUGUAUCCACAAUUGUUAUUGCUUUAUUGGCUUGUCUCUAACCAAGUGUCUGUUUGCGUUGUAGUUUCUUGGGGUGUUCACUUCCCGCUCCCACCUGACCAGCUCAAACGGGUCAAGGCUGUGCUCGCCAAUUCCUGCUCGAGUCGAGAACUGCUAACUACAUACAACUUGCUCGAAUCUCGCUUGAUACUUCCUGGCCAUAGGAUGGAGGACGCCGUGAUUGGGGCUCUGACCCGAAAACGUUCUCGACCUCCAACCACGAAGAGGGACCAGGGUAAGGAUGCCCCUGCUGCAAAGCGGGCCAGCAUCGUGCAGCAGGUCCCACCCUUGGAGAUUUUACCUCCUGCUCCUGAAAAAGUCGGGGAAGCUAGUGGAGCAGCCACAGAUCCUGCUUCCUCAUCUGUUCCUGUCGGGCCUCGAUCUCGCUUACCUGACAGCCGAGCAGAACACCUGGUCCCCUACCUCAAUGAGUUGUCUAAACUCGUGAGCAAGAAGGACCUGGAGGACUUCGACGGCUGCACCUUGGGUGAGCUGGUGGGGGCCAUGCAGCAUAGCGCUUUCCACCUCAGCUGCAUGACCACCUAUUACAAGGCUAAGGUUGGUCGAUACGAUCGGAAAAUGAAGGGGGAUAUUCAAUCGGCGACGACCAGAGCUGACAUUGCCGAGAAGAAAGCAGGGGAGCUGAACCUCGAGAAUCUGAAGCUGAUAGAGCAAGAAUCACUUGCUCAAGCAAAGACCAUUACCCUCGAGGAGGAGCUUACCAAGGUCAAGGAGGAUCUGCAAAGGCAGAAGGCUAUGUAUGAGGCCCAGCUCGAAUCUCUCCGGGACUCCAACCGAGCUCAGGUCGAGAACUUGGAGAGGGAGGCAGAGAAUCAGUACGACCAGGGACUUCGGCAUUCCUAUCGUUGCAUCAUGGCCGUCCUCGGGAAGCAACACCCUGAUCUGAAGAUGGAUGACCUUGCGGCUGGUGUUGCCCAACAUAUGGACGAGGAGGCGGCCAAGGAAGAUGCUGAAGGGGUAGAGCCGAUCGUGAUCGAGGAGGAAAGCUCUCCUCCUCGUGCAGUCCCUGCUGAUGUUGGCGAGGCGAGCACCCCUCCGGACGCAACUGGCGAUACCCCUCCCGCACCUGAGGAGGUCCAGUCAACCGAUGCUGCUCGGCUCACUGAUCUACCAUCUUUUUGAUAUAUUUCUUUUUGUAUUGUAAUAAACAACGUUUAUGAAAUUUAUCCCCUCUGUUAGCCAUUAACACAUUAAUAAAGAUGUUUUUUGAUUACUUUCUCGUCUUGUAAUCAUCACUUAUUUUCCGUUUGGGAAUCUGCUCGUCUCGUCUGGUCGAGCAGGUUCUGGUUUGGCAUAUGGUUUUGCAACAUGCCUUAGAAAAAUUUCUUUUUUUUUUUUUUUUUUUUUUUUUUUUUUUUUUUUUGCUUGGGGAUUCUGCUUGCCUUCGCGUGGUCGAGCAGGUCCUGGCAUGCUUGGCUUCAGUCUCGCCAUAAAAAGGCUUUGAGACUUGGUGAGGCCUUUGCAUGCCUUAGAAAACUUUUUCGAUGCUUGGGGAUUCUGCUCGACUUCGCUCGGUCGAGCAGACCCUAGCAUGCUUGGCUUCCGUCUCGCCAUAAAAAGGCUUUGAGACUUAGUGAGCCUUUGCAUGCCUUAGGUGGCUUCUUCAAAGCUUGGGAUUCUGCUGCCUUCUCGUGGCCGAGCAGAUCCGGGCAUGCUUGGCUUCUGUCUCGCCAUAAGACAGGCUUUGAGACUCGACGAGCCUUUGCAUGCCUUAGAUGGCUUCUUCGAAGCUUGGGAUUCUGCUGCCUUCUCGUGGCCGAGCAGAUCCGGGCAUGCUUGGCUUCUGUCUCGCCAUAAGACAGGCUUUGAGACUUGACGAGCCUUUGCAUGCCUUAGAAAUUUUCUUGGUUUCAAGCGAAAGGAAUUCCUCGACGUUCCAUUAAUGGCAGGAUUCGGCUUACAUGAACUUGUUUGGACAUAAAGCGUGAAAGAUAAACGAUAAUGAUCAUGAGCAAAAAUAGCUUUCAGAUGUGAACAAAUCUUACUGGAAGUAUUUUCGGAGGUGUGCUGCGUUCCAUGGGCGUUUCAGCUCGUGGCCGUCCGUGCGAACCAGCUUGUAAGCUCCGGGUCCCGCUAUCUGCUUGACUCUAUAUGGCCCUUCCCAAUUCGGUCCCAGCACUCCUUGAGUCGAAUCUUUGGUGCUCUGAUUCACUCUUCUCAGUACCCAGUCUCCGACCUUGAAUUGCCGUAUGUUCACCUUCUGGUUAUAAUACCGAGCAACCCUCUGUUGGUAAAGGGCUGAUCGCUCGGCUGCUUGCUCCCUCCUUUCCGUUAGCAGAUCAAGAUUCAAACAUAUCUGCUCGUCGUUCUCCUGCUCGUUGAAAUGACCUGUCCGGUGUGUGGUCGUUCCUAUCUCAGCCGGCACGACCGCUUCAUGUCCGAAAGCCAAAGCGAACGGUGUCUCCCCAGUUGCGGUUUUGUGGGUUGUUCUGUAUGCCCAUAGCACACCUGACAGCUCGUCAACCCACGCACCCUUUUUUGCUCCAAGCCUGGUUUUCAAAAGCCUCUUGAUGGUCUUGUUGGCUGCUUCUACUUGUCCAUUCGAUUGAGGGUGAGCAGGCGAGCAAUACUUCAGCUCUAUCCCGAGGUUCUGGCAGAAAUCCCUGAAGCUGUGAUUAUCGAACUGCCUGCCAUUAUCCGUUACCAAGGCAUAAGGGAUCCCGUAUCGACAGACCAGGUUUCUCCACACGAAGUCUGUUGUUUUCUUCUUUGUGAUCCUGCUAAGGGCUUCUACCUCUAUCCACUUCGUGAAGUAAUCUAUAGCAACUAUUGCAUGUGUUGCUGCUCCUUGUGCCUUUGGCAAUGGGCCGAUCAGAUCAAUUCCCCAUUGAGCAAAUGGCCAAGGGGAGGCCAUGGAGGUGAGCUUCUCUGGGGGUUGGUUAGAGAAAUUUGCAAAACUCUGGCAGCUUACACAACUCCUGGUCUUCUCUUGCGCAUCCUGGUGCAUUGUCGGCCAGAAAUAUCCCUGCCUAAGAACCUUGUGGGCCAGGGACCUCCCGCCAGAAUGAUUUCCGCAAAUUCCUUCAUGUACUUCUCUCAGUACGUAAUCCGCGUCGUCCUCAUCCAAACACCGAAGGAACGGUAGUGUAUAUCCUCGCCGAUACAGCGCCCCAUCAAUCAUCGUGUAUCUCGAGGCCUGGGCUCUAAUCUUGCGAGCUCGCAGCUUAUCUGGUGGUAAUACUCCGUCUCUAAGGUAUGAAACUAUCGGGUCCCUCCACGAGCAUUUUUGUUCUAUCCGCAACACCCCCGAAUUCUGAUCGAUACUUGGGCUGGACUUCACCUCCAGAGGGACCGACUUUGGCAUUUUUGGGUCGGCUACUGCUGCCAUCCUCGCCAAAAUGUCUGCUCGACUAUUCUGCUCCCUGGGGAUCUGUACCACCUCCACUGCUUCGAACUUCCCCAUCAUCUGCCUGACUAUCUUCAGGUACUGCUCCAUCUUCUCCUCUCUUGGUUGGAAUCUUUCACUGACGUGAUUCGCAACCAGCUGGGAAUCAGUUCUGAUCUUAACUCUGUCUUCUUUCACGGCCUUAGCCAAUUCCAGACCUGCUAUCAAGGCUUCAUACUCUGCCUGGUUAUUUGUGGCUGCAAAUUCCAACUUUACAGCAUAAGAGAUCUCCUCCCCCUCAAGGCCUUCCAGGACAAUCCCUGCUCCUGAACCCCGCUCCCCUGAUGACCCGUCCACAGACAUCUGCCAUACUUGAUUUUCGUCAUUGCCUAUAACUGCAUCCUGUUGAUCUGAGCAUACUUCGGGCUCUGUGAAUUCAGCUACGAAAUCGGCCAUUGCCUGGGCUUUUAUCGCUGCGCGGGGUUUAUAGUCUAUGUCGAACUCGCUCAGCUCUACAGCCCACUUGACGAGCCGACCAGAGGCAUCUGGCUUGUGCAGAGUUUGACGCAAUGGCUGGUUUGUUAUUACCGAGACCGGGAAUGCUUGAAAAUAUGGCCUCAACUUCCGAGCAGCAACCACAAGGGCAAGUGCCCAUUUCUCCAACAGUGGGUAUCUAGUCUCAGCGUCGAGUAGGGCCUUGCUGGUGUAGUAUAUCGGAUACUGAACUCCUUCUUCCUCUCUCACCAGAACAGAACUGGCGGCCCGAUCCGACACCGCCAAAUACAGAUACAACUUGUCCCCAUCCCUUGGUGUGGACAGCAGCGGAGCUUGCUGCAAGUAUUGCUUCAAGUUCUGGAAGGCUUCCUCGCACUCUGGGGUCCAUUCUGUUUUCUUUCCCCUCCUUAUCACUUGAAAGAAUGGCUGACACUUAUCUGUAGCCUUGGAGAUGAAUCUGCUCAACGCCGCCAACCUCCCUGUGAGGCUCUGCAUCUCCUUCAGGUUACGAGGAGACGUCAUUUGCACAAUCGCCUGGAUUUUCUCGGGAUUUGCUUCAAUCCCCCUAUGGCUCACCAUGAAUCCAAGGAAUUUCCCUGACUCGACCCCAAAAGCACACUUUUCCGGGUUGAGCUUCAUCUUAUACUUCCUCAAAAGCUCGAAUGUCUCCUCGAGGUGUCUGACAUGUUCCUUCGGGAUUUUGGACUUGGUGAUCAUGUCAUCCACGUACACCUCCAUGGUUUUCCCAAUCAACGGCUUAAAGACUUUGUUCACCAGCCUUUGAUAGGUGGCCCCAGCAUUUUUGAGACCGAACGGCAUUACCCUGUAACAGAACAAACCUUGGUUAGUGACGAAAGCCGUGCUCUCCUCAUCCUGCUCGUACAUGGGGAUCUGGUUGUAUCCCGAGAACGCGUCCAUGAAGCUGAGCAGACCAUGUCCAGCCGUUGAAUCUACUAGCUGAUCGAUCUUUGGUAGAGGGAAGCUGUCUUUUGGGCACGCCUUAUUGAGGUCUGUGAAAUCCACACACAUCCUCCACUUGCCGUUUGCCUUCUUUACCAACACCACAUUCGAUAUCCACUCAGGGUAACUGACUUCCCGAAUGAACCCUGCUCUCAAGAACUUCUCCACCUCGCUAUUUAUUGCCUCAUACAUCUCCUGGUUGAAGCACCUCCUCUUCUGCCUUACUGCCCGAGCACCUUUCUUUAUUGCCAGCUUAUGACAUGCUACCUCAGGGUCAAUCCCUGGCAUGUCUUCAUGUGUCCAAGCAAACACAUCAGAAUGAGCCUGUAAGCAUUUCACCAACUCCUGCUUUUGCUCUCCCUCAAGCCUCGACCCGAUUCUGAUCAUCUUUCCCGGAUUCUCUGGUCCCAGGCUUACUGUUUCCAGAUCUUCUACAGGUUCUUGUCUGCCCUUCUUGUUUUCCACUCGGGUAUCGAGGGAUGUUAUCUGCAUUGCUUCCCUUGCUGCCGAGGAGUAGCAGCUUCUUGCGAUCCUCUGGUCUCCUCGUACCACUCCUACUACCCCAUUCACCCGGUACUUCAGAGCGAGAUAGUGGUUGGACAACACCGCUUUGCUCAUCCUUAAAAAUGGCCGACCUAGGAUCAUCUGGUAAGGACCUUCCUCGUCCACUACGACAAAGUCCAGUAUCAUUGUUCUUUCUGUCAGGGAGCUCCCAAUUGUGAUAGGCAGCUCGACCACGCCCAGAGGGACCAGCUUCCCUCCUCCGAACCCCUUCAAGGAGGUAUUGGUGUAUUCCAACUUUCGGUCGGCUAUUCCCAUCUCUUCCAGGGUUGACUUAAAUAACACAUCAACUGAGCUCCCUGUAUCAAUCAGUAUCCGGUCAAACUUCUUGCUAGCGACAGUAGCCUUGAUGACUAAAGCAUCAUCGUGGGGGUAUAGAAUCCCUUCCUCAUCCUCAUCCGUCCACAUGAUUGGCACUUGCCUGACCCUUGCUCGUUUGGCUGCUGGGGUGUUGAAGAGUACCUCUUUACUGGUCAUGGCGUACCUAGCAUAAUUUUUUCUCGAUCUGUUGGAAUCUCCGGCCAAUGUUGGGCCCCCAGCUAUCACCCUUACUGCGGGCUGCUCGCGCCUCAAGUUUCUACCACUCUGCUCCCCUUCACCUGUUGUGGCCACCAUCGGGAAAGUCCCAUCCAUAAACUCGUCCAGGUACCGAUUUCUCACCAAAUCUUCGACCUGGAUCUUGAGAUCUCUACACUCUGCCGUGGUAUGGCCAUGGGUGCCAUGGAACUUACAAUAACGUCUUCUAUCCCUCCUGUUGGGUAGCUUUGUUAUUGGUGUAGGGAGGUGCAGCAGACCUCGAUCCUUUAUGGCCUCGUACACCUCAUCCAGGGACAUCUUCAAGGAAGUGUACCGCCCAUAGUCCGGGUCCUGGUCGAUCAGGUGCACUGCUCUUUCUCUGUUUGCCCCGCUUUGAGUUGGGGGCGGUGGAAGUAAUUCUGGUCUGCUCGCUCUGCUACCAUGUUGGUGAAGACCACCAGAUGCCGACUCAUGCCUUCUCCAAGGCUCCCUAGCUGGGGAACGAGGAGGUUGCGCCCCGCUGCGCUGAUACUGUGGUGGCCUCUGAUGAGGCUGGUAAGCAGUUACCCGACCUCCUGCUCUACUACCGGAGGCCUGGUGGUCUCUCCUCCUGAUCGGCCCAUUCCCCGGUAAUGCUUUCUUCUCUUUCCUCCCCAACCCUUCCAACUGGUCUGUCUUAAUCCGUGCAGCCUUCUCCUCUUCAAUCUCGAUGUCUCUCUUAGCCUGUUCGUAUGCGGCUGCAUACGUUUGAAUAGCUGGGCUUCUCAAAUUGUACCACAACCUUCCUAUCUUCACCCCUUCUUUCAAUCCCCUUAACGCCUGAGGGUGGUUGAAGGCUCCCAAGUCGAGGACAGCCCGAUGAAACCUCUUGAUGAAUUCCCGAAGGGUUUCUUGCUCCCCCUGUUUCAUGCUUUUCAGCUCCAUCAUGUCGUCUUCCGGUGCCAUUGCCCCACUAAACUGCUCCGCGAAUUCCUGGCACAUCUGCUCGAAGGUUUUAAUGCUGCCCCGAGGAAGUUUCCUGUACCAUUCUCGUGCACGUCCCUCAAGGGAUAGUGGGAACACCCUGCACCUUUGGGAUUGAGAUAAUCCUUGUACCCCAGUUAUGUCGUUGAAGCGCUCUAUAUGCACCAGCGGAUCAGUUCUUCCCGAGUAUCUGAGGUCUGGGAGGCGGAAAUCUCUCGGAAUAACUGCCCUCAUGAUUUCUGUUGCGAGCGGCGAUUCUCCGUCCAGCAUUAUCCUCCAACCAGGGGCUCUGUUCCUUCCUUGCAUGUCGUCAAUUAUCUGCGCUAGUCUGCGCACUUCCCCCUCCAGCUGCAACGCACGACCAGGGUCACGUGCUGCAACUUGAUCCCACUCUUGCUCUACAUCAUGCAAGUGUUGCCUCAACUCUGUUUCCUCUGCAUUCACCACCCCGUCGCCCUCGUCACCAGUCUGUCUUGCUGGGGACUGCUCUCUUUCUCUAUGAAAUUCUCCCUGCAGAGGUACGUUACCUCUCUCACCACCAAAUCUCCCGGGGGUUUGACUUCUCCCCGCACUAUCGGGACCUGGUGCCACUCCACCGCCUCUCACCCUUCCCUCUUGGGUUACCCUUCGCUCGCUCCGCAGCUCAUGCAGGAUGGUUGUCAAGGUCUCCAUCUGCUUUUCCAUCCGUUCCAUCUGGUCGAACAUGACUUUUUCCCGUGCUUCGCUGACUAUCUCCCUCAGCGUCACGGAAUCGUUAAGCCUCCUAUCACCCCCUUGUGCACUACUUCUUCCUGUCUCCAUUGCUUUUCACUUGCUUCACCCCUCUUCUUGCUAUCAACAGAAGCUUUUUGCUCUGGUCCCCACAGACGGCGCCAAAAUGUUGAUGCAGGAUUCCGGUUCUUCUCGUUCUACGACCAGGAUCUCUGCUCGAUCAACUUCGUCACGACCAGGAGGUCUCCUCGCAAGACUUUUUCUCUAGAGAUUCCUGCGCACACAGACAAGUCAGAGUACGCCGGUUGUUUUCCCGGCGCAAACCCUCCGACGCUCAAGUCAGAUAUGAAGGUUCGGGGAACGCUUGCCACCGAUCUUAUGGCUUUUUCGUGGUUUUCUCUUCUUUUUAAUUCCUUUUCUAAUGAGAAAAAUGCCAACCCUUUUACCUCGUCGGCUACCUUUUUAUAGGCUUCCUCUGAAUCCCAGUUUUCCGCUCUUUUCGAGACGGUAUGGGACUCUGACUGCUGCGUUAUGGGCAAACGUGGGAUCUUGCGUGUUACGCCACCGUUCUGGGAAAAGCGCGGCAGUCGUGGUUCUGUGAGAUCUUGCGUGUUACGCCACGGUUCUGGGGAAAGCGUGGCUGUCGUGCCUAGGUUCUCGGGCUGGAGAGCAUGUCUCGUCAACUGCCGUCGACCGGGUCUCCUCGCCUCUCGACCUCUAGCCGGAAUGACCUUAUGCCUCUUACAGGAAAUUGGCCUCGCGGAUGACCUGCUCGUGGACGAGCAGGAUAUUUCUGCUCCUGUUCCCCCGCGUACCAGGCUUUUACGGGACACACCGGUUCGCAGAACUCUGCCAUCAGAUAUCUGCUCACCGUGCCUGGUCUCGUCGACGUAUUUCUCCCAAACACCUGGUAUGACUGCUUAUGCUGGAUUUUAUGAGGUGUGCUCUCCUAAGCAAGGAGAGUGGGUCUUAAUAUGGGCAAGGGUGCAGUUGGUCAGCUUAUGGGGCAGUUUGCAAAGUUACUGGGCUGCUAUGUUGUCGGAAGUGCUGGAAGCAAAGACCAGGUAUACAAACAAACAAUCCGUAUCAGUUGCUUGAUUGUUCCCAUUUUGCUUUCAAAAUAUCUAACUUACAUAAGGAAAAUUUUCACCAUCUCGUCUUUUCUUUGAUUUUGAACGCUAAGAUUGAUCUACUGAAGAAUAGGUUUGGGUUCGAUGAGGCGUUCAACUAUAAAGAAGAUCCUGAUUUGAAUGCAGCCUUGAUAAGGUUAGUAUAUCAGCAAACUACAAAUUAGAAGACAUUUUUUCCUGAAAAUCAAAUAAUGUUUCUAAUUUGACAGGUGGUUUCCUGAAGGCAUUGACAUAUACUUUGAAAACGUUGGUGGGAAAAUGCUCGAUGCGGUGCUGAUCAACAUGAAAAUCGGUGGUCGAAUUGCUGUGUGUGGGAUGAUCUCGCAGUACAACCUUGACGAACCCAAAGGCGUACACAACUUGACGCGUCUUAUUUCGAAACGGGUUCGGAUGGAAGGAUUCCUCGUAUCGGAUUACAAUAAACUCUAUCCGAAAUUUCUGGAAAUGAUCAUUCCUCACAUCAAGGGGGGAAAGAUUGUAUACAUUGAAGACACGGCUGAAGGUCUUGAGAGUGCUCGGGCAGCUCUCGUCGGUCUGUUCUCUGGCCGGAAUCUCGGGAAACAGGUGGUUGCAGUUGCUUCUGAAUGAAUGAAGGAUUUGGUUGUUUACAUCAUGCUUCUACUCGUCCAUUUAUUUAAUAAAAUGGUUACGCUCAAUGAGUGUAAUUUUUAUGAUGCUAAAUUAAAUGUGGAAUGUGGCUGCUGGUUUGAUAAUGUUAAAAGUGCUAAAAAAUUUCAUGUUAGGCGCGGUGUGCGUCUGUAUAUCAUUUUUAGGUACGGGCAUUCUAUCUUUUUUUUUUAAUUAAUACAGACACAUUCUUAAACUGUAUGGUUUAAGAGAGAGUUAAAAAAAACUUUUACCACAUGGUUUAAAAGCGUAUCCGUAUGGAAAAAAAAUGAAAGUCCAUUGGAGAAGAAUUUUAUAUAUAGUCCAGGAUAUUAAAGUGCGGGAAAACUAUAGAGUUUUAAAAACUUAAAAUUUAAAACGUUUAAACUGCACGAUUUAUGUGUUUUUCGAUGUGAUCCCACAUUUUAAAAUUGUGGAUUGGAACAUUUGUCUUUGAGGGAAAAAAAACAAUAACAACAACUUCUUUUGGAGACCGUGGGGCUCAUAUGCAGAUUCAACCCCGAGCUAUACACUGGAUCUGGUGGGCUAGGUUUGAACCCAAAACAAGCUCUAUUCAUUACACGGUUCAGCGGGUUGGUCCAUUUGACGCUUCUAACUUAACAAUUUAAUCAUAAUAAAUUGAAAAAAUAAAAUAAAACCCACGUAUCUAAAUUAUUGUAUUGAGCUAUUGGUGCAGAGAAUAAGUAUAUAUGAGAACAAAAACAACACGAUGUAGUCGCUCGUUUUGUCACUUCUAAAAUCAGGAUUUAGAGCAUCACCAAAAGGCUCUUCAAAUAAGAUUUUAUUACUCAUUUGAAGAGCCACAUCAAUAUUUAAAGCUCCAAAAGACACUCUAAUUAAGAUUCUUCAAAUAAGAAUUGAUUCUCUCUCUUCAAAUUUGGAGAGUUAAUUUCUCCCUCUUCAAUUUAUAUUUUAUUACUUUUCAUUAAAAAAAGAGAGAGAAGUGCUUUAAUUGCUAUUGACUUUUCCUUUUAAAAACUAAUUAUAUGAUUAAAAUAAUAUUAACUUAUUUCUAUUUGAAGAGUCUUUUGGAAAAUAUCAUAUUUUUUCACCCUUCUAUUUGCCACAUAGGUAAGCAAAUAGAUAUUUGAAGAGUAAAAUUUAUAGAGGCUUUUGGAGAUGCUCUUAUGAUAGAGUCAUAGUGUUAACAGUACAUCGGUGUAUAAUUAUUUGUAAUGAAAUUAAUUAAUAUGGGUUUUAUGUUGUCUUUGUCAAUAAUCAAUUAAAUUUUUCGUUUUCAUUUAAAUGUUACUGAUCGAUGAAACAUUUGACUGCGUUCAAGUUAUCUUUUAAUUUUGUGAGAUCCACAUUGUUUUUAUUUCAAAAACAUAAUUUUUCAUAUUAUUAAAAAGCUGUUGCUUGGGCCUAGAGAAAUUGGAUUAAUGAAAUACCUUAAGGGUGUGUUUGACACAUUAUAUUGUAUUAUGUUGCAUUGCAUUAUUUUAUUUGGUGUUGCACUAUACUUUACUAAUUUUUUUGCAAUUAAUUUAAAUUACAUAGUUAGCAAAUAAUAUUUAUUAGUGCUUAGAAAAAUACUAAAUAUAGAAGUCUUAAAUUUUAGAAAUUUAACAAUUUUUUUACUAUAAAUGUUAAAAAAUAUAAUAAUUCUUCAUAAAGAUGGAAGCUUACAGCCUUAAGUUUUUGGAAGCAGAGCAUUUAUUUUUUAGUAUCUUCUAAAUAUAUAAUUUUUGAAAUAAAGAUAUAAGCACAUAAUUUAAUCACAUAGUCUUUAAAUAAUAUAACAACAUAAAUAAAUAGUUAAAAUGUGCAAGAUUAGUUCAAAACUCAUCUUAGGAUGAUAUAAUAAAAGUUUAUACACACCACAAGAUAAUCACAAAAUAAUAAAGUGAUAAAAUUAUUAUAACAUAUUCACUACCAAAAUAAAUUAUAUUAAAUAAUCCAAGUGAGAGUUCUGUAGUUUAUAUAAUAAUAUUAUUUAUGUUAUUAUUAUUAAUUUUAAAUUAAUAUUAUCCAAAUUUAUUCAUACUUAAAUAUGUAUUAUUAGUUAUAUUACAUUAUUUUUACAUAUUAAUUAUUGUAAUAUAAUUAAAUAAUGUAAAAUUAUAUUAUAUUUUUAUAUACUAUUUAAGUAUUUAUUAUUAAUUAUAUUCAAUUAUAAAUUUAUUAAUAAAUUAUAGUGCAAAAAAAAAUAGAAAUAAAAAUUAAUAUUGUAUAAUAAAUAACAUUCUGCUCCCAAUUUCUGGAUUUUAAAUUCCAAAAAUAGUAUUCACGUUCGCCACAUUCAAAAAUCCAACCUGGGCUUGGAGAUUCGAUUCAUCUCAUAGAUUAAUUUUAUAAACUAAUGUUUAGUGAAAAAUUAACCUUAAUGGGUCCUCCUCUCCAGGCCUAAUUCUUAAUUUUUUUUUUAAUUUGGUCCUACUUAAGUGGCUUCUAACGUUACCGUGUCUUUAUUUUGUGUACAGUUGUUUUACUAAUUUGUCAUUUAGUGCAAAUAACAGCACUCAACUUGUAAUAUCCAGUAUCCACAAAUCAGCCACUUCGGCCAAGGCCGAAGUGGUGGGCUGCUGCCCUCACAAUGCUUGUGAGGGCAGCGGUUCUAGCCCCCACAAAAGCAUUGUGGGGGUUAAAUGUUCUUUAUAUUUCCAAAAAAAUCCUUCUCUCUUGCAAAAUGUAAGUGGAGUAUGGACAUCCCUCUCCUGUGAGGGGUUAUUUGUCUGGGCAUGUACUUCAUAGAAUUCAUUGUAAUAAUGUAAGUCCCAAUCAUGUAUAUCUGAUUGUAAAUAUCAGUGUAAUAUCUCUGCUACAAUAAGCAGUUGUUGUAAAUAUCUGUCUGAUGAUUAAUCAGUAUUCAAAAAAAAAAAAGUAUCCACAAAUCAUGAACUCAUUUUUUAGUUCUUUCAUGUGUACUAACAUUCGUACAAAUAUACAAUAAGUUCAUAAUUUAGUCCAAGUUGACGAGAAAUUCUUGACCCACCCCUAAAUAUCUGUCCGCCAAUAGCGUGAAGUGGCCGGCAUAAAUUUAAAGCAGCUGGGACAUUGUAACUCAUCCAAAGAUUGUAUAACAUCUCUUUUUUGCUUUAUCGUUUUUCUCCAGUUGCAUAGUUUCUUAUCCUACCGCUUUAAAAACAAUUAUUCCUAGAAAUUUUCAUUUAUCUAAUGAAUUUUAAGAAUUUUUUCAGCAAACAAUUUUUACUUUUUUUUUUUUUUAUCAUUGAUGGGUAAAGAAAAUAUUAAUGAAAAAUGAGGAGUUAUUGGCUGGUUCAACGGAUUAAUUGCAAUGAUAAAUACAGGGAGGAUUGGAUUAUAUGGCAAAUUUUUAUAGUAAAUGUAAUAUAUAUGCUAACACUUUUUAUUUAUGGCAAAAUAUCUUCCUCUUUUGAGACUUUUCCCUCUAAGAAAAUUGGAGGAUACGACAAUAUAUAUAUAUAUAUAUAUACUAAUAUUUAUCAUUUAUAGAAAAGUAUCUAUCCCACUUAAGAUUUGCCCCACUAGAAAAGGAAAAAAAAAUCCCUCAAAAUAAAAGAGCGAAAUGGAAACAGAACAAAAUUUGAUUUUGUGGAUCUUGUAUUGUGUGAUAAGUCCGGCAUGCAAUUUUGGGCCAGCUUACCGUGCGCAUGGGAGCAUUCACAAAGUAUCUCUCGUCACUAUCGAAAACUUUUAACAGUCAAUACAAAUGCUUCCGUUUCAUCCCAUAAACAAAUAAAAUUCACAUCUGUACACAUCUACUUUGCUUUGCUAGAUAGAGUUCCUCUGCAUUUCCCAAUUGCCUAAAGAGAAGGGGAAAAGAAAAAGAGGGCCAAAAAAUGCCUGAAAUGGUAAGGAACAAGCAAGUGAUAUUGAAGGACUAUGUGUCUGGUUUCCCAAAAGAAACAGACAUGUACAUGACCGAAAGUUCCAUAGAAUUGAAGGUGCCAAAAGGUUCAAAUGGGGUUCUUUUAAAGAACUUGUACUUGUCCUGUGAUCCGUACAUGCGACCAAGAAUGACCUACAUCGAAGGAUCUUAUGUUGAAUCCUUUAAACCUGGCUUGGUUAGUGCACUCGCUCAUGGCCACGCUUUUCAUUUCCAUGGCUUCUUGCUCUUUUGUUAUAGAAAAUUUAUUUUUGGUUGCAGUUUGGUUCGACUGCUAAAAUCUCGUGCGAUAAUUGUAUAAGAUAUCUAGAGUUUGAACUUCUUUCACAUUAGGGUUCAAGGAAGUUAACUUAAAUGAUUUUCAAAAUUUUAAAUGUGUACCAAUGAAUUUAAUUUCAUAGCUUAAACUUAUUGUUUGAUCAUACUCUAACUUUGGACAGGAAAAUUAUAUUUUUCCUUUUGUUCUUUGACUUCGUGUAUGUUGUGUGAAGUACUUGUGCUUGAAAAUGAAUUGCUGACACAGAAAUUUCUAUGAAUGCAUGCAGCCCAUAAGUGGAUAUGGGGUGGCUAAAGUUUUGGAUUCAGAGAAUCCAGAGUUCAACAAAGGUGACUUGGUUUGGGGAAUGACUGGAUGGGAAGAGUAUAGUCUCAUUACGGCUCCACACUUGUUUAAAAUUCAGCACACAGAUGUGCCUCUUUCUUACUAUACUGGAAUCCUCGGUAAACUUUUUGUUUGCGCAAUUUAUGUGAGCAAAUUGUGUCUUCUUUUUCAUAUGUAAAUGUUUUUGAUAUCUUGAUGUGAAGGUAGAAAAUUGCAUGUUUUGAGUUUUUGCAUAUUUGAUGGAAACACAGAACCGUACCUGAAUAUUUCAGAACCCCCUUUUCUUUGAAGUUUGAACACUUUUCUUGAAUGUAUCAACUUUAUUUAUGGGAUAUGUUGCCAAAUUGGCAAAUCUAUUCGUUAUAAAACUUUCCUUUGACAGUUUAAUCUAAGCAGAUGUUAAUUCUGCAAAUAGAGUGUGCCUUAGUUUAGAUUGAUAGAUUUGUCUCCUUCUGUACAGUAAAAACUUUGAGCAUUUUCGCCAUAUUCUGAUCAAUACACUCCAACUAGUUAGUUCUUGAGGCGUUUCCUGGUUUCGUGGAGUGAGCCAAGAUGUAUACGUUUGCAAAUUGGCAAUGUCUUUUGCUUGAUGUGUUGUGAGUUGUGAGUGUCAAUAGGAAAGUUUCAAAGUGCGCAGUGCUCACUUGAGCACCCAUAUUACUUGGUGACCUGUUGCCUCAGCAAACAAGACCUCUGUUUUAUGAACUCCAAAAAGUUAUUCUGUUAAAAAGAUCGAGACAGAGGCCAUACUAUAUUUAUUAUUGCUAUAAAAGUGUCAAACAAUAUUCUUUAUUUAAUAUUCUAAACGAUUGAGCCAUUUAGUUAUGAUACUCUGCUGUACUGGGGCUAAUAAUCUAAGUCGGUUCAAAGUGGUAAAUUUAUAAAUUGAUAGGUAUGCCUGGUAUGACCGCUUACGUUGGAUUUUAUGAGGUCUGCUCUCCUAAGCAUGGAGAGUGCGUCUUCAUAUCAGCAGCAUCUGGUGCAGUUGGUCAGCUUGUGGGGCAGUUUGCAAAGUUAUUGGGUUGCUAUGUCGUCGGAAGUGCUGGAAGCAAAGACAAGGUAUGUAAUCUGUGUGAACUACUUGAUUGUUUCCAUGUUACUUUCAAACAUUUAAAUUAAAAAGGAAAUUUUCAUAAUCUUGCCUUUUCUAUGAUUUUCAACACCAAGGUUGAUCUACUGAAGAACAAGUUUGGGUUCGACGAGGCAUUUAACUAUAAAGAAGAAGCUGAUUUGAAUGCAGCAUUGAAAAGGUUAGCAUCAAUAAAUGCCUUAGCUUGAUGCAGCUUGAUGAAGUAUGAUACACAUUUCUGACCAAUAUACUGCGUUCCCUGAUCUCUUACUUGAAAUAUCUUGGUUUGAGAAUCUCAUGCCAAUGCCUUUAACAUUUUGGCAGGUACUUUCCUGAAGGAAUUGAUAUAUAUUUUGAAAACGUUGGUGGAAAAUUGCUUGACGCAGUGCUACCCAACAUGAAAAUCCGUGGUCGAAUUGCUGCAUGCGGUAUGAUCUCACAGUACAAUCUUGACAAGCCUGAAGGUGUGCACAACUUGAUGUAUCUUGUUUCGAAACGGCUUCGAAUGGAAGGAUUCAUUGUUCUGGAUCACUAUCACCUCUAUCCAAAGUUUCUGGAAAUGAUCAUUCCUCACAUCAAAGAAGGGAAGCUUGUAUACGUCGAAGACAUGGCUGAAGGUCUGGAGAGUGCUCCGGCAGCUCUCAUCGGUCUAUUCUCUGGCCAGAAUGUUGGGAAACAGGUGGUUGCUGUUGCUCCUGAAUGAAGAACAAGUUAGUGUUGUGUGUUCUUUUACCCUUUGACACAAAACUUCAAUGUUAAAGAGAGAAUGCUGCUCAUACUGCUUUAUAAAAUAAUCAAAUGAGUGCAAGUUUCAUGAUAUGUGCUGAAUAAAAAUAUUGGAAAUUAAGCAGCUAGCCUAGCUCCUUCUUGUAGUUGCAGUUUGAAUGAUGCUGCUGCACAACUGCUGCCGAAAAAAUCCUUAAUAGAUGAUUAGCAAGGUUUCAAAAAUAAAAAUAAAUGUUUGUGCAAUGUGCCGAAUAUGACAGCCACAAAGAAAGAGCAUACAAAUUGACUGGUUUUAUGUCUUCUCUAGGAGAAAGCUACAAUACAAGAAAUUGUAUUGAUGCCAUGGACCAAAUUUCUUAUUUAAACUUUUAAUUUUUUUUUAUUAAAAUUACUUAUGUUAUUAUGGUUUAUAUUUUUAGAAAUUCUUUAGAAAUUAAUACAGAACUAGUAGCAAGUUGAGAAAUCUAAUGAAUGGUCGAGAUAUGAUCAUGUUUAUUGAAUUAAAUUGACAAUCAUCAUUUUGAUAAAUUAUUGUUAGGAUAUUUGAUUCAUCACAGGUGUAAGUAACUAAAUGUGCUAAAAAAAAAGUUAAUGAGUUGUGAGUGUUUGAUAUUCGUUUGUUGUAAUUCUUUUAAUAAUUGUUGUGGGAAAAAAAUUAUGGUAAAAAAAUUAUAAUUAUAAAAUAAAAAUUAAUAAUAUAUUAUAAAUAAAAUUUUUAAAUAAUAAUUUUAAUAAAAUAAUAAAUAUAUUAUGAAUUUUUCAUUAUAAAUUUUUAAGUUAAAAUAAUAAAUAUUUAUUAAAUAUUUUAAUAGCACAACUUUUAAAUUAUAACAGUACAAUGUAAAUACCAGAGGUCUUAAAAAAUAAAAUUACAGUCAAGUUUUAAAACUGUUAAUAAUGCUAUUCAUAAAGGCGCUCGUCGUGUAAACAACACAUGGGACCCAACCAAUAAAUGUUUAUGAUCCUCAACUUUCCUCCUCACCGUCCCUGCAAACAAUUCUGAUUUUCUUGUCUGAGAAAAAAACUGAGAAACAAUGGCGGCCGAACAAGAAGCUGUGAGCAAUAAGCGGGUGAUUCUAAGCAACUAUGUGACAGGUUUUCCAAAAGAAUCGGACAUGAAGAUAACAUGUGGAUCAAUAAAACUGGAGGUAGCAGACGGUUUAAAAGACACGGUGCUUUUGAAGAAUCUUUAUAUUUCUUGUGAUCCUUACAUGCGAGAGCGUAUGAGCAAGCUUGAUAGACCUUCUUUUGUUGAUUCAUUCCAUCCUGGUGAGGUUAGUUCAUCACGACCCAUCUCUUGAUUUUUUUUUUUUUUCAUUUGCUUCAAGUUUUGAUGAGUUUCUGAGGUCAUUUGUACGGUUUUGGAAUGUGAACACUAUUAGUGAUUUUGGGGCUGUAACUGUCAUUAAUGAUAUGUAGUAAUUCAAUCAGAAUUUGGAUUUAGUGCUGAUAUGAUCUCUGCUCAUUUUUUAAAAUCUUGUGUCCAGAUGCAUUUUUAUAAUCUUGUACGGUUGAGAUUGUAAGUAGAUUAAUCUACGUGCAGUAUUCUUGUCUAAUGACUACUAACCACAACCUUAUGAGACGAUCGAAACCAAGCUCAGAUCAAUAAUCCAAUUGAGAGAGGGUCCUAACUCAAGCUUAUCGUGUGUAGGAAUAUUUCGGUUAAAUUGUAAUUCUUUUAAUAAUUGUUGUGAAAAAAAAAAAGUUAUGAUAAAAAAAUUAAUAAUUAUAAAAUAAAAAUUAAUAAUAUAUAAUAAAUAAGAUUUUUAAAUAAUAAUUUUAAUAAAAAAUAAUAAAUACAUUAUCAGUUUUUCAUCGUUAAUUUUUAAGUCACAACCACAAAUAUUUACUAAACACUUUAACACCAUAAUUAACACCACAACUAUUGAAUUAUAACUGUACAAUCUAGACGCCAAGAGGCCUUAGUAUGAAAAAAAAAAAUUACAGUUAAGUUAAAAUUCAUCAUACAGAUGUGCCACUUUCAUACUAUACCGGGAUCCUCGGUAAUGAUUUUUGUUACACAAUAAGAUUUGCUUAUAGUAAUAUCAAUACAUAUGCUGCUUAAAUGCUUUCUGAUUUUUUGCCGGCCAUUGUCCAUUUUGCCAGGGAGUCUAUAAUUGAAGGAAUUUACUGAAGGAAUGCUGAUUGUUGGGAAUUUGAUUAUUCUAGGUAUGCCUGGUGUAACUGCAUACGCUGGUUUAUACGAAGUUUGCUUUCCGAAGAAAGGAGAGUAUGUCUAUGUAUCUGCAGCAUCUGGAGCUGUUGGUCAGCUUGUUGGACAGUUUGCAAAAUUAGCUCGUUGCUAUGUUGUUGGAAGUGCAGGAAGCAAAGAAAAUAUAGCACCGUGCCUUCUAGCAGAAUUUUACUUGCUUUAUGUUCCAACUAAGCAUCCAUAUUUGAUCAUGAUAAUUAGCAAGGUCAAUAAUUUUUUUUUGACUAUUUUUUCAACGUAAGGUCGAUUUGUUGAAGAACAAGUUUGAACGAUGCUUUUAACUACAAGGAAGAGCCUGAUUUGGAUGCAGCACUCAAAAGGUCAGCUGCAACAAACGUUUCAACUCUAAUAUUUCAUUUUAAUAUUACAGAGCUUUGGUUGAAGUGUGUGAGUUGAUCCCAGAAACGUAACUUCAUCAGUGUCUCUGUUUUCAAAAAACAGGACAAAUAGAAAUCUGAUUUUGCUUUAAAAUUUCCCAGAUGCUUCCCUCAAGGAAUCGACAUAUAUUUCGAAAAUGUUGGGGGAAAGAUGCUGGACGCAGUGCUACUCAACAUGAGGCUCCGGGCCGCAUUGCAGUAAGCAGUAUGAUCUCACAGUAUAACCUGGAAAAACCCGAAGGCGUUCACAACUUAGAGCAACUGAUCGGGAAACGGAUUCGCCUGGAAGGAUUUCUAGCUGGUGAUUACUAUCACCUCUAUCUGAAAUUCUUGGAACUGGUCAUUCCUCCAAUCAGAGAAGGAAAGAUGCUGUAUGUGGAAGACAUGGCCGAAGGACUCGAGAAAAUUUCUCGUAACUGCUACACAUUAAACGCGUUUCACAUUUCCACUCUCUUUCUAUAAAUAAAUACGCACAUAAAAUUUCUCACCAUCCAAAAACAAAAUCUACAUAAAAAAUGGCGGGUGAAGAAGCAGUGAGCAACAAGCAGGUGAUUCUGAGCAACUACGUGACAGGGUUUCCCAAGGAAUCAGACAUGAAGAUAAUAACAGGCUCAAUAAACCUUAAGGUGCCAGAGGGUUCAAAAGACACAAUGCUUUUGAAGAAUCUUUAUCUUUCUUGUGAUCCUUACAUGAGAGGACGUAUGAGCGAGCUUGAUAAGCCUUCGUUUGUUGCCUCAUUCGAGUCUGGCGAGGUCAGUUACUUCAAUUCCCAUCUCUUGGUUUCAUAAUCUUUUAUGGUUUUAGAAGGUGUUUUAGGGAAACAUUGUGGUUUUGGUUAGUGGGCAUGAGUCUUUGAAGAGAUUAUAAUGUGUAGGACUAUGCAUGCAAUAAUAAGCAUAGGGGAUCUUGUUAGGAGAAGAUUCUCUUAGCAAAAUAAAAACUUUUAUCUUAUCAAAACAUAUGCAGGGAACUUAGUUAUGAUGUCAUGUUAGCAUUAUCUCUGAGGAUUUGAUUUCUUGAUGGGGAAAGGGGAAUUUAAGGUUACAUUAUUCAGCAAUGUUUUUUUUUUAAAAAAUUAUGUUCAAAUUAUGCAGCCUUUAAGCGGAUAUGGAGUGUCCAAAGUGUUGGAUUCCACGCCUCCAAAUUAUAAGAAAGAUGACUUGGGUGGCGUUUGUUUUUUAACUUAAUGACUUAAAGUGACUUAACUUAAUUAAUUAAGUUAAUUAGAGAUGUUUGUUUUUAUAACUUAAUGUGACUUUUUAAAUAAUUUUGACUUAAUAAAAUAAGCCAAUUUUAUUUACUUUUUACUUAAUAGAGACAUCUGAAUUAAGUCAAGUACUUUCUAAUGUCAAAAAUAUACAUGCUUUAUAAUUUAUUUUUCAUGUCUAUCCCAAAACUCACCCAUAGACAUUUACCCCACAUAAUAAUCUCAUCAUUAUUUUUUUAGCCGUCAUGAAAUCCCUCCUCACUUUGGUAUCAACUCCUCAACUAUUGAAGAUCAAAAUUACAUGCGACAACUUCGAGAUGAAUGGCAAAUCAACUGUUUCAAGCAUCUUAUUCGUUUUUUUUCUUUUUUAUAUUAUAUACGAUAAAAUUUGAAAUUUAUGGUAUUUUAUAUAUUAAAAUUCCAAAAUCAUUAUAUAUUCACUUGAAUAUAGUUUUACUUAUAAAUGUUAAAAUAUUGUGAUAUUUAAUAUAUUAUUUAUUUGACAUUCAAAUUUAAUAAGGAUACAAAUGUAAAAGUACAUAUUUUUCAGUUUUUUAAGUUGAAAAAAGCAAACAACUUAAUAAUUAUUUUUCGAGAUUCAGACGAAAAAACAAACAUAUUAUUCAGAUUCAGACAUUCAGAUCUAUUCAGAAUUUAGACUAAUUCAGGUCUAUUCAGAUUUCAGAUAAAAAAACAAACGCCACCUUGGUCCGGGGCUUAACCAGUUGGGAGGAGUUCAGUCUCAUCCAAUCACCACAACUUCUGAUUAAAAUUCUGGAUACAAGUGUGCCUCUGCCAUAAUUAAUUGACAGGUUGCUAUGUUGUUGGAAGUGCCGGAAGCAAAGAAAAGGUGAGUUUGCACCCUUAACCCUUACGCUCUAAAUAAAAACAUAACACCUUCUGAAAGAAUUGUGCAUAGAGAAUUUUGCAUGUCACAUUAUUUGUGUUCUAACUAAUCAUGGAUAUUUGAUCAUUAGUCUAACUAAAACUGACAUAUUACCACCUAGUUGACUGGUCUUUGAGAAAUGUUAGUUGAUAUAUGCUUGAAAUCAUACUUGUUUUAUUAGAUGAUUAUAUUAACCUGCUUCUUUUUCUUUGUGCUGUUUCUCGUUUGAUUACAUUUUCAACAUUAGGUCGAUCUAUUGAAGCACAAGUUUGGGUUUGAUGAUGCCUUUAACUAUAAGGAAGAGCCUGACUUGGAUGCAGCUCUUAAUAGGUUAGCACGAAUGAAUGCUUUAACCAUUUUUCUCACUUCAUUAUUACAAUGCGCUGAUUGAAGUAAUCAGUGUUGGCUCUGAAAAUGUAACGUAUACUUCUCUGUUUUCAUAAAACAGGACAAACAGUGAUCAGUGAUCUCAUUCGUUACAUUGAUAUUUUCUACCAUUGCCAUACAUAGUAUAAACUAGGAAUUCAGUUGCUUAAUAGAUAUUCAUUUCAGAGGGAAAUUUUCACUUGCAGCUAACAGAAUCAUGUUUGUGAUGUAUGUUUAUUUGGGAAAUGAAAGGAUUUGUUGCAUUAUUUUAUUCCAAGUUUGCUGAAAUCAUAUUUGUUUUCCCAGGUGCUUUCCUGAAGUUAUCGACAUCUAUUUCGAAAAUUUUGGAGGUAAGAUGCUUGAUGCAGUGCUACUCAACAUGAGAAUUUGUGGCCGCAUCGCUGUAUGCGGAAUGAUCUCACAGUACAACUUUGAGAAGCCUGAAGGUGUACACAACUUGAUGCAAGUAGUUGGAAAACGAAUUCGCAUGGAAGGAUUUCUUGCCAGUGAUUUCUACCACCAAUAUCCAAAAUUCUUGGAACUGGUUAUGCCGGCAAUCAAAGAAGGAAAGUUAGUAUAUGUCGAGGACAUAGCUGAAGGCCUCGAGAAAGCUCCAUCAGCCCUAGUUGGGAUAUUCACAGGUCAAAAUGUUAAAAAACAACUGGUUGUAGUUGCUCGGGAAUGAUAUGAUUACUAUAUGCUUUAAAAAGUGGACUUUGCCAUGCACUUUAAAAGCUUAGUGAAGAUGCCUUUGUCUUAUUUUUGAUACAUGUUAUGUUUGUUUGAUCAAGUUGUACUCAGCUAUAAAUCAAAGAUUCAGAACAUGUGUAUGAUACUGGUUUCUAAAUCAAUGAACGCGUUGAAAUGUUAGUGUUUUCACAGGAGAAUGCAAUUUAAUUCAUCAACAAUGUCCCAACAAGACCCUCAGAGCUGUAGCUUGUAAAGUUAAUUACGAUAUUUUUUUGUAAAGUAAAUUACCAUAUUUUUUUCUUUCCAAUAUAUUGCUUAUUUCAUAGAAAGUUUACAUUAAAGUCUCAUGUUUCUUUGAAAGGUAAGCAAGUGUGAACGUUUCAAUCUAGAGCUGGAAAAUGCAUUUCCGGGCAACUUACUUGAUACAUGAAGUUUUCAUCUCUGACCUUGAUGUUUCCCAUAGUUGCAUUCAUUUCAGCUGAUCUAUUUAAUUUUGUUUUCGAAGGAGUGACACAAAAUCUCCUUUGUUAAGGGGAGAAUUUAGAGUGGCUUUGACUGUUAGCAAAUAGCCUAAUGUAAGACUUAACCAACUUCCUGCCCUGUUGUAUGCUUAUGAAUUUUGAUAGAGCUAAGAGUUUGCAGAAGCUACUGUAUUAUUUGUCGUUAGAGGCUGUAAAAAUCAAACACAUUUAAAUUUCAAUGAAAAUUUACUGGAAGUAAAUUUCCUAUGAUCCCACAGGUGACUAAUUAAUGAGAACUUGACAAUGACAAAAGAAAGUCUAUGAACUUUGCAGGCUGGCAUGCCAAUAUUGACUGGGUGGCACCAUCCACCAUCUGCAAGUGAAUAUCAUUGUUGUUUAAUCAACAAGGUGGAGUCCACUGGGACCACACCACAUCGUCAGCCUUAUCUCUAUUCCUCAAUUUUCAGUAUUCCAUACAUCAAACCAAUUUCAGUUUUGUUAUCAAUUAUAAUUUUAUUGUUGGUGACGAUUCUGAUUCCUUUCUGACAAAAGGGAACCAUGGCUGCUGCUGGAGAGAUCUUACUCAACGCCUUCUUUCAGGUACUGUUCGACAGGUUGGCUUCUCGUAAUUUGCUCAGCUUUGUGCGUCAACUCCAAGGCGGGGUUGAUUCGGAGCUCAAAAAGUGGGAGAAAAAGCUGAAGAUGAUUCGGGCUGUGCUCUGCGAUGCAGAGGAGAAGCAACUGACUGACGAGGCUGUGAAGAUGUGGCUGGACGAACUCCAAGACUUGGCUUAUGACGCUGAGGACACUCUUGAUGAGUUUGCUACUCAAGCUUUGGAAAGCAAGUUGAUGGCGCAAAAUCACGAUAGUUCUGGCCAGGUUCUCAGUUUCAUCCCGGCUGGUUUGAAUCCGAAUGCUAUUAUGUUCAAUUAUAGCAUGGGGUCCAAGAUGAAAGAUAUUACUAGCCGGCUGGAGCAACUCUGCCAAGAAAGAAUUGAACUUGGACUGCAACGGAUUACCGGAGAGGCAUCAUCAACUGCUGCUGCUGCACACCAGAGGCCACCCAGUUCGAGUGUCCCAACAGAACGUGAAGUAUUUGGAAGAGAAAAAGAUAAGGCCAAAAUUCUUGAUAUGUUAUUAGCCGAUACCAUAAGUGAUCAUGCUAACUUUGUUGUAAUACCCAUUGUUGGCAUGGGUGGGAUAGGAAAAACAACUCUCGCUCGGGAGGUUUACAAUGACAAAGCCGUUGGAGGUUCCAAGUUUGAUGUAAAAGCAUGGGUUUGUGUAUCUGAUGUCUUUGAUGUUUUGGGCAUCUCAAAGGCACUUCUCGAGUCAAUCACCCGCAGGCCUUGUCUUCUAAACAGUUUAAAUGAAGUGCAGGUUGAAUUGAAAGUAGCUGUGGAUAAGAAAAGAUUCUUGCUGGUCUUAGAUGAUGUUUGGAACGAGGACUACAGCUUGUGGGUAGACUUAAAAGCUCCGUUCCUGGGUGCUGCACCAAACAGUAAGAUGAUCGUCACCACACGCAAUUCAAAUGUUGCAUCAACAAUGGGACCAAUUGAACAUUACAAUCUCAAGAGUCUGUCAGAUGAUGAUUGCUGGUCCAUUUUCAUAAAGCAUGCAUUUGAAUCUAGAGAUCUUAACGCACAUCAAAUUUCAGAAUCAUUCCGCAAGAAAGUUGUUGCCAAGUGUGGAGGCUUGGCCCUGGCAGCAAAAACACUCGGAGGCCUUCUGCGUACGACGAGGCAUGAUGCGUGGGAUGAUAUAUUAGAGAGCAAAAUAUGGGAUUUACCUCGACAAAGUGGGGUUCUCCCAGUAUUAAGAUUGAGUUACCAUCAUCUUCCUUCUCAUUUGAAAAGAUGUUUUGCUUUUUGUGCCAUCUUUCCAAAAGAUUAUGAAUUCACUGAGAAGGAGCUGACUUUCUUAUGGAUGGCUGGAGGUAUUAUUCGACAGUCAAGAAACAAUGAGCAGCUGGAAGAUUUGGGCAGCAAGUGCUUUGGUGAUCUAGUGUCGAGGUCAAUUUUUCAGCAAACAGCAAGCUCUGAUAGUUCUAAAUUUGUAAUGCAUGACCUUAUUCAUGAUCUUGCUGAAUUGGUCUCUGGAGAAACCAUAUUCAGGUUAGAGGAGGCCAAUACUCUGUCAAGAAGAUUUGAAAGGGUUCGCCAUUCUUCCUAUGCUUGUGGUGGAUGUGAUGGUAAAAAUAUGUUCGUGGUUUUCAAUGAAAUUGAACAUCUACGAACAUUCUUGCCAUUACGCUUACGCAUAAGAGGUGGCUCUAAUACUAGUUACAUAACUCGUACGGUUCUAUCUGAUUUGCUGCCGAAGUUCAAAAUGUUGAGAAUGCUAUCUUUACAAGGAUACCGUAUUGGUGAGUUACCAAUUCCAUUUGAAGAUUUGAGACUACUAAGGUUCCUCAACCUUGCUGACACUGACAUAAGAAGUUUACCUGAGUCAACAUGCAAAUUGCUGAACUUGGAAAUUUUGAUAUUAAGAAAUUGUUCCUAUUUGAUAAAGCUUCCGCAGAAAAUGAGGAAUUUGAUCAAUUUACAUCACCUCGAUAUAAGAGGUGCGAAGUUGCUGAAGGAGAUGCCAUUCGGAAUGAAAGAGUUGAAGAAGCUUCAAACAUUGUCCAAUUUCAUCGUGGGCAAGGGCGAAACUGCAUCUGGUUUGGAAGAUUUAAAAUGUUUAAACUUUCUUGGUAAUGAACUUUGCAUUGCUGGAUUAGAGAAUGUGAAUAAUCCACAGAAUGCAAGAAGAGCCGCAUUAUGCGAGAAGCUCAAUCUUGAAGCAUUGACUCUAGAAUGGGGGUCUCAAUCUGACAGUCCUCGAGAUGCAGUACCAGAAGAGAAUGUACUUGACACUCUACAGCCGCAUAAACGUAUAAAAGAGCUGGCAAUCAGACACUAUGGUGGUGCAAGAUUUCCACUUUGGAUCGGAGAUCCUUCAUUCUACGAGAUGAAGGUCCUUAAAUUGGAGAACUGUGACAAUUGUGUAUCUUUGCCGUCGCUUGGCCUGAUGAGUUCACUUAAGCACCUUGCUGUUAAAGGGCUGAAGAAACUAAAAAGCAUAGAGUCUGAGGUUUAUGGGGAGGGUUUCUCAAUGCCUUUUCCGUCACUGGAGAUUCUAAGUUUCGAGAAUUUGCCAGAAUGGGAGCAUUGGGACACCGAGAUCAAAGGAAAUGCGCCUGUUGAUUUAUUUCCUCGUCUCCAAGAACUUUCCAUUGCAGAAUGUCCCAAACUCUCUGGACAACUGCCUGAGCUCCUGCCUUCCUUGAAGACACUUGUUGUUAGUAAAUGUGAAAAGUUGGUAGUUCCAUUGUCUUGCUAUCCAAUGCUUUGCAGAUUAGAAGUUGAUGAGUGCAAAGAACUAGUCUGCCGGACUCCGAUUGAUUUUAAGUUGAUAAAGUCCAUGACUAUUUCAAAUAGUUCAUUAGACAUGAAUGGACGCAAGGGGAUGUUAUACGAUGGUCCAGCUGGCUCUUCACUGCCAAACCCCAUGACUACUACAAAUGUUUUAGAGUUUGGAAAAUUAUUGAAGCCUGGAUUUCAGAUAUUCGAAACUUUGGUAAUUGGCAAUUCUGAACAGCUCAAGUUAUGGAGGCAGCAUGGGGAUUUUCCGAAAAAAUACAUGGUCACUGACCAUGGGUUCAAGAAACCAGUACGAGGGCUGAAUAUGCUCGCUUCCCCUGAAGAGGUAACAAUUGAAGAAAGUUGCGUACGUCUUGUUUUGAUUCCAGAGAUCAAUUUCCUUCUCAGAAAUCUGCGCUCUCUUAUAAUUAACAACAGCACUGCUUUCAAAUCCUUACCCGAGGAAAUGAUGGAAAACAAUUCACAACUCGAAAGAUUGUAUAUCAGAGAUUGCGACUCUCUAAUAUUCAUCGCAAGACGGAGGCUACCAGCAUCUCUUAAAAGGUUUGAGAUAGGAAAUUGUGAGAAAUUGCAACGUCUGUUCGAUGAUGAAGAGGAUGCUUCUUCUUCUUCUUCUCCUUCAUCCUCGUCUUCCCCAGUGAUGCUGCAACACCUGAGUAUAGAGAACUGCCCAGAGCUCACCAGUUUAUCAUCGGGUGUCCAAUUCCUUGAGGCGCUUGAAGACCUCGUGAUACAGCAGUGUCGAAAGCUGGAGUCAAUACCGGAUGGCCUGCCCAAUCUUAAAUGUUUACAGAGCAUUAAUAUACGGGAAUGUCCAAGUCUUGUUUCCUUAACAGAAAGAGGGCUUCCCAACACCAUUUCAUUUGUUUACAUUUGCAGAUGUGACAAGCUCGAAGCCUUGCCCAAUGAUUUGCACAAACUCAGCUCUCUUCGAGAAUUAUUCAUACAGCUCUGUCCAAAUCUUGUAUCGUUUCCAGAAGAAGGUUUUCCUACCAAUCUAACAACACUUGUAAUUGGAGAUUUCAAAAUGUAUAAGACACUCGUCCAGUGGGGGUUGCACAGGCUUACCUCUCUUAAACGCCUCUGGAUUGCUGUACGUGAUGAUGAAGCAGAGUGUUUUCCAGACGAGGAGAUAGGAAUGACGCUGCCCACCUCUCUCACUGAUCUGCACCUUUUUGAUUUCGAAAAAUUGAUAUCUCUGUCUGCGACGGGUUUUCAGAGUCUCACCUCUCUUCAGAGUUUGUGGAUCGGGAAUUGCCCGAAUCUCACAUCAUUUCCAGAGGUGGGCCUUCCAUCCUCACUUUUGGGCUUAGACAUUAGAUAUUGUCCAAAGCUUAAAACAGCGUGCAAAAGAGAUGAAGGAAAAGAGUGGUCCAAAAUUGCUCACAUCCCUCACGUUGAGAUAGACGGUAAAUUCAUAUACGAUCCAGAAGCAGAGGAGUAGGUUCUACUAUUAAGGUCAGUUGAUUUGUAUUAUCCGCUAUAACAAGCUCCUCCUUUUUUAUUUUUUUUAAAAAUAAUAAUUUUGCAGUCACUCACGUGAUUCCGUUUUCACAAGUCAGAUUGUAUGUUGAGGCUAUUUGCCUUUUAAUCGCAGAUUAAAUUAUAACACUUAUCUUAAAAUUUAAUACCAUACACAGAUAGACGAUUUUUUAAUCCAAAGUUUUUUUUAUUCACUUCAGUUAGCAUUUUUUUUUUCCCCAAAUCAUGCAAGCCGAGAGUUUCAAUCAAGAAUUGGAGGAUGUGAAUGGGAUUUUUGUGAAAGAGUAACAUAAUGGAUGAACGAACAUUUCAUAUGUGAUCUCAAAGUCAACAGAAUUUUAUUCACUCGUUGACUUUUCAACUGCUGUGGUUAUUUAUGGGUGAAAGAUAAGGGCAAUUACAAAAAAUUUGCAAAAUUUGUCAAUUUCUUAGAUGGUAGAAAUUGGAGUAUAAUAUUUUGGAGCAAGCAUACUUGAAAUUUCUGUCUUCAAUAUUUUGAUGCUUUCUUAUCCCAUGCACAAAAGUACUAGAAAAAACUAAUAACAACUAACCGAAAAUCCCAGGCGUCAUAUUCCUUUUUACCGCGUUUUAAAAUGCACAACAAUGAUAUUCUUACAAAUUUGCAAAAUUUGUCAAUUUCUUAGAUUUCAGAUAUUUUAAUGCUUUUUUUAAUUUUUGAUCUAGUAAAAAUACAUAGCCUUCACCGGCAGGAUUCUAGUCUUGGCUUUCACCUCUCUAACUCAUCUGUUCCCAUUGGGAUUCCAGAAGCUAGAAAAAUGUGUAGUUUUCAGAUAAGGAGGCUUGUCAGUUCUCUAGUAAGAAUCCAAUGAUUUGCUUUUGAACGUCCAUCUAAUUUGUGGAUCCUUGCAUCAGAAUUUGAUCAAUCCAAAAGGAAUUGCUUUUAGACAGAAGAAGAAUAGCAGCACCUAGCCUACCCGCAAACCUGAAACUAUUAGAUUGAGGUAAAAAAAUCAUUGACCCUCACAUGUUAACUUCUUCUAGUUACUUUCGUUGGGAAAAAAAAAAACAUUUAAGGAAUUUGCAAUUUGUUGUUAGUUAUGGUAUCUGAUGUUCUUUUCUGCUUUAGCAUUUGUAGAAUCUACUGUAUUAUGUGUUGGCAGUUGCCGUAUCUGAGGUAACUUGCCUUUAUUUGUUUGCUUCUGACUUAAGGACACCAACAUUUGCCAGAGAUUUAGAGAAUCAUCUCAAAACACUUAGCAAACUUGACAAACUUCAAGAUGCACUUGCCCCCACGCCUUAUUCUCAACAACGCAAAACUUGUGAGUACACCUAUGCCUGCAAUUAUUGUGAAGUGUUCGCAAUUCUGAUGCAGAGAAAUGGUUUCUUGAUGCAAAGUAUUAAACUGUUAAGAUUUAUCCUGCAGGCUUGUUAGAUGCUGGAUACGCGAAAAGCCAACAACAUCAAGAACUGCAACUCCAAGACCAGCUUUGCGUUAAUUCAGUCAGCUGUAAUAAUGAUGCAAAUGACACUAUAUCAAGCUGGACUUAGAGACUAGUCAGAUAAAUCAUCCAUUUCAUCAACGGUUAAUGUCAUGAUGGUGGCUAUCAGAGGAAACAAAAGAUGUGUCGGAAUCUAUACAAACAUUGAGAAGCAUGAGAGGAGCUUUGAUUUUGAGUAGGGUCAAUGAACUCAUAUUGGUAAGUGGUAAUUAAAGAAACUUUGUAAGCUUAGUAGAGUUUCAGUAUUUUCUGUUUGGAGUAUAGUUGAUAAGUUGACUCUGUUUAAGAAGCCCGAUUAUAGUAGCUGACUGUAUUAACCUUUUUUUUUUUUUUUUUGGGUCUGCUGUUGUUUUUGGUUUCGAUUAUUUUUUCAACAUUGGGUUGAUCUGUUGAAGAACAAGCUUGGGUUUGAUUAUGCUUUAACUACAAGGAAGAGCCAGACUUGGAUGCAGGCGUUAAGCUUUUAAUGGGUAAGAACAAAUGAAUGCUUUAACUAUGUUUCUCACUUAUUAAAAUGCACGGAUUGAAGGCAUCUGGGUUGAUCCUGACAAUGUGAUGGAAAUACUUCUCUGUUUUCAUAUAACAGGACAAAUAGAGAUCUCUGAUCAUGCCUGAAUUUUUGUUGCAUUGAAAUUUCUACCAUUAUCAAACAUAGAAUGAACUAGGGAUACAUUAGCUUAAGACUAAAUUUUGAGAAGGAAGUUUGUACUUGCAGCCUAUAAAAUCAUGUCCAUGUUGUACGUUUCUUUGGGAAAUGAAAGAUUCUGUGUGUUCUUUUAUUUCAAGUUCACUGAAAUCACAUUUGUUUUCUCAGCUGCUUUCCAGAAGGUAACAACAUCAAUUUCAAAAAUGCUGGGGCAAGAUGUAUCAUGCAGUGCGACUCAACUUGAGAAUUCCUGGCCACAUUACCCGUAUGUCUAAUGAUCGCACAGUACAACCUUGAGAAGCUUGUAAUGAGUACACAACUGGGUGCAAGUAGUUUUGAAAUGAAUUUGCCUCAAAUGAUUUCUUGCCGGUGAUUAAUAUAACCUCUAUUCCAAAAUUCUUGGAACUGGUCAUACUAGCAAUGAAGGAUUGCAUACAUUGAAGACAUAGCUGAAGGCCUUGCGAGAGCUCUGUCAGCCCUUGUACCGGAAAACAGCUGGUCGUAGUCGCUUGUGAAUGAUAUGAUUAAUAGAUACUGCAAAAAUGAAUUGUGCCAUACAUUUUCAGCGCUCUGUGAAGAUGUCUUGGUCAUUUGUUUGAUGCUUGUUUGAUUUAUGUUGUAUUCAGCCAUAAAUCAGAGAUUCAGAACUUGGGUAUGUUUCUGGUUUCCAAAUCAAAAAAUUGCCUUGUGAUGUUAGUGUUCACUGUUUUCACAGGAGAUCAGGUUCCUUGUUAAUGAAUCAAGAAGAAGGCAAGCGCAUCCAUGUCCAAGUUCAAAUGUGUCUCCUCUAUUUUCUAUUACCCACUCAUUUAUUUUGAUUUCUUCAUUGUAAUUGAAUUAGUUUUUUAUUCCAAAUUAGUCAAAACCUCGUAGAGUCAUUAAGUUCUUUUAGCAUUUAAAGACAGAACUACGAACCAAAUGAUUUAAGUUCUUCGUUGUAAUUGAAUUUGCUUUCCCAUCUUUAAAGAUAUUAUGUUCUUUUUCACUUUUUCGAUUUGGUUAGUGGUGAUUUCUUAAAGACUCAAUCCAUUUGCGUUAAUACAUUUUUCUUUUGCCUUGAUUUCUGUUUCUUGGGGAGUUUAUACAUAUUCUUAUUUUAUGCUACACAUGCCAUAUACAGAUUCUUAUUUUAUGCUUCACAUGCCACAUGAAAGGUCAAAGCCUUGUGUGUGAUUAGAAUUUACUGGCAUCAUAGUAACUUUAAACCAUUGUGACGUUUUAGUAAUAACAGUCUGAGCUCUCCCUGAAGGAUUCAAAGCAUUUUAUUUUAUAUUAUACUCCUUUAUAUGGUUUGGCUGGUCUCUUUUAAGGCAAUUCCUGUUUAAAGUAAUCAAAAUUUUGAUUUCGAAGUGUCUUUCAACACUACCGCUAGUUCUUUAAGAAAAGUAAAUCGAUUUUGAGUCUUCUGUAUCAUCUGAUUGAAAUACAUGAAAGCACUCUUAGCUGCAAAAGUACACUUGGAGUUAUAAUAGCAUUCUGAAAUCUCCUUGAAGGAUUCAAAAGCUCUUUAUUUGCUAGUCUUUGCUUGCAAUAAACUCCUUUAAUAUACAUUGGUUGAUCUUCUUUAAAGCAAUUACCAUAAGUUCUUUAAAUAAUAAAACGAUUUUGAGUCUUCUGUAUCAUCUUGUUGAAAUACAUGAAAGCACUCUUGGCUGCAAAAAUGCACUUGGGGUUAUAUAUAAAGUCUUCAACAGAAUUUUAUUUCCCCCUUUAUCCUCAUGGUGGUUUUUUUAGUUGUUUUUUAAGAAAUCGCUUGAAGGUUCUCUUUAAAAAUAAUUUUAACAUAAGCAUUCUUUAGAAGCACUUUAGAUGUCUGGCAUUUAGAAAAUUUUGUUCCUGUGUUCACAUAAUAUAAUAUAUAUAUAGAAAGCUGACUGUAGAAUAGAGGAGAACGAGUUGGUGUUGGUCUGAACUCUGAUCUUUGAACCUCAUGUGACUCCACUACUUUUUACUUGUUCUGUACAAGGUCUUUUAGCUUUUCAAAAAGUUUUAGCUUUAUGGAUAAAAUACUGUUAAUUGUAAUCUAUAAAUAAUGAAAGGAAUUAAUAAAAUAUUAGGUAAAUUUUAUUUUCUAAAGUGUUAUGAGUUCUAAAACGGCUGUAUGUAUAUAAAUUUAUUUACACAUAUAUUUAUAAAUAUGAUUAUAUAAUAAUAUUUUAUGUGUACAUAUCAUAAUUGAUAACUAAAAUAAAUAUUUUUAUUUUAUUAAUGGUUUUUUCGUCUCAAUGUAGUUGGUAAUAAUAAUCUCUUUAGAUGUAACGAUUUUAUUUCCUAACUGAAUAAGGAAAAUUUUAGAUUUUUAUAAUAAAUGUUAAAUAUAUUUAGAAUUACAUUAAGUAUGAAAUAAUCCUCAAAAUUAGAUUUUGAAAAGUUAUUCUUUUCUUGCUUUUAAAAAUAUGUCAUAUGAUGAGAUGAUUUUACUAAAAGUGAUUUUUUUAAAAAAAAUUACUAAACAUCAAAAUUAACUCUUAACUUUUUAAAAUCAUUUCUAAUCUUCUCAUCCUAAGUUCUUUAUUGUUUUGUACAAAAUCCAAGGUUUUGACUUUUAUAAAAUGCCCACUCAAAAAUAAAUUAUUUUCUAAUUAAGAUUUGUUGUUAAUGUAUAACUCGAAGUAAUAUUAGAUAUUUGUAAUUUUAUUUCAAAAAUUUUAUUCAAAUGAUAUGGCAAGCAAUGAACAAUAGUUGAUAGCAAUUUGUUUUUUUUUUUAACAAUGUUCAAAUCAAUCAGUUGCAUUAUCUCACCAUUUUUAUGAUGUCAUGUUAUUUUAAAUGAUUUUUUUAAUUUUUAUAUAAAGCAUACGACGUGUUAACAUCAUUUGCAUAACUUGACCUUUUUUUUUUCCUACAAAUAGUAAGUCAAAUUUACUCACCCUAUUUGUACCUAAAAUCUACCUAAAACUCAUGCAUCACUGUAAAGCAAAUCCAAAGAUUGCGGUACGUUUUUCUUGGUAAGAAAUCAAUAAUUAGGUCAAGUACCGCUACUAAGCGUGCUCAAUUAAUUCUAAAAUACGGUGAUCAAACUCAUACUUCACGCAAGAGGAUAAGGGCUAAACCUCAAUUAGGCAUUAUUCAUCCAAAAUUCAUUGACUGGGCAUUCUUUGCAAGUGGUAGCAUGGGACAGCUAAGAUAAUUAGCAAAUGAUAUGGACCAUACGCACCCGUAUGUUUGUGACAUGUGAAUCUUGGCAUUAAAGGAAAGGUAAUGUGUUAAAAUUUAAUAGAGCCCAACUCUUCAUUGAAUGAUUAUCAGAUCCAACGAGCAUCCUUUGAUGGGAUUAUUUUAAGUCAAUUAUUGGUGGAUUGGGGCCCACUUGACUCUACCAAAUCGGGCUCCACCAUAUCACCUAUUAACGACCACCUGUCCUUAUCAUAAAUAGCAAAUGUCACUUGUUUUAUUUUGUAUUUUACCAAAAGCAAAGUCACUACGAGCACUAAUGAAAGUGACCCCAAUUUUGGGGGUCAUGAACUUGGGAUUAUUAUGGACACAAGAGACAAGCGCAAUGUUUCUCAUUUCUCACUAGAUAAGAUUUAAGUUAUCAACCCAAUAUUAAUAAAUUCUGCUUGAAAAGUAAAGUUUGAAGCUUCAUUUUGCGAAUAUUCAAUGGUUAACAUUUAAGGGUGCGUUUGGGAUUGAGGUUGGGCAGCUGUAGCUUAAAAGCUACAGUACUAAAGUGUUUGGUAAACACUAGCUACUGUAGCUUUUAAGCUAUGUUGAUAUAAUUUUUCACUUGUAUAAUAUAAAAUUUAUUAUAUCUUUAAUAAUUUUGAUAAAAUUAUUAUUUAAAAUUUAUAUUUACUAUAUAUUAUUAACUUUUAUUUCAUAAUUACAGCUUUUUUUUCACAGCAGCUGUAGCUUAAAAGCUACAGCACCUCAAUCCCAAACACACCCUAAGUAAUUAACCUGAUAUUAAUCCAAUUAAACUUUUUAUGUAAUCCAAGUCAAACAUAUAUUGAUAAACCUAAAUUAAUCUAAUUGGACAUAUUAUUUCAACUUGAAAAGGUGAAUCUAUCAUUUUUCAAUUAAUUUUGAAUCAAGCUAUGUAAAAUAUAAGCUUAUUAAGGACAUAUUUGAAAAAUUCAAAUUGAAUUAUUUGACAAUUACAUUUCAACUAAGUUGUACUGCUAAUUAACUUCCUCAACUUAAAAUGUAUUUUUCUCAAUUAAUUCGUAACAAAGAAUGUUAGAUGUUUUGUUCGAAUAAUAACAUUCAACAUCCUUAUUCUUUAUGAUUAUUGCAUAAAAAAUAUAUUUUAUCCAUUUACGUCACAUAUGUUCCUAAAUUGUAUAAGAAAAUCACUAAAUUUACUCUUGUAAGUUACUAUAUCAAUGAACAUGAAAUUAACUAAUCAUUAAAGUCUCGGAAUGACAUCAUGAGGGGGAUUCAGUUACAUUUAUUGAUAGGAUUAUAUAUAUACCUUCUCAAAUAUUAGUAAGAGCAAUUAAACAGAUGCAGCAAUUAAAAAUAUGGAAUUACUUAUCUCGUCAAUAACUAACGAUAUUUUUUAUCUAUGCUCGAUAGGCGUCUGAGCUAUAUUAUAAAUUGUAAUAUUUGUAGAUUGUAACAAUUAUUAAAAAAAAAAAAAAAAGCUCCCUAAGACUAAAUGACAAAAGGACUGUUUUGAAAUAGAUAGAUAAAAUAUGCCCUUAUUUGAGAAAAGGUAAAACACUAGGGAUCUAAAUGUUAUUAUAAUCCCAUGCACAAAAAUACCAGAAAAAACUAAUAACAACUAACCGAAAAUCCCAGGCGUCAUAUUCCUUUUUACCGCGUUUUAAAAUGCAACAAUGAUAUCACUACUACAAAAAUGACAUUUACUGACACUUUGUUUCUGACACUUAGUAAAAAGUGUCAGAAAUGGUGUACAUUUGGACCAUUUUCCUCCUUUAACAAGUAUGUAUCAUAAAUCAUUGAUACUAAGGUGUCAGUAGCUUAAAACUCAGUGAUUAUUGAUACUAAAGCAUCAGUGAUAAAAAAAUAAUAGUAUUAAUUUUGUUUUAAUUUGAACUCGAACUCAAGAUCUCUAAACUUAAAAUUUGUAAGUUUAGAGUGCAAACCAUUGAUGCAAGUGUUUUUAAAUUUUCAAUUUGAUUAAUUUUUUUAUUUAAUUAAAUUUUAUACAAUUACUUUGUGGACAAUAAUAAUAAUAAUAAUAGUUUUGAGAAUAAUAUUUUUUAUUUUGCCACAUGUCAGCUUGUAAUUCGUUGUUAAUAAUAAUAAUUUUACUUGACCACGUGUCGACUUAUAGUUUGUUGUUUUAUUAAAUUACAAUGCGAACAACUACACUAUAUAAUUUUUCAAAGUAUAAAAUGAAAAUAAGAAACCCUAAAUCUAACCUAAUCAAACACACCACUUCUUAAGUUGCUGCCGCCGCUCCCCUGCUCCUUGACUUUCACUGCUGCCGGCCGCUGCUCCUCGACUUUCACUGCUGUCGGCUGUCGUUCCUUGACGUCACUGCCGCCUUUGCUCUGCUGUUGCCAAGCUUCAGCCACCGACGACUAGCUAGCCACCUUUCAGUACGUCGCUGCUACCACUUUUAUGCCGUCACAUCAACUUCAGCUCAGCCAGCCACCGUUCCUUUACCGCCGAGAUCAAGAACCAUUUCUUUCUCUUCUCUCUUUUGGUACAGGUAUGAAAAUAUUGCAGAGGAGUUAAUCUGUUAAUUACCUUUCUGUACGUCGCUGCUGUCAUUCGUGUACGUCAUUGCUGCUACUCAUCUUGGUCACUGCUGCCGCUCCUCUGCCGCCACGACAAGCUUCAGCCUUUUUGACAAAACAUUUCACUUGGAAUUAUAAGCAAACCCUUUUGAGACCAUAAAAAACUAAGCCAAUUUCUUUGGUUUCAAGGCCUUGUUUUUUCACUUUGAAAUCGGAUCAUACAAUGACAAGCCAAUUGAAAACUUCUGUUCAAGAUUUCAUUGUUAAAUUCAGCUUUAUUUUUAUUAUUUGUGUUCCUUUCAUUUUCUUUCCCUUUUUUUGAUUUUUAAUUCAAUUUGGGAUUUGACAGAUAUAUUUUUUAAUUUUUAUAAAAAUUUAUCUUAUUUGCAGGAUGCUAAGGGACAGGAUGUUGAUCUUAGCAUCUACAAGGGAAAGGUUCUUUUGAUUGUCAAUCUUGCAUCACAAUGGUGUGCCUCAGCUCCUUUCAUUUUUAAUUUUUUUUCCAUAAUGAUUUAUUGAUUAUUGUUGAUGCUUCCAUUUAAUUAAUGCUAAUACGUGUUAUCUAUCUAUCGGGAGUCUAAAUUUUAUAGAAUUAUAUCAUACUCGGAAGUAUGCAUGCUCCCAAUACAAAUAAGUGUUUAUAAGAGAGGAUUUCACCCAAAAUCUUUAAUUCUUGCAAAAUGCUAGUGGCUCCGUUUGCACAAGUUUAGUUUUCAUCCAUGUUCGUUCCUUUACCAUAGCGGUUCCUUUACCACUGAGGUCAGACACCAUUUCUUUCUCUUCUCUGUUUUGGCACAGGUAUGAAAAUACUACAGAGAAGUUUCUCUAUUAAUUACCUUUUAUGAAAAUAAUAUAUAUAUAUUAUUCACAUGUUUAAUUGAGAACAUCUAAUAAUAUAGUAAUAAUAUAGUGGGCAAACUAUAGGAAGGUUGUUAGUAGACAAUUCUAAUUUUAGCUUUACUUUGCAAAUGAAAGAUUAGAAAUAUUCCGUCGAACCCAUUUUACUAUAUUGGAGGUUUGGGCUAAUCUUGUAUAGAUUUUUGCUCAGAAGAAGGAUGGUUCUCCAAGGGCGGUGGGUUGGUUUUUCUAUAGACUAUUCCCCUAUUUUCCCAUUUUGCUUUUCUUUGAGGAAACCUGGUCCAUUUUUUUUGUGUUUUCUUUCUUCAAUCAAAUAUGUAUUUCUCAAUCUCCUCUCAAAAAAUACCUAUCUCAUUUUAUUAUAUGUUUAUGAAUUACUAAUUGUAUUUUGUUAGUAUUCCAUGUUCGAAGAAGAAUAUUAGAUUGAAGAAAGAAGAAUAUUAGAUUGAAGAAAGAAGAAGUUGUUCCUUUGCUAAUCGUUUGAAACCCAGGUUUGCACUGAAUCUGAUUUUUAUCUUUAACUUUUUUACUUGACCCAUACUUGAAUCAAAUUUUUGCUCCACUUUCCUUUCUUUCGUCAAUUUAAUUAUCAAUCCACUUCAAACCUAAAAAGAUUUAGUAAUUGGGAAACCCUUUUUUUUUUAAAGAAUUGCAAAGUACUGUAAUUGGAAACUGGGUUCAUGUCUUAAAAAGUAACCUGAUUUGUAAUGUUUGGCUUAUAGUGGCCUUCUAUUUCUGUUUUUCAUCUCGGCUUGGUUAAUUUCUUUACUAGUCGUUUAAAUUUUGUUAAUUUUUAUUUUUCCUCUUUAAGCUCAUUAAAUAUCUUUUUUUUUUCAAUUUAUGGCUUUCGGUCCAACUGAUCAUCGUUGAAUGUGGGCACUAUAAAUGUUAUAGUGCUUGUUAACUUAAUGUAUUUGAUCAUAUAUUAUAGUAUUGUUUACUUUAAAUUUAGACAAUGAAAUAGAUUACAAAAAAAAUAACUUAUGCUUGUCAAGUUGUAGACACCAUCGUUCAUGUCAUCAUUACUGAAUAUUGAUGUACUUAUUAAGUGUUCUCUUUAAUACUUGAUAGAAUACUUUUGGUGAAGCAAUUUUGGUAUCAUGAUUGCAGGCUGUAAUUAACUUGGGAACGUGUAGAUUCUACAAUUUCUUUUUCUGAUUCCUUAACUUGCUUCUUUUAAUCCUACUCUUCUAUGUUGAAGUAAUUUAUGAAUAUUUUUGCUUCAAAAUAACUAAGAUAUAUUUUUCACAGUAUACUAAUUGAUUUUAUGCAUUUGUAGGUGGGAAAAAAAUGAAGCCGUGGAUGGAUAUUGAGUGACCUUGUGCUUUUUUUUUUUUUUUUUUGGGUUGGAAACUUAAUUGAGUAGUAGUUAGCACUUGUUGUUUAGAGAUUGUUGAAAAUUUAAUUUGAUACUUAUGUUAAGUCUUUUACAUAUAGUGAUGUAGUUGAAUUGUGUGAAUUUAUGUGAUGUAUUUGAGAUGUUUAUUAUAUGAAUUGUGUUGCAAGAUAUUUAAUAAUAAAUAUAUUUCGUGUUUUCUUUUGGUUGUACAACAAACACGAAAAAUAUAAUUAAAAUAAAAAUAUACUAUUAACCAAAAGCAGUAUAACAUUACUAAAUACUGACACUACAUAUUUAAAAUAACAAUAAGAAUUUUUUAUAUUAUCGAGUCAGUUUCUGAUACUAUAGUCACAUAAAUUACUGACAUGUAAAUAGUAUCAUUAAAUACCAACAUCAUCGUGUCAUUAUUUUAGUGAUACUAUAGUGAAACAAAUUACUGACACAAAAAUUACUGACACCAAAAAUUAGUGUCAGUGUGUUCUGGCUUGAGCAACACUGACACAAUUAACAAGUGUCAAUAAAAGUAAUUACUGACGCUAAAUUAGUGUCAGUAAAACUCAUUUUUCUAGUAGUGUAUUCUCACAAAAGUUGGUACAAAGGUUUGUACAACCAGGGCCUCUUUGUAAAUUAUUUCAAAGUUUUGUGUUAUUUUUUAAAUUUAUGAAUUUUGUUAAUUUUGAUUGAUUGGAGCAUUUCUCCUUCCAUCUCUUCUACAUCUAUCUUUAAAUUUCUUUAAAAUUUUGACUAUAUCUUUAUAGAGUUCUAAAUGAUUAUCUUUUUCAUAAAAAUCUAUACUUAAAUUAAUCCCUGAAUUUAUAAUCAUUUGUCUUCUUUGAGUCAUAGACCAAAUUUUUUCUUCUAACAUAUCUAUAUAUACUCCUAAGCUAUCUUUGCAGCUUAGAUACAUUCUAUCAAAGCUUUCGCAUAUAAAUUGUAAUUUGAGAUCUGCAUCUUGAAUCAACAUGUCUAUAUUAUCCAUUGUUUUACGCUCGAUUUUGAGUUCUAUUAUUAGUCUUGCACAUGUCUUGGAUUAUUUCGAGGGUAGUUAAAAUUGAUUCUAUUAAUGCUAUCCUGUUUUCUUCUUCAAAAGAAUCAAAUAUUUCUGAAUCAUUAAUUUCUUUUAUUUCUUCAUACAAGCGUUUGUUUGUCGCUAAUCUUGUUUUAAUCAAGGAAACUGUAUAAGCAGCUUGAUAUUCUUGACAAAAGUCUAAAUGAUCUAUUGCAUCUAGAAAUUUAUUAAUAGAUCUUUCCAUUUUUAAGAAAUUGAGUUACUCUUAUCACUUCCAAUCUUUUAACAUCUCAGAAAACAAACAAGGCCCAACAUGCUUCCGUUUGUAGCUAAAAUAAAAGAAGAGUUCAUAUCACUAACCAGUGUAAUAUCUCUCGGAAUUCUGAGAUAGACUCACUAAUUGCCUCUAACCAUAGAGAGGUCCAUGGUUAGCACCACUAUAGCUCCACAUAUCAUACAAAAUCACUUCAACGACUGUUCCAUAUGGCCCAAAGCAACACACAGCAGACUGGCCUAAUAGGAUAUGUUUAAGUGAUUUUCUUGCAGUUGUCUCUGGAAGAGUGCUUAGUAAUAGAAAAUCUUCUUCGUUUAGUACAAGUAUUGGCAUGUAAGGUUCUUGGUUAAUUUUUAAAAGAUGUAUAAGAUAUCUAGAAGAUGAUAAUUUCACUCAAAAGAGUUUUAUUUAUUCCAUCAUUGAAAUUGUUUACAGAGGAAGGUUACAGAGAAUACAGAGGUAAUUGAAGGUUAGACAUCUGAUAUAUUUCCUUUCUUACAUGCUUUCAUUUAUAUAUCUCUCUAGAGAUAAGAUUAUUUCUUUUACAUAACACAUGUUCGAUCCUUGUGGUGGAAUCUCAAUUUCCUUUUGAUAAGGUGACCCCUUCUUUAUCAUUGAAGCUAGUAGUUGUCUUCUUUUCAUGUUGGCAGACAUGAAAUAUCUGGUUCUGGUGAGCUUUUUCUUUUUUGGAAUCUGUCUUUUUGAAUUAUUGAUACUUUUUGGAUAGCACCUUUUAUCUUUUUCAGUGGUCCUCGUCACGUGCCAAUUAUCAGAUCUUCAUCUAUAGACAUGUCUUCCCCACUAGAAUCUCUUUUUUUGAUCCUUCGUAGUAGUAGCCACAUGAUGAUUGAUGCUUUAGCACCUUAUAUAUCUCGUGGUGUGUUAGCAAGGUGGAUUCCACGAGAUUUUCGAAUAUGCCCUUUUUCUUUUCUAAUAUGUUAUCCUCAUCUUUAUCAAAUUCACAUUUACAAUAUAAUUCUUUGAAGCUACAUGUAUAUUCUUCUAAAUAACAUAUAUUACAUAUUUCAAGCCUUGUUAGCUUCAUUAAAUUUUCUAUCUGUUUUCUUUUUAUUUCUUGUUGAAAAUCAAUUUCCUAAUCUUCUCCCAAGAAUUUUUUUCUUAUUUCAUUUUUGAAUCUAUUUAAAACCUGAUCAACACUUUCGUUUCGAUUAUUAUUUUCUCCAUACAAUAUUCUAUUUUUAUGGUUAUCAUUUAAUCCCAUAAACCAAUGAGAAACAAUUCCUAUAAACGAAAUUUUAAGGAAUUCUAUACUAUUAUCCCUAUCAAUUUUGUGAAAUGCAAAAGCCAUUUUCAUAGAUUUAACCCAAGCGGUAAUCGUUUUAUCUCUAUCUUUGAUACAGUCUAAAUCUAACCAUACACCAUCAUGGUUGAUUGGUCUUUCUCUAUAUUCUCCUGGAGUUUUAUAAUCUUUUUUAGGCUUGUUAAUCCUAAAAUAUUGACCUUGUAAUCUUUCCUGAGUUGGUAUUUCUUCCCUAACAUAGGAAGCUCCAUUACUAGUUUCUCCUUGUUAAAAACCAUUUGGCUUUGAUUCAUUCAUUUUUAGAUGUUCUAUUCUAUUUUCAAUAUCCUGCAAAUUAAUGACUAUAUCACCUUCUUCUUCGGAUUCAGAUUCUUUAUUAGAUAUCUCUUGAUUAGGUAAUUCUAUGUUUUCACUUAGCAUUCUUAGACUUAUUAAUUUUUUGUCUUUGUUUAUUUUGUUAAAUAUCGGUUUAGAUAUUGUUAUCAUUUCUUUAUCUUUAAGUUCAUUAUAGUAAAUUAUGGUAUCUUGUAAAAUUUUGUUUUGUUUAUUGAUCUUCUGUACUUCAAUCCUUUUGUAAUUUUCCAUUUAUGCUUAUAGCGAAUUUAUUACCAAGUUGUUCAACAAUUUUUUCAAAUUUUUGUAGUUGGAUUUCAAUCUUGUUUGAAUUUAUUUUCAAUUGAACUUUUGUUCAUAAUAUUAAAGAUUUCUUGUUUUAAUCUAUCUUGAUCUUCAAUAUUAAAGUCUUUUAUUAAUAGCUUAACAAAAUCAAAUUCUUCACUCAUUCGCUCUCCUAUCAUUUUGACUUGUCUUAUAUUUUCAGCAUCAAAGCUUUUAAUCUCAAGUAUCUCAUUUAUACUUUCUAUAUCAUCUAUGGUUAAAUUAGGGUUUCCUAAUUUAUUUAAUAAAUAUAAUGAAAUCCAAUUUAAUUGAUUAUUUCCCCACAUAUCGGAAUCAUUUACUAAAUCAAAUGGUUGAAAUCUUCCAUAAGUAAAUCCUCUAUGCCUAUAGCUAGAAGGUGGUAAUAUGUUGGUUUCAAUAUUUUGAGAAAUUAACAAUGGUUUUGGUAAUUUAUUCAUAGUACCAUCUGCAUAAUAUCUCAUUAUAUUCUAAUAAGUAUUUAUGACAUAUAAUAUUUCUUAUAUCCUUAGGGAUAUUGUUUUAUGUUAAUCCUUUAUGUAUAUAGCAAAGUUUAUACAUAAUUAAAUCUUUAUAUCCUAUUAGCAUGUUGCUAGAAGGAUAAUAUUUACUUCUGAUUCUUUUAUUUUUCCAAUUGUAUUCACCUCGUUGUUUAACAUUUAAAAAUCCGUUGUAAUCUAUUAUAAGAUCAUCUACAUAAUCUUCAAUAGAGUUAAUAUUCCAUUGUUUCCAUGAAAAAUUAUUUCUAUAUACUUCUCUCCUGAUCCUAAAGAGAAGAAUAGGAUCAAUAUUUAAAUUUCUAAUUUUUAUUAUGAUGAGUUCUCCAAUUUUAAAUUCAUGAACUCUAACUAAAUAAAACUGUAUUAAUUGUUUAUCAUCCAAUAUAUUAACUUCUGAAUAAUAAUAUUGUUUAUGUUUUGUUAUAUUAUCUUUAAUUGUAUUUCUAUCUAUCAUUAAAUUAUAUCUUCCAUUAUUAAUGGAAUAAAUAACUGUUUCGUCUAUUUUUAUAUUUUAAACCAAAAACUUGGCUCUAAUACCGUUUUGCAGAAAUCAACUAAACCCAAAAUCCAAAUGAAUUCAAAUAGGGAUGUAUAUGAUUAAUUGUUAAGAUUUUAUCUAAAUUUUGUAAUUAUAAUUUUUCAAAACUCACAGUUUUGUGCAAUCAUUUGUGUAAUCCGUUGUGAGAAUGUCUUUUUCCUUGCAUCUAAGGCAACAAAGUGGAAAACGCGUACCAACGACUCACAUAACAAUAUAACAUCUGUCCCGGAUGGAGCCGGUUGUUCAUGUCAGCAACCUACUUUGAAACGACACGUGGACCGCAAUUUGUUCUUGUUCUCAACGUUGCUAUGAAAGAAAGCAUUUUUUUCCCCUUUUCUUCUUCAUUUUUUAAAGAAAUAUUUUACUAUAUAUUUAAAAAAAAAAAUCGUUGCAAUCUGAAGAUAUUAAAUUGUGGAUCUUGUAUUGUGUGAUAAGUCCGGCAUGCAAUUUUGGGCCAGCAUACCGCGCGCAUGGGAGCAUUCACAAAGAAUCUCUCGUCACUAUCGAAAACUUUUAAUAGUCAAUACAAAUGCUUCCGUUUCAUCCCAUAAACAGAUAAAAUUCACAUCUGUACACAUCUACUUUUCUUUGCUAGAUAGAGUUCCUCUGCAUUUCCCAAUUGCCUAAAGAGAAGGGGAAAAGAAAAAGAGGGCCAAAAAAUGCCUGAAAUGGUAAGGAACAAGCAAGUGAUAUUGAAGGACUAUGUGUCUGGUUUCCCAAAAGAAACAGACAUGUACAUGACCGAAAGUUCCAUAGAAUUGAAGGUGCCAAAAGGUUCAAAUGGGGUUCUUUUAAAGAACUUGUUUGGGAGAAAUACGUCGACGAGACCAGGCAUGGUGAGCAUAUAUCUGAUGGCAGAGUUCUGCGAACCGGUGUGUUCCGUAAAAGCCUGGUGCACGGGGGAACAGGAGCAGAAGUAUCCUGCUCGUCCACGAGCACGUCAUCCGCGAGGCCAAUUUCCUGUAAGAGGCAUAAGGUCAUUCCGGCUAGAGGUCGAGAGGCGAGGAGACCCGGUCGACGGCAGUUGGCAAGACAUGCUCCCCAGCCCGAGAAUCUAGGCACGACAGCCACGCUUUCCCCAGAACCGUGGCGUAACACGCAAGAUCUCACAGAACCACGACAGCCACGCUUUCCCCAGAACCGUGGCGUAACACGCAAGAUCUCACAGAACCACGACAGCCACGCUUUCCCCAGAACCGUGGCGUAACACGCAAGAUCUCACAGAACCACGACAGCCACGCUUUCCCCAGAACCGUGGCGUAACACGCAAGAUCUCACAGAACCACGACAACCACGCUUUCCCCAGAACCGUGGCGUAACACGCAAGAUCUCACAGAACCACGACAGCCACGCUUUCCCCAGAACCGUGGCGUAACACGCAAGAUCCCACGUUUGCCCAUAACGCAGCAGUCAGAGUCCCAUACCGUCUCGGAAAAAGCGGAAAACUGGGAUUCAGGGGAAGCCUAUAAAAAGGUAGCCAACGAAGGUAAAAGGGUUGGCAUUUUUGAGAUUAUAAAAGAAAUGAAAAAAGAAGAGAAAACGACGAGAAAGCCAUAAGAUCUGUGGCAAGUGUCCCCCGAACCUUCAUAUCUGACUUGAGCGUCGGAGGGUUUGCGCCGGGAAAACAACCGGCGUACUCUGACUUGUCUGUGUGCGCAGGAACCUCUGGAGAAGAAGCCUCACGUGGAGACCUCCUGGUCGUGAAGAAGUUGAUCGGACAGAGAUCCUGGUCGUAGAACGAGGAGAACCAGAAUCCCGCAUCAACAUUUUGGCGCCGUCUGUGGGGAGUGGAGCAAAAAGCUUCUGUUGAUAGCAAGAAGAGGGGUGAAGCAAGUGAAAAGCAAUGGAGACAGGAGGAAGUAGUGCACAAGGGGGUGAUAGGAUUAACGAUUCCGUGACGCUGAGGGAGAUAGUCAGUGAAGCACGGGAAAAAGUCAUGUUCGACCGGAUGGAACGGAUAGAAAAGCAGAUGGAGACCUUGACAACCAUCCUGCAUGAGCUGCGGAGCGAGCGAAGUAUAAUCCAAGAGGGAAGGGUGAGAGGCGGUGGAGUGGCACCAGGUCCCGAUAGUGCGGGGAGAAGUCAAACCACCGGGAGAUUUGGUGGUGAGAGAGGUAACGUACCUCUGCGGGGAGAAUUUCAUAGAGAAAGAGAGCAGUCCCCGGCAAGACAGACUGGCGACGAGGACGACGGGGUGGUGAAUGCAGAGGAAACAGAGUUGAGGCAACACUUGCAUGAUGUAGAGCAAGAGCGGGAUUAAGUCGCAGCACGUGACCCUGGUCGUGCAGUGCAGCUGGAGGAGGAAGUGCGCAGACUAGCGCAGAUAAUCGACGACAUGCAAGGAAGGAACAGAGCCCCUGGUUGGAGGAUAAUGCUGGAUGGAGAAUCACCGCUCGCAGCAGAGAUCAUGAGGGCAGUUAUUCCGAGAGAUUUCCGCCUCCCAGACCUCAGAUACUCGGGAAGAACUGAUCCGUUGGUGCACAUAGAGCGCUUCAACGACAUAACUAGGGUACAAGGAUUAUCUCAAUCCCAAAGGUGCAGAGUGUUCCCACUAUCCCUUGAGGGACGUGCACGAGAAUGGUACAGGAAACUUCCUCGGGGCAGCAUUAAAACCUUCGAGCAGAUGUGCUAGGAAUUCGCGGAGCAGUUUAGUGGGGCAAUGGCGCCGGAAGAUGACAUGAUGGAGCUGAAAAGCAUGAAACAGGGGGAGCAAGAAACCCUUCGGGAAUUCAUCAAGAGGUUUCAUCGGGCUGUCCUCGACUUGGGAGCCUUCAACCACCCUCAGGCGUUAAGGGGAUUGAAAGAAGGGGUGAAGAUAGGAAGGCUGUGGUACAAUUUGAGAAGCCCAGCUAUUCAAACGUAUGCAGCCGCAUACGAACAGGCUAAGAGAGACAUCGAGAUUGAAGAGGAGAAGGCUGCACGGAUUAAGACAGACCAGUUAGAAGGGCUGGGGAGGAAAGAGAAGAAAGCAUUACCGGGGAAUGGGCCGAUCAGGAGGAGGGACCACCAGGCCUCCGGUAGUGGAGCAGGAGGUCGGGUAGCCGCUUACCAGCCUCAUCAAAGGCCACCACAGUAUCAGCGCAGCAGGGCGCAACCUCCUCGUUCCCCAGCUAGGGAGCCUUGGAAAAGGCAUGAGUCGGCAUCUGGUGGUCUCCAACAACACCCCCACGGUAUCAGAGCGAGCAGACCAGAAGUACUUCCACCGCCCCCAACUCAGAGCGGGGCAAACAGGGAAAGAGCAGUGCACCUGAUCGACCAGAACCCGGACUAUGGGCGGUACACUUCCUUGAAGAUGUCCCUGGAUGAGGUGUACGAGGCCAUAAAGGAUCGAGGGCUGCUACACCUCCCUACACCAAUAACAAAGCUACCUAACAGGAGGGAUAGAGGACGUUAUUGUAAGUUCCAUGGCACCCAUGGCCAUACCACAGCAGAGUGUAGAGAUCUCAAGACCCAGGUCGAAGAUUUGGUGAGAAAUCGGUACCUGGACGAGUUUAUGGAUGGGACUUUCCCGAUGGGGGCCACAACAGGUGAAGGGGAGCAGAGUGGCGGAAACGUGAGGCGCGAGCAGCCCGCAGUAAGGGUGAUAGCUGGGGGCCCGACAUUGGCCGGAGAUUCCAACAGAUCGAGAAAAAAUUAUGCUAGGUACGCCAUGACCAGUAAAGAGGUACUCCUCAACACCCCAGCAGCCAAACGAGCAAGGGUCAGGCAAGUGCCAAUCAUGUGGACGGAUGAGGAUGAGGAAGGGAUUCUAUACCCCCAUGAGGAUGCUUUAGUCAUCAAGGCUACUGUCGCUAGCAAGAAGUUUGACCGGAUACUGAUUGAUACAGGGAGCUCAGUUGAUGUGUUAUUUAAGUCAACCCUGGAAGAGAUGGGAAUAGCCGACCGGAAGUUGGAAUAUACCAAUACCUCCUUGAAGGGGUUCGGAGGAGGGAAGCUGGUCCCUCUGGGCGUGGUCGAGCUGCCUAUCACAAUUGGGAGCUCCCCGACAGAAAGAACAAUGAUACUGGACUUUGUCGUAGUGGAUGAGGAAGGUCCUUACCAGAUGAUCCUAGGUCGGCCAUUUUUAAGGAUGAGCAAAGCGGUGUUGUCCAAUCAUUAUCUGGCUCUGAAGUACCGGGUGAACGGGGUAGUAGGAGUGGUACGAGGAGACCAGAGGAUCGCAAGAAGCUGCUACUCCUCGGCAGCAAGGGAAGCAAUGCAGAUAACAUCCCUCGAUACCCGAGUGGAAAACAAGAAGGGCAGACAAGAACCUGUAGAGGAUCUGGAAACAGUAAGCCUGGGACCAGAGAACCCGGGAAAGAUGAUCAGAAUCGGGUCGAGACUUAAGGGAGAGCAAAAGCAGGAGUUGGUGAAAUGCUUACAGGCUCAUGCUGAUGUGUUUGCUUGGACACAUGAAGACAUGCCAGGGAUUGACCCUGAGGUAGCAUGUCAUAAGCUGGCAAUAAAGAAAGGUGCUCGGGCAGUAAGGCAGAAGAGGAGGUGUUUCAACCAGGAGAGGUAUGAGGCUAUAAAUGGCGAGGUGGAGAAGCUCUUGAGAGCAGGGUUCAUUCGGGAAGUCAGUUACCCUGAGUGGAUAUCGAAUGUGGUGUUGGUAAAGAAGGCAAACGGCAAGUGGAGGAUGUGUGUGGAUUUCACAGACCUCAAUAAGGCGUGCCCAAAAGACAGCUUCCCUUUACCAAAGAUCGAUCAGCUAGUAGAUUCAACGGCUGGACAUGGUCUGCUUAGCUUCAUGGACGCGUUCUCGGGAUACAACCAGAUCCCCAUGUACGAGCAGGAUGAGGAGAGCACGGCUUUCAUCACUAACCAAGGUUUGUUCUGUUACAGGGUAAUGCCAUUCGGUCUCAAAAAUGCCGGGGCCACCUAUCAAAGGCUGGUGAACAAAGUCUUUAAGCCGUUGAUUGGGAAAACCAUGGAGGUGUACGUGGAUGACAUGAUCACCAAGUCCAAAAUCCCGGAGGAACAUGUCAGACACCUCGAGGAGACAUUCGAGCUUUUGAGGAAGUAUAAGAUGAAGCUCAACCCGGAGAAGUGUGCUUUUGGGGUCGAGUCGGGGAAAUUCCUUGGAUUCAUGGUGAGCCAUAGGGGGAUUGAAGCAAAUCCCGAGAAAAUCCAGGCGAUUGUGCAAAUGACGUCUCCCCGUAACCUGAAGGAGAUGCAGAGCCUCACGGGGAGGUUGGCGGCGUUGAGCAGAUUCAUAGCCAAGGCUACAGAUAAGUGUCAGCCGUUCUUUCAAGUGAUGAGGAGGGGAAAGAAAACAGAAUGGACCUCAGAAUGCGAGGAAGCCUUCCGGAACUUGAAGCAAUACUUGCAGCAAGCUCCGCUGCUGUCCACACCGAGGGAUGGGGACAAGUUAUAUCUGUAUUUAGCGGUAUCGGCUCGGGCCGUCAGUUCUGUUCUGGUGAGAGAGGAAGAAGGAGUUCAGUAUCCGAUAUAUUACACCAGCAAGGCCCUGCUCGACGCUGAGACCAGAUACCCACCGUUGGAGAAAUGGGCACUUGCCCUUGUGGUUGCUGCUCGGAAGUUGAGGCCAUAUUUUCAAGCAUUCCCGGUCUUGGUAAUAACAAACCAGCCAUUGCGUCAAACUCUGCACAAGCCAGAUGCCUCUGGUCGGCUCGUCAAGUGGGCUGUAGAGCUGAGCGAGUUCGACAUAGACUAUAAGCCCCGCGCAGCGAUAAAAGCCCAGGCAAUGGCCGAUUUCGUAGCUGAAUUCACAGAGCCCGAAGUAUGCUUAGAUCAACAAGAGGCAGAUAUAGGCAAUGACGAAACUCAAGUAUGGCAGAUGUCUGUGGAUGGGUCAUCAGGGGAGCGGGGUUCAGGAGUAGGGAUUGUCUUGGAAGGCCCAGAGGGGGAGGAGAUCUCUUAUGCUGUAAAAUUGGAAUUUGCAGCCACGAAUAACCAGGCAGAGUAUGAAGCCUUGAUAGCAGGUCUGGAAUUGGCUAAGGCCGUGAAAGCAAACAAAGUUAAGAUCAGAACUGAUUCCCAGCUGGUAGCGAAUCAUGUCAGUGAAAGAUUCCAACCAAGAGAGGAGAAGAUGGGGCAGUACCUGAAGAUAGUCAAGCAGAUGAUGGGGAAGUUCGAAGCAGUGGAGGUGAUACAGAUCCCCAGGGAGCAGAAUAGUCGAGCAGACAUUUUGGCUAGGAUGGCAGCAGUAGCCGACCCAAAAAUGCCAAAGUCGGUCCCUCUGGAGGUGAAGUCCGGCCCAAGUAUCGAUCAGAAUUUGGGGGUGAUGCGGAUAGAACAAAAAUGCUCGUGGAGGGACCCGAUAGUUUCAUACCUUAGAGACGGGGUAUUACCACCAGAUAAGAUGCGAGCUCGCAAGCUUAGAGCCCAGGCCUCGAGAUACACGAUGAUUGAUGGGGUACUGUAUCGGCGAGGAUAUACACUACCGUUCCUUCGGUGUUUGGAUGAGGACGACGCGGAUUACGUACUAAGAGAAGUACACGAAGGAAUUUGCGGAAAUCAUUCUGGCGGGAGGUCCCUGGCCCAUAAGGUUCUAAGGCAGGGAUAUUUCUGGCCGACAAUGCACCAGGAUGCGCAAGAGAAGACCAGGAGUUGUGUAAGUUGCCAGAGUUUUGCAAAUUUCUCUAACCAACCACCAGAGAAGCUUACCUCCAUGACCUCCCCCUGGCCAUUUGCUCAAUGGGGAAUUGAUCUGAUCGGCCCAUUGCCAAAGGCACGGGGAGCAGCAACACAUGCAAUAGUUGCUAUAGAUUACUUCACGAAGUGGAUAGAGGUAGAAGCCCUUAGCAGGAUCACAGAGAAGAAAACAACAGACUUCGUGUGGAGAAACCUGGUCUGUCGAUACGGGAUCCCUUAUGCCUUGGUAACGGAUAAUGGCAGGCAGUUCGAUAACCACAGCUUCAGGGAUUUCUGCCAGAACCUCGGGAUAGAGCUGAAGUAUUGCUCGCCUGCUCACCCUCAAUUGAAUGGACAAGUAGAAGCAGCCAACAAGACCAUCAAGAGGCUUUUAAAAACCAGGCUUGGAGCAAAAAAGGGUGCGUGGGUUGACGAGCUGUCAGGUGUGCUAUGGGCAUACAGAACAACCCACAAAACCGCAACUGGGGAGACACCGUUCGCUUUGGCUUUCGGACAUGAAGCGGUCGUGCCGGCUGAGAUAGGAACGACCACACACCGGACAAAUCAUUUCAAUGAGCAGGAGAACGACGAGCAGAUAUGUUUGAAUCUUGAUCUGCUAACGGAAAGGUGGGAGCAAGCAGCCGAGCGAUCAGUCAUUUACCAACAGAGGGUUGCUCGGUAUUAUAACCAGAAGGUGAACAUACGGCAAUUCAGGGUCGGAGACUGGGUACUGAGAAGAGUGAAUCAGAGCACCAAAGAUUCGACUCAAGGAGUGCUGGGACCGAAUUGGGAAGGGCCAUAUAGAGUCAAGCAGAUAGCGGGACCCGGAGCUUACAGGCUGGUUCGCACGGACGGCCACGAGGUGAAACGCCCAUGGAACGCAGCACACCUCCGAAAAUACUUCCAGUAAGACUUGUUCACAUGUGAAAACUAUUUUUGCUCAUGUUCAUUACCGUUUAUCUUUCACGCUUAUUGUCCAAACAAUUUCAUGUAAGUCGAAUCCUGCCAUUAAUGGAACGUCGAGGAAUUUCUUUCGCUUGAAACCGAGAAAAUUUUCCAAGGCAUGCAAAGGCUCACCAAGUCUCAAAGCCUGUCUUAUGGCGAGACAGAAGCCAAGCAUGCCAGGAUCUGCUCGGCCACGAGAAGGCAAGCAGAAUCCCAAUCCUCGAAGAAUCCAAGGCAUGCAAAGGCUCACCAAGUCUCAAAGCCUGUCUUAUGGCGAGACAGAAGCCAAGCAUGCCAGGAUCUGCUCGGCCACGAGAAGGCAAGCAGAAUCCCAAUCCUCGAAGAAUCCAAGGCAUGCAAAGGCUCACCAAGUCUCAAAGCCUGUUUUAUGGCGAGACAGAAGCCAAGCAUGCCAGGAUCUGCUCGGCCACUAGAAGGCGAGCAGACUCCAAAGCAUUCGAAGAAAUGCCCAAGGCAUGCAAAGGCUCGACAAAGUCUCAAAGCCUGUUUUAUGGCGAGACAGAAGCCAAGCAUGCCAGGAUCUGCUCGGCCACUAGAAGGCGAGCAGACUCCAAAGCAUUCGAAGAAAUGCCCAAGGCAUGCAAAGGCUCGACAAAGUCUCAAAGCCUGUUUUAUGGCGAGACAGAAGCCAAGCAUGCCAGGAUCUGCUCGACUACUAGAAGGCGAGCAGACUCCAAAGCAUUCGAAGAAAUGCCCAAGGCAUGCAAAGGCUCGACAAAGUCUCAAAGCCUGUUUUAUGGCGAGACAGAAGCCAAGCAUGCCAGGAUCUGCUCGGCCACUAGAAGGCGAGCAGACUCCAAAGCAUUCGAAGAAAUGCCCAAGGCAUGCAAAGGCUCGACAAAGUCUCAAAGCCUGUUUUAUGGCGAGACAGAAGCCAAGCAUGCCAGGAUCUGCUCGGCCACUAGAAGGCGAGCAGACUCCAAAGCAUUCGAAGAAAUGCCCAAGGCAUGCAAAGGCUCGACAAAGUCUCAAAGCCUGUUUUAUGGCGAGACAGAAGCCAAGCAUGCCAGGAUCUGCUCGACUACUAGAAGACGAGCAGACUCCAAAGCAUUCGAAGAAAUGCCCAAGGCAUGCAAAGGCUCGACAAAGUCUCAAAGCCUGUUUUAUGGCGAGACAGAAGCCAAGCAUGCCAGGAUCUGCUCGACUACUAGAAGGCGAGCAGACUCCAAAGCAUUCGAAGAAAUGCCCAAGGCAUGCAAAGGCUCGACAAAGUCUCAAAGCCUGUUUUAUGGCGAGACAGAAGCCAAGCAUGCCAGGAUCUGCUCGACUACUAGAAGGCGAGCAGACUCCAAAGCAUUCGAAGUAAUGCCCAAGGCAUGCAAAGGCUCGACAAAGUCUCAAAGCCUGUUUUAUGGCGAGACAGAAGCCAAGCAUGCCAGGAUCUGCUCGACUACUAGAAGGCGAGCAGACUCCAAAGCAUUCGAAGUAAUGCCCAAGGCAUGCAAAGGCUCGACAAAGUCUCAAAGCCUGUUUUAUGGCGAGACAGAAGCCAAGCAUGCCAGGAUCUGCUCGACUACUAGAAGGCGAGCAGACUCCAAAGCAUUCGAAGUAAUGCCCAAGGCAUGCAAAGACUCACCAAGUCUCAAAGCCUGUUUUAUGGCGAGGCAGAAGCCAAACGUGCCAGGAUCUGCUCGACCACUAGAAGGCGAGCAGUCUCCAAAGCAUUCGAAGAAUCUCCAAAGGCAUGUGGCAAAACCAUGAGCCAAGCCGGAACCUGCUCGUCUAGACAGAGACAAGCAGAUUCUCAACCGAAAAUUAAUUCAUAAUUACAUCACAAGAAAGUAAUCAAAAACCAUUUUUAUUAAUUUGUUAAUAAUUAACAGAGGGGAUAAUCUUCAUGAACAUUGUUCAUUACAAUACAAGAAAUAUAUCAGGAAGAUGGUGGACCAGUAAGCCCGGCAGCAUCGGUUGGCUGGACCUCCUCAGGUGCAGGAGGGGUAUCACCAGUUGCGUCCGGGGGGUGCUCGCCUCGCCAACAUCAGCAGGGACUGCACGAGCAGGAGAGUCUUCCUCCUCAAUCACGAUCGGCUCUACCCCAUCGGCAUCUUCCUUGGCCGCCUCCUCAUCCAUAUGUUGAGCAACACCAGCUGCAAGGUCAUCCAUCUUCAGAUCAGGGUGUUGCUUCCCGAGGACGGCCAUGAUGCAACGAUAGGAAUGCCGAAGUCCCUGGUCGUACUGGUUGUCAGCCUCCCUCUCCAAGUUCUCGACCUGAGCUCGGUGGGAGUCGCGGAGAGAUUCGAGCUGAGCCUCAUACAUAGCCUUCUGCCUUUGCAGAUCCUCCUUGACCGUGGUAAGCUCCUCCUCGAGGGAAAUGGCUUUUGCUUGAGCAAGUGAUUCUUGCUCUAUUAACUUCAGAUUCUCGAGAUUCAGCUCCCCUGCUUUCUUCUCGGCAACGUCAGCUCUGGUCGUCGCCGAUUGAAUAUCCUCCUUCAUCUUCCGGUCGUAGCGGCCAACCUUAGCCUUGUAAUAGGUGGUCAUGCAGCUGAGGUGGAAAGCGCUAUGCUGCAUGGCCCCCACCAGCUCACCCAAGGUGCGGCCGUCAAAGUCCUCCAAGUCCUUCUUGCUCAUGAGUUUAGUUAACUCAUUGAGGUAGGGGACCAGGUGUUCUGCUCGGCUGUCAGGUAAGCGAGAUCGAGGCCCGACAGGAGGAAAAGAGGAAGCAGGAUCUGUAGCUGCUCCACUAGCUUCCCCGACUUUUACAGGAGCAGGAGGUAAAAUCUUCAAGGGUGGGACCUGCUGCAUGAUGUUGGCCCGCUUUGCAGCAGGGGCAUUCUUAUUCUGGUCCCUCUUCGUGGUGGGAGGUCGGGAACGUUUUCGGGUCAGAGCCCCAAUCACAGCGUCCUCCAUCCUAUGGCCAGGAAGUAUCAAGCGAGACUCGAGCAAGUUGUAUGUAGUUAGCAGUUCUCGGCUCGAGCAGGAAUUGGCUAGUACAGCCUCGACCCGUUUGAGCUGGUCAGGUUCAAGCGGGAAGUGGACACCCCAAGAAACUACAACACAAACAGACACUUGGUUAGAGACAAGCCAAUAAAGCAAGAACAAUUAUGGAUGCAAGACAUCUAGAGCGAGCAGGCAACCUGGGACCGUGAAACGGGGUGGGACGCGACAAUCCUUCCCGCCUAUUUGUGCAACUUGACCCCAAGGACCCCCAGCAAAAAAGAAUUUCCUCUUCCAAGCCCCACCACCACCGGUUGGAAGAUCGGUUAUGGAUUUCCGGCUCUUGGUGCUAGAUUGGAAGUAGUACCAGCCGGCAUCUUUGGGGCUGCUCUUUAGCUGGUACAAGUGCUUCACCUCGUCAACCGUGGGCUCGCUUUGGCAACAUCUGUCCCACAAUAUGAACAGACCAGAGAGCACUCUCCACCCAUUGGGAUUCAGCUGACCAGGAGCUAGAUUUAGCCCGUUAAGUAUCCGGGCAAAGUAGGGUUGCAAGGGACACCUCAGCCCGUACUUAAAGCUCUCUAGAAACAGGGUAACGUAUCCCCUAGGAGGCCGGCUGGGAGCAUCCUUCUUUCCUGGGACCUUGAGAGGUAUCUCACCAGGAAUGCUAUACCUAAGCUGGAGGUCAUUGAGCUCGUCAAACAAGGUCGUGCACGUCAUGUAAUCAAUGGCAUAAUCGCGCGACAAGGCUCUGCCUCCUACUGUACCCCGUUCCUCUAGUCGUGAUGUUCCAGAUGGAGACACCUCACCAGAGUCACCUUCCCCAUUCUCACUUAAGGUGUCCUCAGAGCCAGAAGGUCCCCCCUCACCAUUGCUUCCGCUCGUGGAGGUUGUUUGGGGGGACAUCCUCCUAGCACUAGUCCCGACACUAAACCUAAUGGGUUCUAAGGGGAUCCCGGGGUCAAAAGCCGGAUCAGUGAGCAGACUAGGCAGGAAACUUAGUUCGUCGUCAUCAAUCUCAACGACUUUCUCCUUACCUUUCGACAUUCCCUAAGCCCUAACCACAACACCACCAACUACUACCUAAACAGAAGAGAAGAGAAAUUAUCUACAACUAUCCGAGACCAAGGAGAUAGAAGAAAUACCUGAAGUAAUGGUUCAGUCGGUGAAAGUCAGAGAUGGAGGCCUUUUAUGCCGGAACUUCUUUGCCGGAGAAACAGAGACGGAGACGGAGUGAAUGAUGAAUAUGCCGUUCGAGAGGAUUUGGUUUUCCUAAUGAAGACGGACUCUUGGGUUGCCAGCAUUUAACGGCGCCGAAUCCCGAGGGUCUCAUAACCGUCGGUUUGAAAUUCAAAUGAAGGGGGGGAUUUCUGCCACGUCACCUCGUCCGCAAUUAAAUGCGACAUGACUCUUGGCAGCCUUUUCCAAUCCCACGCGGGCGAGUACUAACGAGUUUCUACUGCUGGUCCACUACAUUACCCAACACCAGAAACUGGGGGACCGGUGUUUGGGAGAAAUACGUCGAUGAGACCAGGCAUGGUGAGCAGAUAUCUGAUGGCAGAGUUCUGCGAACCGGUGUGUUCCGUAAAAGCCUGGUGCACGGGGGAACAUGAGCAGAAGUAUCCUGCUCGUCCACGAGCACGUCAUCCGCGAGGCAAAUUUCCUGUAAGAGGCAUAAGGUCAUUCCGGCUAGAGGUCGAGAGGCGAGGAGACCCGGUCGACGGCAGUUGGCAAGACAUGCUCCCCAGCCCGAGAAUCUAGGCACGACAGCCACGCUUUCCCCAGAACUGUGGCGUAACACGCAAGAUCUCACAGAACCACGACAGCCACGCUUUCCCCAGAACCGUGGCGUAACACGCAAGAUCUCACAGAACCACGACAGCCACGCUUUCCCCAGAACCGUGGCAUAACACGCAAGAUCUCACAGAACCACGACAGCCACGCUUUCCCCAGAACCGUGGCGUAACACGCAAGAUCUCACAGAACCACGACAGCCACGCUUUCCCCAGAACCGUGGCGUAACACGCAAGAUCCCACGUUUGCCCAUAACGCAGCAGUCAGAGUCCCAUACCGUCUCAGAAAAAGCGGAAAACUGGGAUUCAGGGGAAGCCUAUAAAAAGGUAGCCAACGAAGGUAAAAGGGUUGGCAUUUUUGAGAUUAUAAAAGAAAUGAAAAAAGAAGAGAAAACGACGAAAAAGCCAUAAGAUCUGUGGCAAGUGUCCCCCGAACCUUCAUAUCUGACUUGAGCGUCGGAGGGUUUGCGCCGGGAAAACAACCGGCGUACUCUGACUUGUCUGUGUGCGCAGGAACCUCUGGAGAAGAAGCCUCACGUGGAGACCUCCUGGUCGUGAAGAAGUUGAUCGGGCAGAGAUCCUGGUCGUAGAACGAGGAGAACCGGAAUCCCGCAUCAACAGAACUUGUACUUGUCCUGUGAUCCGUACAUGCGACCACGAAUGACCUACAUCGAAGGAUCUUACGUUGAAUCCUUUAAACCUGGCUUGGUUAGUGCACUCGCUCAUGGCCACGCUUUUCAUUUCCAUGGCUUCUUGCUCUUUUGUUAUAGAAAAUUUAUUUUUGGUUGCAGUUUGAUUCGACUGCUAAAAUCUCGUGCGAUAAUUGUAUAAGAUAUCUAGAGUUUGAACUUCUUUCACAUUAGGGUUCAAGGAAGUUAACUUAAAUGAUUUUCAAAAUUUUAAAUGUGUACCAAAGAAUUUAAUUUCAUAGCUUAAACUUAUAUUUUGAUCAUACUCUAACUUUGGACAGGAAAAAUUAUAUUUUUCCUUUAGUUCUUUGCCUUGGUGUAUGUUGUGUGAAGUACUUGUGCUUGAAAAUGAAUUGCUGACACAGAAAUUUCUAUGAAUGCAUGCAGCCCAUAAGUGGAUAUGGGGUGGGUAAAGUUUUGGAUUCAGAGAAUCCAGAGUUCAACAAAGGUGACUUGGUUUGGGGAAUGACUGGAUGGGAAGAGUAUAGUCUCAUUACGGCUCCACACUUGUUUAAAAUUCAACACACAGAUGUGCCUCUUUCUUACUAUACUGGAAUCCUCGGUAAACUUUUUGUUUGCACAAUUUAUGUGAGCAAAUUGUGUCUUCUUUUUCAUAUGUAAAUGUUUUUGAUAUCUUGAUGUGAAGGUAGAAAAUUGCAUGUUUUGAGUUUUUGCAUAUUUGAUGGAAACACAGAACUGUACCUGAAUCUUUCAGAACCCCCUUCUCUUUGAAGUUUGAACACUUUUCUUGAAUGUAUCAACUUUAUUUAUGGGAUAUGUUGCCAAAUUGGAAAAUCUAUUCGUUAUAAAACUUUCCUUUGACAGUUUAAUCUAAGCAGAUGUUAAUUCUGCAAAUAGAGUGUGCCUUAGAUUAGUUUCAUAGAUUUGUCUCCUUCUGUACAGUAAAAACUUUGAGCAUUUUCGCCAUAUUCUGAUCAAUACACUCCAACUAGUUAGUUCUUGAGGCGUUUUAUGGUUUCGUGGAGUGAGGCAAGAUGUAUACGUUUGCAAAUUGGCAAUGUCUUUCUCUUGAUGGGUUGAGAGUUGUGAGUGUCAACAGGAAACAAGACCUCUGUUUUAUGAACUCCAAAAAGUUAUUCUGUUAAAAAGAUCGAGACAGAGGCCAUACUAUAUUUAUUAUUGCUAUAAAAGUGUGAAAAAAUAUUCUUUAUUUAAUAUUCUAAACGAUUGAGCCAUUUAGUUAUGAUACUCUGCUGUAUUGGGGCUAAUAAUCUAAGUCGGUUCAAAGUGGUAAAUUUAUAAAUUGAUAGGUAUGCCUGGUAUGACCGCUUACGUUGGAUUUUAUGAGGUCUGCUCUCUUAAGCAAGGAGAGUGUGUCUUCAUAUCCGCAGCAUCUGGUGCAGUUGGACAGCUUGUGGGGCAGUUUGCAAAGUUAUUGGGUUGCUAUGUCGUCGGAAGUGCUGGAAGCAAAGACAAGGUAUGUAAAAUUAGAAUUUGAUCAACAGAUUUGGAGUGUUUGUUUACAGAGAAAAUCUAAGAGAAAAUGUAAGAAACUUUAGCUGAGAAUAUUCAUUUUGUUCAACUUAAUAACAGAAUGAGAUUACAAAGCUUAUAUACUGCUAUCAAGAAUCAUCUUAACACAUACAUCAUUUUCACGUGUAUUUAUCUUUGAAAGAAGCUAAAUAACCAGCUUAACAAACUCACAACUACUUUGCUGACUGGACUGCCACGUCACCAUAACUAACUUAACUAAUCCAAUCAGUUAAUCACAGUUAACACAUAUUCUUAUCAUCCCCCCUCAAGCUUAAGUUCGGGGAAGGACAUUAAGCUUGGUACGAAGAUAAGCAAACUGAUCAAAAGAGAGGGGCUUGGUGAGAAUGUCUGCAAGUUGUUCUGAACUGGAAACAUGACUGAUCGUGAGUUGCUUCUGGGCAAUAUGCUCUCGAAUAAAAUGAAGAUCCAACUCAAUGUGCUUUGUUCGAGAGUGAUACUUAGGAUUGCUAGCUAAUGCCUCAGCACUCUGAUUAUCACAUUAUAGAACAGGACUUUGAGUUGGCUGAAUUUGCAGUUCUUGAAGCAAAUAAGUGAGCCAAAGAAUUUCAGAGGUUGCCGAAGCAAGAGCUCUAUAUUCAGACUCUGCUGAGGAACGAGAAACAAUGGUUUGUUUCUUGGAGGACCAAGAAAUAAUAUUGUUUCCUAAGAAUACACAAUACCCUCCAGUAGACUUUCGAUCAUCAGGAUCAGCUGCCCAAUCAGCAUCAGAAAAUGCUGUUAAAGUCACAGAGCCUGAAUUGAAGAAUUGAAUCCCAAAGUGUGAAGUAGCUUGAAGAUAUCGAAGAACCCUUUUACAAGCUUGCCAGUGUGCAAUGGUUGGAUGAGCUAGGAACUGACUAAGCUUGUUAACAGGAUAAGCUAUAUCAGGUCUUGUUAGCAACACAUACUGAAGAGAGCCCACAAUACUUCUGUAUAAUGAGGGAUUAUCAAAAACUUCACCACUGUCCUUUGUAAGCUUAUCACCUGGACUCAUAGGAGUAUUAAAACCUUUGCUGUCAAGCAUAUUUACUUUUCUAAGGAUAUCACCAAUGUAUUUGGUCUGAGAUAAAUGCAGUCCCUGAACAGAGGGUGUUACUUCAGUACCAAGAAAGUAGUUAAACUCUCCUAGAUCUUUGAGUGCAAACUCUGAAUGAAGAUAUUGAAUAACAGCCUCAAUAUGUUGAGAAUUAGAACCAGUAACUAAAAUAUCAUCAACAUAUAUAAGAAUGAGCACAAUAUCAUGGUCAAUAUGCUGAAUAAACAUGGAUGUAUCAGAUUUUGAGGAUUGAAAACCUUUAUGGAGUAAGGACCCUUUCAACCUCUCAUACCAAGCUCUAGGAGCUUGCUUGAGACCAUAUAAGGCUUUGUUUAACUUGCAAACAUAUGAUGGAUUUGCAAAGUCUAUAAAACCUUGUGGCUGAUGCAUGAACACAUCCUCUUCAAGCAUACCAUUGAGAAACGCAUUAUUAACAUCCAGCUGUCUAAUCUGCCAAUGAUGCAACACUGCUAGACUGAGGACAACUCUGACUGUGCAAGGUUUCACAACUGGGCUGAAGGUCUCAAAGAAAUCCACCCCUUGAGUUUGAUGAUAACCCUUGGCAACCAACCUAGCUUUGUAUUUGGAAAUGCUGCCAUCAGGGUUAUACUUCACCCUAAAUACCCACUUAUUACCAACUAUUUUAGCAGCACUUUCAGAGGGCACUAGAGUCCAGGUUUGAUUUCUUUGCAGAGCAUCAAAUUCCUCUUUCAUAGCACAAAACCACUUGGAGUCAUGCAAGGCACUUUUGACACUAGUUGGCUCAAGAUUUUCAGUAGCUGCUAGAUAUGACUUGGGUUUGAAGAUACCAGCUUUAGCUCUAGUAAUCAUUGGGUGAGAUGGUAAUGAAGAUGAGUGAGUUGGUUCAGCUGAAGGAUGAGAAUAAGAAGGUUGUGCUGAACUGGAACUUGAUGGAGGAGACAUUGCUGAAUGAAAAUUAGGAGAUGAUGACUCUACAUUGCUACUGUCAACCUGAGCAGAAGUUUGAAGAAAAGAAAGUUGUACUGGUGAAGAAGGGACAUCAACAUUGGAGACUUGUGAGGUAGAGUGUUUUAGAAACAAUUCUGUGUUAGGAAACUCAGUUUCAUUAAAAACAACAUGUCGAGCAACAAACACUUUACCAGAUGAAUUUAAACACUUAUAACCUUUAUGAAGUGGACUGUAACCAAUGAAAAUACAUUUUUGAGUAUGAAAGUCAAGUUUAUGCUGGUUAUAAGGUCUGAGGAAUGGAAAACAGGAGCAACCAAAAACCUUUGGAAACUGAUAGUCAGGCAGAUGAUUAUGUAAUUUCUGAAAUGGGGAUAGAUUGUUUAGAACUGAUGUGGGCAUUCUGUUGAUAAGGAAAGAAGCAGUGUGGAAUGCUUCCCACCAAAAGGAGAGAGGUAACUGUGAUUGAGCUAGAAGUGUCAGACCUGUUUCAACAAUAUGCCUGUGUUUCCUCUCAACAACACCAUUUUGAUGGUGUGUAUAUGGACAACUAUACCUAAAACAUAUACCCUCUUGCUGAAGAAAGGUUUUAAAAGCUAUAAAUUCACCCCCCAUAUCUGACUGUAGUGUUUUGAUAGACAAGGAGAACUGUUUUUCAACAAGAAGUUUGAAGUGUUUGAAGGUUUCUAAGGCUUCUGACUUUGCUGUGAGAGGAAAAAUCCAAGAAUAUCGAGUGAAAUCAUCCACAAAAGAGAUAUAAUAUCUGUAUCCACUCAUUGAAUAUUCAGGAGCUGGUCCCCAUAAAUCUGUAUAUAGAAGCUCAAGUGGUGCUUUUGUUUUAAUGGUAGUGACAGAAAAAUGAAGCUGAUGCAUUUUGCCAUGUUGACAAGCAUCACAGAAGCUAAUGAAUUUAUUUGAAAAGCAAUGUGUGGGAAGACUUUUAAUAAUUGUUUGCAAAGCAUGUUUAUUGGGAUGACCAUAUCUAUUAUGUAACAACUGAACUGAUAUCUUUCCAGCUCUAGAAGAAUUUCCAGAAACAGAACAUGCAAAAGCUUCAGACAUAUUUACAUUAUCCAACUUUGACACAUGAUUAUUUGACUCUGGUAAAGAGUUUACAACUUUAUUAUCAAAACAAAAUGACAACAUGGAACUUGGUUUAAAAAGAUUUGGAUUGCAAUCUGCAGAGUAAGGAGAGAAGACAUCAAGUGACAGUAGCUUGUAAAGACCACCUUUAACAAUCCCCUGUGCCAGCAAAGUUCCCUCCUUCUUGUCCUUAAUAAAGCACAUGGUGGAACAAAAUUCAAUGAUUAUGUUAUUAUCCAAAAGAAGUUUAGAUAUACUGAUGAGGUUUUUGGUUAUUUUAGGAACACACAAAGUAUUGGUUAAGGAUAAACAUGUGCCAAAAGAAGUAGAAAGAUGAGUGCAGCCAAUAUGUGUGAUAGUAAGACCUUGUCCAUUUCCAACAAACAACAGUUGAGUACCAUUAUAAGGAUUACCUUCAACCAGGUUUUGCACAUUGUUGGUGAGAUGAUGAGUGGCUCCACUGUCCAGAUACCAUCCCUGAUCAGCAACUCCUUCUGAGGUAGCCAUAUAAGCUGUUCUUGGCCCUGGGUUCUGCAUUGGAGAAUUUGAAACAAAAUUUCUGUUAAAUCUGUUUCUACAAUCAACAGCUGAAUGGUUUGGUUUAAAACAUAUUUGGCAGGUAAUAUUUCCUCUGCCACCUCCUCUACCAAAGCCACCAGAGGACCCUGGAUUUCCACCAUUAAAACCACCAUUUCCACUAAAUCCACCAGUAUUUCCAUUAAAACCACCAGAGUUUGAACCUCUUCCUUGGUUUCCAAACCAGCCUCUCCCUGAGUUUUGAUCCAUAAAGCCACCUCUGCCAGAUCCAUAACCUCCUCUAUUGUUGAAAUUUCCAUUUCCAUUUCUAUUCACAAAAUUAACAUUCCAAUUACCCUGGUUAUUAGUAUUCCAAUUAGCAUUGCUUCCUGACUUCUUCUGAUUAUUACCAGUCUGAGCCACAUUAGCACUAAAAUUCACCUUAGUUUCCUUAGCUACACCAGAAUGAUUACUCUCAAGCCUAGCUUCAUGAGAUAGCAACAUAGAAUAAGCCUCAUUGAUGCUCAUUUUAAGAGCAUUUGCCUCAAUAUAAACUACAACAGGAUAGUAAGCCUGACCUAGCCCUGAGAUUAAAUGUGUAAUGAAGUCAAUAGAGCUAACUGAACUUCCAGCCAUUGCUAAUUCAUCAGUUACUGACCUUAGUUUACAAAAAUAUUCAGUAAUUGACAUGGAUCCUUUCUUAAGAUUGUUUAGCAGCAUCUUUAAAUGCACUUUCUUAGCUGCUGUUUCAAAUCCAAACUGUUCCUCUAAGCUUAUCCAAAGUUCUCGAGAGUUUUUAGAAUUUACCACAAUGCUUAAGAUCUCCACACUGAUUGAAGAUAGAAGCCAGCUCAAGAUCAUCUGAUCUUGCCUUUUCCAAGUAGUGUAGGCAGGAUUUUCUGAGAUGACUGCCGCAUCUGUGCUUGUUGAUUCACCAGUCAGCAGCUGGUUUGGACAGGUACGUGAUCCAUCAAGAAAACCUUCCAGAUCAUUUGCUCGAAUGGCUGAAAGGAUCUGAGAUUUCCAUAUAGUAUAAUUCGAUCUGUCAAGCUUGAUUGGUGUGGCGAAAGUAAAUGUUGAGAUUGCGGAAGAAACAUUUGUACUAAGACUUGAAGAAGCCAUGAUCAAGAAGUGAUUCAAGGCUCUGAUACCAAAUUAGAAUUUGAUCAACAGAUUUGGAGUGUUUGUUUACAGAGAAAAUCUAAGAGAAAAUGUAAGAAACUUUAGCUGAGAAUAUUCAUUUUGUUCAACUUAAUAACAGAUUGAGAUUACAAAGCUUAUAUACUGCUAUCAAGAAUCAUCUUAACACAUACAUCAUUUUCACGUGUAUUUAUCUUUGAGAGAAGCUAAAUAACCAGCUUAACAAACUCACAACUACUUUGCUGACUGGACUGCCACGUCACCAUAACUAACUUAACUAAUCCAAUCAGUUAAUCACAGUUAACACAUAUUCUUAUCAUGUAAUCUGUGUGAAGUACUUGAUUGUUUCCAUGUUACUUUCAAACAUUUAAAUUAAAAAGGAAAUUUUCAUAAUCUUGCCUUUUCUAUGAUUUUCAAAACCAAGGUUGAUCUACUGAAGAACAAGUUUGGGUUCGACGAGGCAUUUAACUAUAAAGAAGAAGCUGAUUUGAAUGCAGCAUUGAAAAGGUUAGCAUCAAUAAAUGCCUUAGCUUGAUGCAGCUUGAUGAAGUAUGAUACACAUUUCUGACCAAUAUACUGCGUUCCCUGAUCUCUUACUUGAAAUAUCUUGGUUUGAGAACCUCAUGCCAAUGCCUUUAACAUUUUGGCAGGUACUUUCCUGAAGGAAUUGAUAUAUAUUUUGAAAACGUUGGUGGAAAAACGCUUGAUGCAGUGCUACCCAACAUGAAAAUCCGUGGUCGAAUUGCUGCAUGCGGUAUGAUCUCACAGUACAAUCUUGACAAGCCUGAAGGUGUGCACAACUUGAUGUAUCUUGUUUUGAAACGGCUUCGAAUGGAAGGAUUCAUUGUUCUCGAUCACUAUCACCUUUAUCCAAAGUUUCUGGAAAUGAUCAUUCCUCACAUCAAAGAAGGGAAGCUUGUAUACGUCGAAGACAUGGCUGAAGGUCUGGAGAGUGCUCCGGCAGCUCUCAUCGGUCUAUUCUCUGGCCAGAAUGUUGGGAAACAGGUGGUUGCUGUUGCUCCUGAAUGAAGAACAAGUUAGUGUUGUAUGUUCUUUUACCCUUUGACACAAAACUUCAAUGUCAAAGAGAGAAUGCUGCUCAUACUGCUUUAUAAAAUAAUCAAAUGAGUGCAAGUUUCAUGAUAUUUGCUGAAUAAAAUAUUGGAAAUUAAGCAGCUAGCCUAGCUCCUUCUUGUAGUUGCAGUUUGAAUGAUGCUGCUGCACAACUGCUGCCGAAAAAAAUCCUUAAUAGAUGAUUAGCAAGGUUUCAAAAAUAAAAAUAAAUGUUUGUGCAAUGUGCCGAAUAUGACAGCCACAAAGAAAGAGCAUACAAAUUGAUUGGUUUUAUGUCUUCUCUAGGAGAAAGCUACAAUACAAGAAAUUGUAUUGAUGGAGCCUUGGACCAAAUUUCUUAUUUAAAUUUUUAAUUUUUUUUAUUAAAUUACUUAUGUUAUUAUGGUUUAUAUUUUUAGAAAUUCUUUAGAAAUUAAUACAGAACUAGUAGCAAGUUGAGAAAUCUACUGAAUGGUCAAGAUAUGAUAAUGUUUAUUGAAUUAAAUUAACAAUCAUCAUUUUCAUAAAUUAUUGUCAGGAUAUUUGAUUCAUGUCAGGUGUAAGUAACUAAGAGAGCGUUUGGGACAGACACCACAGUUGCUCCCGAUGCUUUAUUUUAGGGAAAUAUCCCCUGGAAUAAUGCAUAGGGCGCAGCCCCAAACGGACCCUAAAUGUGCUAAAAAAAAAUUAAUGAGUUGGGUGUGUUUGAUAUUCAUUUGUUGUAAUUCUUUUAAUAAUUAUUGUAGAAAAAAAUAUGAUAAAAAAUUUAUAAUUAUAAAUAAAAAUUAAUAAUAUAAUAAAUAAAAUUUUUAAACAAUAAUUUUAAUAAAAUAAUAAAUAUAUUAUCAAUUUUUCAUCGUUAAUAUUUAAGUCACAAUAAUAAAUAUUUAUUAAACACUUUAAUACUAUAACUAACACUACAACUUUUGAAUUAUAACAGUACAUUCUAAAGACCGUGGAACAAUAGUACAAAAGGUGCUCGUCGUGUAAACAACACAUGGGACCCAAGCAAUAAAUGUUUCUGAUCCUCAACUUUCCUCAUCACUGUCCCUGCAAACAAUUCUGAUUUUCUUGUCUGAUAAAAAAACUGAGAAACAAUGGCGGCCGAACAAGAAGCUGUGAGCAAUAAUGUAAAGCCACAAAUUUUCAUAAUAUUAAAUUAUGAAAAUUGGGCUUUCAUUGAGAAUUAUGGGUGGCCUAUAACCCUUAUUAAGAAAGGGAUACUAAUUAUAAAUACAAGUUAUUUAUGAGAUAGUUUUGAAAAAAUGUUAUUUUUCCUUAUUAAAUAAGGUUUCUUAAGACUCCCUAUAAAUUCAUACUUUUUCCCUUCCAUGACCCUAAGUCCAUGACGUUUAUUCUUCUUCUCUGCUGCUCUUUACGCUCCUACCCAAAUCAUAGGAUUCAAACCUUUGUUUAGGAGAGAAUCAAAGCGACGAGUAAGUUAUUCUCCCUAUUCUCAACAGAUUUCUAAUCACUCUAUCUAGGGUUUAUAUUGGCACGAUUCUAGAUGGUUAUAGAUCAUAAUGCAUGAUUUAGAAUGUAUUUAGGCUUUGUUUAGGGUUUUGAUUUAUUAUGAGUUUAGUUAAUCAAUCCUUGACGUAUUAAGCACAGGAUAAUUCUGGACAAUAUGAGUAUCUCGAAUUUAAACCUAUAUUUUCUGAACGAGUUUUAUUAUAAAAUUUAUAUUUCUGGAAACUAGACAUGUAGGGCUUCUUGAGUAAAUUUUAUUUCAUUAAAUUCGACUUCGUUUUCAAUUUUAUAUUUAUUUUCGAAAUAGAAACCACUGCACUGGAAAACUGCGAUUCCAGCAUUGCGAUCGGAUUCACAAGACUAUUUGUACCACCAAACGAACUCGGAAAAUUCUGAAAGUUUAUAUGUAGGUUAAUAUAUGUGUCUAGGAUUACCAGUUUUAAUUUCAUAAUUUUCUGAUUAGUAUUUUAUUUUAUAAAAAUCACAGAACCCGUUCUGUUUGGUUUAGAUUAUGUGAAAACAGUUUCGAAUUUGCUGAGAAAUAAAUAGUUUCGAAAAUGUUUUUGAUAUCGGAUCCUCUUGCAAAUUUUACAUAGGGUACUCAUGGAUGUCCAGAAUAGUCCCAUAGAAUAUUAUAUCAUUCUGAGUCUUAGAUUAAGAGUUAAAUUCUGAGAAUCAGACCUGUACGGGUAUGAAUUAGAAAAUCAGAUUCUUAGAAUAAGUUAUUAAUUGUCAUAUCUUGUAUUUGUUUAAGGUGUUGAAGGUGAUUGAGGUUCUUAGAAGCUUAAAGGUGUGUUAAUUCAAAUUCAUUUGUCGAGGUAAGUUACUUCAUUCCUACUAUAUUGGAUAUGUAUAAGUAUUUUGAUAUUAUCAUUAUAAGUAUAAAUGUUUUCAUACUAUUUAGAAGAUUAAUGGAUUUUCAUAACAAAAUUAGCUUAUGAAAAUGUUUUCAAAACCUAAUUUCUUUUUAACAAAGCAUUUUAUAAAUACUUUUUAAAUAUGUAAGUUAUUUUGUUACAUGCCUACUUUUAUGAUUUUAUUUAUAAAAUAUUUUGCAAGCCUAAAUUAUUGUUAUGGACUUUUAUGAAUCCGAUACGAAUGUUUUAUGCCUAUGCAUGAUUUCAAUUAUAUAUGAUUGUAUGGGGGCCACCUCUUGGGACUAUAUGGGGGCCACCUCUUGAAGGCCAAAGUGUCGCAAAGUGCCACAUAUAGUGCAAAGUGCCACGUAUAAGUCAUUAUGUUUUGGCUCAUUGUCCGUAGUCAUUUUGAUUCUGAUUCUGAUCAUAUAAUACGAUAUAUGUCUGUUUUGGACCAGUACUGGGUUUCUGUUCUGAGUGUGCACACGAUAUUUUGAUUCUGUUUCUGGCCGGGUCACUGGGACUAUAGGUGACACUAUGUGACAAGAGCUAACCUUUUGUUUUCUGUAUACGUAUUAUAUGAUUUACUUCAUAAGUAAAUAUGCUUUUGGAUAUUCGGAAUUAUUAAGAAUUUAUGUUAUGUUAUCGUGAUAUAUUGUUUUAUGAAAUUUAUGGAUUAUGAUAUAUGUUUUAAACAAAAGAAGGCUUGCAAUAUUUUUGUAUCGAUAGGCCCAGUAUGUUAGAAAUUGUUUUACUUACCGAGUUGACGGCUCACCCCUCGUCAUUACUUUUUGCAGAUUAAGUUUCUUUUGAGAGGUGCGCUUAGCUUUGGAGUUAGUAAUUUUCCGUUUCCAUUUGCCAUUUGAAUAAGAGGAGGAAUAAACUCGUGUUUCUAUUUAGUUAUUUCUAUUAUGAACGUGUAAUUUGGAGUUUGAGACUUUUGUUAUUAUUUUUAUGUCCUCGGGAGAGAUUAUUUAGUAUUAGACGUUAGAAUUUGUGGAUUUAUUUGAAUAAGAAUUGGAGGUAUUUCAGUUUGAAACUUAUGAGUAAAGAUUAUGAUUUGUGAGUAACCUCCUUCUUCACGUGCUCCGCACGUGUUAGAUUUGGGGUGUUACAAAUAAGCGGGUGAUUCUAAGCAACUAUGUGACAGGUUUUCCAAAAGAAUCAGACAUGAAGAUAACAAGUGGAUCAAUAAAGCUGAAGGUAGCAGACUGUUCAAAAGACACGGUGCUUUUGAAGAAUCUUUAUCUUUCUUGUGAUCCUUACAUGCGAGAGCGUAUGAGCAAGCUUGAUAGCCCUUCUUUUGUUGAUUCAUUCCAUCCUGGUGAGGUUAGUUCAUCACGGCCCAUCUCUUGAUUUUUUUUUUUCAUUUGCUUCAAGUUUUGAUGAGUUUCUGAGGUAAUUUGUACGGUUUUGGAAUUUGAACACAAUUUGUGAUUUUGGUGCUGUAACUGUCAUUAAUGAUAUGUAGUAAUUCAAUCGGAAUUUGGAUUUAGUGCUGAUAUGAUCUCUGCUCAUUUUUUUAAAUCUUGUGUCCACAUGCAUUUUUGAAAUCUGGUACGGUUGAGAUUGUAUGUAGAUUAACCUACGUACAGUAUUCUUGUCUAAUGACUACUAACCACAACCUUAUGAGACGAUCGAAACCAAGCUCGGAUCAAUAAUCCAAUCGAGAGAGGAUCAUAACUGAAGCUUAUCGUGUGUGGGAAUAUUUCGGUUAAAUUGUAAUCAUGAUCAUGAAUCAUGCAGGGAAAAGGGAAGUUGAGGUCAAUUUAUGCACUUGAUGGAAUUAAAGAACCAAUAUUUGAUUUUGGUUUACAUUAUUUCUCAGUAAUGGUGACUUUGUGAUGUUAAAUUUAUGCAGCCUAUAAACGGAUAUGGGGUGGCCAAAGUUUUGGAUUCUACACAUCCAAAUAAUGCAAAAGAUGACUUGGUUUGGGGCUUUACCGGGUGGGAGCAGUACAGUCUCGUUACAGCUCCGCAGCUUUUGAUUAAAAUUCAUCAUAAAGAUGUGCCACCUUCAUACUAUACCAGGAUCCUCGGUAAUGAUUUUUGUUACACAUUAAGCUUUGCUUAUAGUAAUAUCAAUACAUAUGCUGCUUAAAUGCUUUCUGAUUUUUUGCCGGCCAUUGUCCAUUUUGCCCGGGAGACUAUAAUUGAAGGAAUUUACUGAAGGAAUGCUGAUUGUUGGGAAUUUGAUUAUUCUAGGUAUGCCUGGUGUAACUGCAUACGCUGGUUUAUAUGAAGUUUGCUCUCCGAAGAAAGGAGAGUAUGUCUAUGUAUCUACAGCAUCUGGAGCUGUUGGUCAGCUUGUUGGACAGUUUGCAAAAUUAGCUGGUUGCUAUGUUGUUGGAAGUGCUGGAAGCAAAGAAAAGGUGCUGUUAUAUCAUUCUUAAGUAGUAAAUAUAGCACCGUGCCUUCUAGCAGAAUUUUACAUGCUUUAUGUUCCAACUAAGCAUCCAUAUUUGAUCGUGAUAAUUAGCAAGGUCAAUAAUUUUUUUUUGACUAUUUUUUCAACGUAAGGUCGAUUUGUUGAAGAACAAGUUUGGACGAUGCUUUUAACUACAAGGAAGAGCCAGACUUGGAUGCAGCGCUCAAAAGGUCAGCUGCAACAAACGUUUCAACUCUAAUAUUUCAUUUUAAUAUUACAGAGCUUUGGUUGAAGUGUGUGAGUUGAUCCCAGAAACGUAACUUCAUCAGUGUCUCUGUUUUCAAAAAACAGGACAAAUUAAAAUCUGAUUUUGCGUUAAAAUUUCCCAGAUGUUUCCCUCAAGGAAUCGACAUCUAUUUCGAAAAUGUUGGGGGAAAGAUGCUGGACGCAGUGCUACUCAACAUGAGGCUCCGGGGCCGCAUUGCGGUAAGCAGUAUGAUCUCACAGUACAACCUGGAAAAACCCGAAGGCAUACACAACUUAGAGCAACUGAUCGGGAAACGGAUUCGCCUGGAAGGAUUUCUAGCAGGUGAUUACUAUCACCUCUAUCUGAAAUUCUUGGAACUGGUCAUUCCUGCAAUCAGAGAAGGAAAGAUGGUGUAUGUGGAAGACAUAGCCGAAGGACUCGAGAAAAUUUCUCGUAACUGCUACACAUUAAACGCGUUUCACAUUUCCACUCUCUCUCUAUAAAUAAACACGCACAUAAAAUUUCUCACUAUCCAAAAACAAAAUCUACAUAAAAAAUGGCGGGUGAAGAAGGAGUGAGCAACAAGCAGGUGAUUCUGAGCAACUACGUGACAGGGUUUCCCAAAGAAUCAGACAUGAAGAUAAUAGCAGGCUCAAUAAAC
rnacentral:lncRNA from 1 species